UUGAUUAAGGCUUAUUUCUCGGUGUUAGCAGUCCUUCUAUCUAUGAUUAGAAUGUGCCUCAAUUGGAACUUGAAGCUUCUUGAUACUCUGGAUUCACUUAUCUACCCCUCUUUCUAGCUUUGCCCCUUACAUCCACUCUACUUUCCGUUCCGAACUGCCCUUUUAUUCCCGUUCCCGCUUCAUCACCGGAUCAAGCUUCUGCUUCAUCUGUUGCUUUCAUCAUGGAAUCUAUCGUUACUACUCUGGAAGAUGGGUAAGGAAACUCGUAUACAACUAGCAUCUAUGAAUCUCUACCCCGGAAAAAACAGUCAAAGAUCUUAGCUUAGCGCAAAAGCGGAAAUCAAUUGCAAUUUCACAGAUGUUCUAUAUUUAGUAAGGAAUGUCAAAGAAACUCCGUCAGCGCAUCCAACCCCUAAUGCUGAUGAAGACAGGAACUCAACGUAAGCGUAAAUACUAGGGUUGAGCUCAAAUGACUCUGUUAGUGCAGAUCAAUUUGACUGACCCGCUAGCGCGAAAGGCGCUUAAACUGUAUUCAUGGCGUCAGGAGUGAAUACCUUGUAAACAAGUGCAGUUGAGCUCGGAACGGAAAGUGCUUUUCCAGAUUCCAGUAUUGUUCCAGAAGCCGUUGGUUGAAAUUCUCUUCUUUUUUAUUACCUUGGACUUAUGGAAUGGAAUUGAAUGCGCACAUGAUAUACUAGGCCAACUCUAACCUCAAUAUACUAAGGUUACCCCACUCGUUGCUUAUUUGCUUUAAUAAAAGAAUCCAUCUUUCUGGCUGGGCAUGAGAACGGAUUUCUGAUCGCUCAAUCAAUUCCCGGACUCAAUUGCAAGAAAGGUUGUUUUGUAAUUUAGUGCAUAAGAGAAUUGAGGCAAAGAAAAUCAUAUAUAGCGUGACACUCAUAUAAUAUAAUAGAGUAAACAAAUAGCUUCCCUUUUGAUAGAGUAAACAAAUAGAAAUAGCUGCCCUUCUUCCCUUUUGAUAGAGUAAACAAAUGGCUUCCUGCUUCCAGACUCACUAACGCUUGUUUCGUUAGCUGCAAGUGCUGCAAGUGGUGGUUCUGUUAUAGUUUCAUCAUAUAAAGAAGCUGGGCGGUCAUAGAGAUCAGUUCUUGGACUCUCCGUCUUGAUCUUAAGCUUGAUAAAGAUCUAAGUGCGCCCGGUAUCAAGUUCUUGUCCCGCAAGAGAGAUUCCUGUUUGACCUGACCUCGGUCCAAGAUAGAGAAAUUUACGUAUUUGUUGCUGAAGCCCAAGAAAGAGAGAUAGAAUUAUUGACUGCCCCCUAUUGCUAAAGAAGAGGGGAAAGUGGAAGUUGGAAAUUGAAGUGAGUUCUUUGGCCCGGAGUUGCUUGUUUGUUCCCUUGACUAUUGUUCCCUUAACUAUUAACUUCACUAUAAGAAUGGAGGCAUAGGCUAGACACCUACUCAUAUGGGACACACCACAACAUUUGGAAAGCCUAGAGGAAGAGGCAACACACCUGAUUAAAGGAAGGAGGCGGAGUUUCAAAAGUCUUCUAUUGGCAGCCUAACCCUUAUACUACUUAAAGGACGGGGACUACCCUAUUGUAAAGGACAGAGACCAGAGGCACUAUAAUCUAAUCUAAGUUUCUACUUCGAACGAACAAGUAACAGCUUUUGCAACACCACUGACGCUUGCUUAGUUAUACUUGUGUGCUAACUAUACUAUUAGUUUGGGAGCGCUGCGCUAAUGCUUAUUUCAUAAAAGUCAGGGUUAACGGGAAAUAAUCAAUGAAUUACUCUAACUCUCAGGUUACUUUUUCCAUGGCUAAAAUAUGAUUUGAACAGCUUUUCGGGUCCUCAAUGAAGAUAUUACGCCAUAAUCCAAGUUGAAUAUAGGAGUUACGACGUUAAAGAAGCCUUAUCAAGCGCACUAAAGUGGUCGGUUCAGUCAUUGUCCCGCUCGUCGCAAGCAGGUUUAGUUCUGUUCACCCUGUUCGCCCUUUCGACUUUCAGAAAUCCUAUGACUUAAGAAAUCCUAUUAAGAAGUAAGAUAAGAGUGCGUUUAAGGUCAUCUGCAAGCCCCUUCCAGUCUUGUUUCGGGUGUGAAAGAGUCUCUUUUGAGUUAGCAAGAUCAGAUGAUGGAUUAAAAGCAUCAGCAAGAUGAGAGGCGUUAGUUAGCAGUGCAGGUGCAGUUCCUUAAGCCCAAGUCAAAGAUUCCAUUAAUGAUGAAGACAGUACAAGUCCAGGUCCAGACCACAAAUGCAUCAGUGCAAUCUCAUUCUGGACUCAAUGUCAAUGUCAGAUACGGCUUAUGCGCUCGUACCUUAUCUAACUACAUCUUAAGAUCUCGGAGACAAAGCUGCUCUAACGGACUAUUCUUCUCGGCUUAAAGGCAAACAUGCAAUUCAUUUCUUUCUAGUGUACCUACGGAAUAUUCUAUGUUUUCAAUUUCCAUUAUGUAUUUCGAGCACAUGGCAUAGAGUCUUGUAAGGUGCUGAAAGCCUGACCUAUUCUAUGAAAUCCGACUUGAACUUGGCUUCCCUUUUGUCUCUCGUGCUACUUUCCGGGAACUGCAACUUAACCUAGAACUUGAAACUCGUAUUGAAUCUGGAAACAAUACUGGAAUCUUGAACUACACUUGAAAACUCCACUGGACUCGCCCCAACAUUAGCGGAAUCCAGCGCCUCACCUCUUGCAUCGCAUAUAAGUUAUGAAAAUGACCCGCGGAAAGAAAUCUCCACCCACCCUAUAAUACGGAUUACCCUAUAUCUAUCUCGUAUUACUCAGCCUAUAAUAAGUAUUUACCCCCUAAUAGAAUUAUAUACUAAACUAUCUUAACAGCGAACUCCUUGCUGAACUCCUUAACUCCUGACUCGUUGUUCUAACAUUGCUUACUAUCUUGGGGCGCGGAGCUCGAAAGACACUCUUUUUCUUUUGCCUAAAAAUCCAAGAAGUGAGAAUUUCCUCACACUGCUGAUUCUAUUGUCGAUGAAACUCAAACUAGACUUUGCGCUUUAUACUCUUGCUUGAGAAACUGCUUAUCUGCUUACUUUCGCCUUUCUUUCGACUUCUCCUUUCUACUACUCUAGUUCGGAUGCGGGGACAGUGACUAGUGAAUCAGCUUCUUCCCUUCCACUUGAUGCGAAAUAAAGGGCUGCUUCUUUGCACGAAUAAACUCCAAAGAACUCGAUUCGUCCUGUGUUGUGUGGUAGAUAGAAUGGUUUUCCCUAAAUGGAAUCAGAAGCAUGGAAUGUGGCUAGGGCACCUUAUUUGAUGAAUAAAGGUAGGGUAGAGAUUCAUCUUUCGGCCAGUAGAAGAAUUCCCUGUGGGACUUACUUGUUGAGGAAUAGAGUCAGGAGGCUUUCAGCACCUUGCUUGUUUGCUUGUUUGUUCUUGGACCGCCAUCCUUCCUUUUAUAGUGACCAUCUGGAUGGAGCUCGCCUUUCUAUUCCUUUCCUUUUGAAAGAUCUCUUCGUUCUCUAUACUCACCUAUUACAGCUGGCUCUAAAGAAUCUAGCGUUCCACUCAUAUAUAAUAGCGGAACCAGACUCCUUACUCUAAGCGUAAACACCACAUAUGACUCCACUUACUCUACUUACUGCUUACACUGCGGACUCUUCUCCACAAAGGCUUACUAAUGCAUCCCGCCCCCGAACAACAACUCGCUAACAGCCGAUGAAGAGUAGAAAGGGGGUAAAGGUCGCUAACUCACUUAGAAAGGGGAUAAAGGUAGCUAACUAACUUAGUAUAAAGGGGGUCAAGGUAGCACUUAGAAAGGGGGUCAAGGUCGCUAACUCACUUCAUUCACGUUAGCCGUUGCGUUAGCCGUUGCGAGAGCCUUAGUUUUCAAGAAAAUCAUAUAUAUCUAUAUGGGCAGCUGUUUCCAAAAAAUCCUAUUUAUGGGCAUCCUCACACUAUACUCAAGUACUACAUUAUUUUCGUUGCUUGUAUAGUAGUGGGUUAUCUUCCUUAGCUUAUUGGGUGCGUGAGCUUACUCUUGGUCUUGGGAGGGUUUAGUUUGUUAAUCAAUUACACAUUGGGUCAACUACUCAUAAGAUUCUUUCCUUUCCCUCCGCUCUGUACCUUAGUUAUGAAAAGAAUCCGUAAUGCUGUGUUCUUACACUAAAUGGUGAUGAACGCUCUCUUCUCUGUAAUGAUAGUAGGCUGUUUUGUUACUGUGCUUCUAUAAGUAGUAGUGACUCAUAUGAUUUUCUUAAGUAUAGUAUCAGAAAGGGCAAGGGCAAAGUGCGCUAGUGAGCUUUCGGGGAACAAGCUUAGGGCAAUAAGUCAAUCAAGUACUCUAGUAGAUUUGGUACACUGCCUUCCGAUGUGUGUUGUAUAUCUCUCUUCACUCUACUAUGUCUAUGUCCUUUAAUAAGCGCUGGCAGGGUCUAGGGUUACUAACCAACUGAUGGCCUCCGUCCUUUAAUAAGCGAGCGCUGGGUGAAGUCUAGGAUUCCAAACAAACCAAGUACUAAUUUCUUGCCUAGAGCUUUAUUGCGCUAACCAGUAAAUGAAACAGAUUGUCACUAAGGAGCACUCCUCAAUGCAUACAGUAUCUCUUCAACUCUUUCCCCAAAGCCUCCUUCUCUCUUCCGCCAUCUUAUCUUAGUAAGUUCUACUUAGUUCAAUCUUAUGUGCUUUUUCAUCUCUUUCUUUCUUUGCUUCUUUAUUGAGAGUACUCUUUUCUUUCGUAUGCUAAUUCAAUUAAGGAGUGAUAAUUAUUAUUAUUAUUUCUAUGGAAUAUUGUGAUUGCCUGAGCGAAAGCGUCUGCAUGUUCACUACAGGGCAACGGUUUGAUGCUGUAGUUUGGCCGAUCCGCUGCUACUGCUCUAACUGGUGCUUGCCCACUACAAGGUAAGUAAAGUAGCAAGUAGAGUCUAGAUAAUGGUGCCCCCUCCGGAUGUUAAGGGUGAGGGUGCGAGUGUCAUUGUAGCGAGAGGUUCGGUGCUUGUUUCCUUGCUUUACAAAACAAACUAAUCACAAUCAAUAUAUAUUGGAUAUAAGAGCUUAGGGACAUAUUGCUAAAGAUGAUGGUUAUAUGACUGCUUCCCUUUUUGCUUCCAAACUCACUUUGGACUUUUCUCACUUAUAUCAGCAGCCGAACCCAACACUCAAGUACUUGAUUCUUGCCUUAAGCUUCUUUUCUCAACUUUCAGAAAAUCAUAUUAUUUGUGACCUAUGAUAGAAUAGUGGAACCUUCACUUUAUUGACCUAUGAUAGAAUAUAUGCACCUCACUCCUAUUACGAGCCACUGCAAAUAGCAUAGCACUCCUAUUACGAGCCACUGCAAAUAGCAUAGCACUCCUCACUCUACUGUCAUUAAGGAAUCGAACUCUUAACUCGACUUAUGGCCCUACACUCUUAACUCGACUUAUGGCCCUACAGAAUAUAUAGAACACUUCUCUUAUGUGAUAUAAUCGAUGAAAACCACUGCAUCCAUUAUGACUACUGCUGGCUCUAAUCUUUGCUUAGCUUGUUUCUUCUAUUCCUAAUGCGUUUCGAUUCUUCUUUGCUUCAAACUGACGCUGGACUUAGGUACUCUCUUAUGGCCCUUGCUUGUUUGUGACUCACUUCACUUCAUUCACCUUAGUGUUUCUUUGCUUGUUUUUGGGAAAUGGCUUGUUGAAUGGAAGAUGGGCACCUGAGUUACUUGUUUGAAAUGAAUUGAGUGCACCACUUAUGGAUUACAGUAAACAACCUUCAGACUGAAAACUCAUGUAAGCCCUUGCGCUUGUGUUGAAAAGAAUUAGGCUACACCACAAUUUGAAAGAAAGUAAACGUUACGCCUUUGCGCUUGUGUUGAAAAGAAUGAAGCUACACCAACCACACCAACAUGGAGAAUCAGAGUACACGUUAGCCCUUACGCGAAUUAAGCUAACCAACACACAUAUAGAAUACAUAGUCAACUUACUCCUUACUGCUAUCAUCCAAUUAGUGUCACUCCUUACUGCAGAAUCAAGUCAACUUACUCCUGGCUGCUCAUUCUAUGCAUUCCCUAGCAACACUGUUUACUGUGCGAAACCAUCAAAACUCACCAAUUUCUUAAUACUCCAAUAACUUAGGAGCAUCACCGUAAUUGCUUGUUCCUUUGACUCUAAAGACUCUCACUUAGGCAAUAGUCAGUAAGUCUCUUUUCUCUUCUGUAUGAUAUUUUGCUCUUCUGUAUGAUAUAGUAUAGGGUUCAUUCUCUUAUCUGAGUAGUAGGUUAGUGAAAUAGGGUUCAUUCUCUUAUCUGAGUAGUAGGUUAGUUAAGCCCACUUAUCGGUAUCUUCUAGCUUGAGUUUCUUCUAGGUUCGGGGCACAGUGAGUUCUAUAGAAAGAGAACAGUUCCGAGAUGCUUCAGAAAGCACCAACAUCUACUACAUGCGCCACAAUUCGAUUCUUUAGAGUAAGAGGAAGGAGUCAAGAGUAAUGGAGAUCCAUAUAAUGGGAAAUAGGAUCAUGAACCGCUUUCCAAAUAGUGUUUCAUUUGAAUACAUUAUCUUUCUUCUCUAUGUUCAAUAUAUUGGAUUAGUAUAGUCUCCUUGGAGUAAGCUGUUUUGUUACUCCAUUCAUCUUUCUAUCUAUUAGCACACAAUACGCAAGCAAUAGGGACCAUUAUAGAAUCAAUUUCUUUCCCUGAACCCGCAAUGGGUACCAUAAGAUUCCACUACUAACACAGAUUUUCUUCCCUUAACCUUAAAAUGAAAGGUGCUUUGCUUUCCGAACCUAACCUUUCUAUUCCUUUCCGAACCUUCCGAACCUAACCUUUCUAUUCCUUUCCGAACCCUAGCCUAGACAAUAGUCGUUCUGAAUUAUGGCCCUUGCUUUAAUAAUAUCAGCAUCCUUUUUCCUGGUGAAUAGUCGAGUUUGUUGUUCUUUCGCUGUUGCUCGUUUACUUGUUUAAUAUGCGCAUCAUAUAGAAUUUCUAGUUACCCCCCCUUCUGACUCUAAGCUCUAAACCAGAUUACUCCUCUGACUUCCAAACUCACUCGUACCCCGCACCCCAAAACUAGAAAGAAUCGAAUUGAACUGACAACUAACUACAUAUAAGAACUUAACAUUACAGCCUAUAAUCUUAGCUUAUUAGUUUCGUUUUUUGUUCCCUUGCUGACUCAACAUAUAGAAUUAAGGAACCUUAACAGCUGGUUUCUCCAAAGAACUGCUCACUACUCCAAUGCUAACAAACCCCGCUCCGCUAAACUAGCUUUGUAUAAUAAAGGCUAAAGUGCGAAAGAGGAACGCCCGAAAACUUGAACUCAUGAAACGUAAGCACAACGGCGCCGGCAAACUCACUAACGCCAGUGCUCAGUAAACUAAAAGAAUUCCAGAAGUUCAUGCACACCUACAAAAGAAUUCCAGAAGUUCAUGCACACCUCAUAUAUACUCAUAUAUAAUAAGAACGGACAUGCCUAUCAAUACUCAUAUAUAAUAAGAACGGACAUGCCUAUCAAUAUUCACGAACGAGCUUCUUACCUUUCAUUGGGCUUCUAAACUCACUGUUUCUACUUGCCCCGUAGUCAAUACUUCAUUGAAUCUCUCUCGCAUAUGAUCUCCGUGGGUCACCUAUAACUUCUCUGGCGCCCUAGCUUGUUUUCGUGUUGCCAUUAUGGAAUGUUGCGCAGCUUCACCCUUUUCACUUGCAGGACAGAGGACCGUGUUUUAUCUAAGAUCGCUUUGCCCCACUGGCACUUUCGAAAAGAAAGCUCUGUUUACUUGUUGCACUCAGCUAGGCUGCUUCACCCAACACUCAAGUACUUUACUUAUUGCCUAAUUAGCAUUCGAGAGAUACCAGAUACUUUACUUAUUGCUUAAUUAGCAUUCGAGAGAUACCAGAUACUUUACUUAUUGCCUAAUGAACUCCCGUAAGCAAAACUAGCGUAAAAGCAGCAAUAGGGUUCAUUGAAUCUACCCAGCAUAAUAUAUAAGGUGAUUAAAAACACAGUGAAUAUAGUGCACAAGCGGAAUUGAUUCUAUUCUAUUCCAUUAUUGAUUACCUAUUUGAUAUUCUAUUCUAUCUAUUAUUUCUUACUGAAAUCAUUACUCAACUUAUAUUAUUACUGAAAUCAUUACUCAACUAGAACAGGUCGAACUGAAGGAUACUCGUAUUCAGCCCCGAAACUAUAACUAGCACUUGCAUCUGACCCGACCCAAACUCCAUGACUCUUUAAGCAAAAGCAAAGGGAAAGCCAAUCAAAGAAGCUCUGUUAGCGAGCGGAACUCCUUGACCUGGACUUGCACUUGACGAAACCUACUCCACUCUCCCUUUAGCCACUGAGUCUUGACCUGGACUUGUACUGUCUUCAGAGGAAUCCUUCGAGCCCUAGUAUUUCAUUUGGUAAUAUAGCUUGUGGUAAUAUGACCUAUCAUUCAUUCUUGGUAAUCUUACCUAUCAUUCUAUUAUACCUUAUUGCUGCUGACUUGCUUGCGCCCAGCUUCUUUUAUGGUCGACAUGAACUUUGCCCUGACUUGAGAUUUCAUUAGCUAACAUGGAGCUCACUUGAUACUGAACCUUGAGACUGGAAUUGAGCAGUUGACUUGUUUUGUUCAACACCACCGCUUACCACUUACUUUUAUACAGCAUAUUUUCUCUCUUUUCGCCUUGGAGGCGGGACAAUCCAAUCUGUUCCAUUUAUAGCCCAACCCAGAGCAGAGGUUUAUAAGAUUCCCUAACUGCUUCUAUACGAUACAAGCAUUCAUGAAAUAAGUGUGUGGCGUCCGUGAUACUUUCUCUUAGGAGAUUCUCUUCUUUAUACUACUUUCCUAGCAACGAAACAAUCAACUAACUGCGUACCCUUACCCGGUUCUAGUUGAAAAGCACCUUUCCUUCUCGCUUACUCCUUUGCCACUGCUUGUUCUCCACUUGCACUUUCCUUACCGCUUCUAGCUGACUUUUGCACUUAUGCUUCUGUUGCUUUAAGAAUAUCGGCACCCCGAGUUGCUUUCAUCAUUGAGACCCCGAGUUGCUUUCAUCAUUGAGGGACGGGACUCGGUUGAACUAUUUCUUGUUCCCUGAGCUGAACCCUGCUCCGCCUAUAAGCUAUUUAGCCAGCAAACAAAGUGAGCGGUCAACUCGCUUUCAUUUGCACUUUCCCUCUCUCUCUUUAUCUUGCGCAUCGCCUUGGUGAAUGGAAAUUGGACUGAACAACUCCAUUAGCGCCGUCUCAAGCCUCUCAUCUUUAUGGUUCUCUUGCAUCGCAUCCACAUCUAAGUUGUUAUUAUGAUUCCGCCCUUUACCUUGCAUUCCAGUCCAUUCGAGUUGAUUGACUUUAAGGCUUCUAAUCUUUAGACUACUCCAGCUCCAUCUUCGGCUGGAACUCUACCACUAGCUUAAAGAAAAGAAGAGAUAUUUGCAACCACCCAGCCUUUGCUCGUUCUCGUACACUUGCUUAUUCCCUUAUCCGCCAUUAUGUUUUAGGGGGCUACGUAUAGGUGUUAUGACUCUCAAGAUGGUGUUCAAGGCAAUAUCUAAAGAAGGGAACAAAACAAGCAAACGGGCAACUACCACCGUUGCCCUAACUUAUUAAGCGCUAAGGUACUACUUACUGGGCGCAAGAUCAAGGAUGCGCUGGGCACAAACAUGUACUUUAUCCCAUUGUCUCGGGUCGGGUGCUUGUGUGAAGCUAUGAAAGUGGAGUGAGGUGAAGAAGAGGAUUGGAAAGUGGAGUUUCGAACUGAAAGUGGAGAGUUCAGAGUUGCAGCAAAGGGAGUUAGUUGUAUUUACAUCAAUAUAUACUAGGCUAGGUGCUCGAAAUACAUCAUUGCAUUCUUUAACUGAAAGUGGAUGCAGUGUAUUUGAAUCGGUCACUUUGAUCUUCCUCUGUUGAAACAGCUUUAACAGCAUACUUUAGAUCGAACGGAUCUUGCUGAUUCUACAGUCCUAAGCUAAGUCACUCGAUUCUUUCCCGCUUGCAGAUGACACAGAUUCUUAUCCCGUUUACUUUAUUCCUCUAUGACCGACACAAUCAUCUCUCUCAACCGACCCGACCUCAAGCCAAUAACACCUAUUAACUGAACAAGACUUUCUGUGGGCUGCUGACUGACUCUCAUUUGUUUAUUCUUUCGGAGACUACUUUCUAAUUGGAAUAACUCCUUGUGUUCUAGGUCUUGUCUAGUAGUGUAGUGACUUGGCGGAACAGGAAUCCAUUUUCUUCCAGAGGAUUUCCCCACCCCAAUGAAUGCUAAAUCUUUAGAUCGUCGAGUAAAUACUUUCUUUAGAACUCUUUACGUUGAUGCCACUAAGUCUGGGCCUGCUUAUGGUUAUCUACCACUUGUGAUUGCGCCAAAGACAAGAUAAGAUCUCUUUCUUCCCGUUAGCGUAGUGCAACUCAUUCAUUGAAAUAGGACGGAACUGUCUAGGAAUGUAAUCGCUCACCUGUUAGAGUCUUUCGAUCGACAUAAAGUAGAAUUGUUUGUCAUAUUACUAGGUUUCUAUACAAUGCCUUGCUGCAGACUUUCUCCACUUCGAUCGCCCUCCCCUCCCUUGGUAUCAUUGAAGACGCUCCUUCGUGUCCGCCCUCUUUCAGAACCUCCCUUCAAUCACUGGAUGCCCACUAUCAAUGAGUUAUUAAGAACCUUGUUAUAGGAAGGGAUGAACUAGUAACUAGUCUCUAACGGAACGGCUAAGCCCAGCAAAUGAACCUUCUCCUAACUAAUUCCAACUAGCUGCACUUUCCCAACUCGACAUCUUUCAGGCUAAGACCUUACUUGCCUCGGGACAUGCCCUAUCUUGUUCUAACUAAGGCAAAAGUUCUUUUACGGCUCUGUCUCGUCCUUUAUCUGACUUCUUUUAACAUUCGUGUUUUCGUUCGUUAUAUAGCGAUAAUCGCCCAUUCAUCCUUUAGUUCUUUCUUGCUUGCAUUCUCUCUUUCUUUUGACUUCCAAGCUUGGGCUUGUAAUGUCUCAUGCUAUGAUGCUUUGGUUCAUCUCACUGCUUGACGCUCCCGCCCUUCCUUUCUAAACCUUCCUUCCUUCGAUGUAAAAGUUAGAUUAUGCAAUUCCACUAUCCGUAAGGGCAAGUAAAACAGUAAACCCAUGAAUUUGGAUUUCUCUAUCUCUAUUAAUUGAAACUACUUGACUUGCUCAUAACUCCGGUACCAGGGGCAUGGGGCUUGCUCAUAACUCUAUACGUGAGAACUAGCUACCCUUAAGCUUUGAACUCGCUAUCGCCGAACACAGCACUUGGUCUAACUACGUUGCUUGGUCUGUAGUAGGAGCUUGGCAGUUGACUUUCAUUCUACGACUACUAACUAAAAGAAUGGAUCUAUCCACUAGGAACUCUGCUAGUGCUGACAGGACUGCAAUCACAAACUCCUCUUUUAUUACUGACAUGCCGACCAGCCCCAUUCUCUUGUUUCAAACUAACGCUCCUGUCUCACAUUCUUUUAUUGAUGGGAUAGCUUUUAUUCUUCCCAUGUUCACUCCCAAGCUGACAACCUUUGUUUUCAUUCCCAUACUCCUGCUUUGCAUUCUGAAAUUCCUUAUUACGUUAGCUUAGUUUAAUACAAUAAUGAAUUAGCAUAUAUUGGAAUGGGUUUGCUAGUCGUUUGAUUAUCGUAAUUCCAAUAGCAUUUGCUUCUAGUUUAUUGGUCGAAAACAGCAAGUUAUUUCUCUAUUAGAUUAAUACAAGCAGUAGGGUAGCUUCGUUCCAUAUGCUGAUUGAUGGGGUUGGUUUAGUGAAAUCAAUAGGGUUAUGGUUACGUACCAUACACGUGGUUGUUGUUUGCUUGGGCACUGUUGACGUCUCUCCCGUUAGGGCACCUCCUUUCAAAGAAGGAAUCGAAUUGGCAUCUUAUAAACUAUAUUAUAAGAGAAUAGAAUGGAAUUGGCAUCUUAUAAACUAUAUUAUAAGAGAAUAGAAUGGAAUUGGCACUUAGGAAGCUAUCUCCUGUUCUUUUAUUGUAUUGAUACGGAGCUAUCAGACUACUAAUAGUUGGUGUAUAGGAUCUAGUGCAUCUAGCUAUUCACUAAAAGAAUGGAAAUAGUAAUAGAGAAUAUGGGUACGAUCCCAAGCUACUAAGUAGUAUCAAAUUAGCUAGGGAUUUUCACUAGUAAUACACAGAAUAAUAAGGGGAAUAAAGAAUACAGGUAUGAUGUAGCGCCUAAGAAGUAUUUGUAGUAUAAGUAAGGUACGAUCUAUUGCAUCUACUAUAAUAGGAAAAGAGUAGUCCAAGCCUCACUUUUGUAUUUCACUCUUCUAGUGGCCCCUUCCAAUAUGAAAUAGAACUCUUUCACUGGCAGCCUAAGAGCCUGUGCUACUACGCCAAUAGACUUGACUAAGAGCCAAGCAACGAGCCAAGGAACUACUCUACUACAAAUAGGGUAGCUGGCAACCAUCCCUCGAACAAACCAGUUAGUAGAUCCCUUUACUUGUCAACUUCAGACUAAACAAGGGAUUCCACCAGAACAGUAUUGGCAAACAACCAAUAAGGGCCUCUCUACUUCUAUAAAAGAAAGGAAUGCGCUAGCUGAUCACAGGACAAAGAAAGCAGGUAGGGAGUCAGAGUAAUCAAUAAGAAUUAGUUGACUUAUCGAAAUGAAUUAAGGGCACAGGACUCGUUUAGUAUCCGCCUGUCUCUUGCUCUAGUACAGUUGCUUGCCCGGCUUGUCUAACUGACUUGAAACUAGUUGCAUUCUUGGACCACUGGUUCAGGGACGUUGAAGAACAGAACCCUUAUUUUAGCGGAAUCUUUGGAGCACAUAGGUCUUACCGACGACCACUACUGAACCACGAGCGGCAAGCAAGCAAACCAAACCACCAGUUCCGAAGCUCAGAACUAAUACUGACUUCCUUGAGAAAGGGCUUUUUUGCAUUCCAUUAUAAGGGUAAUAGAUCUGUGCUAACCGAGAGCAGAACUCCAAACCAAAUAAUAACAACCUUCGAAAAAACGAUAGCCCACCACAUAUAGGGUCGAGACUCACCACUGAGUAUGGUCUCCAAAGUGUCUUAAGCGACCUCGCGCUUCCAAGACCACCGCAAGCAAAGAACAUGUGCCUCUGACAGCUCUUAUCUUUCUGGAUCAUAAGAAAACUUCGAGCUGAAUACUUUUCCACUCAUGUACAAUUCAAUCGCUAUCGACUAUUUGACUUAAGAUUAAGAAACAGCGUCUACGUCUUCUGGUGUAGCUCGGCCACCAACCUGUGAGGGAAGGCUGGCUCCUCUCAUAUAGAAUAUUCUCUUCUGGGCUGGGUGCGGUUCAACCCUUUGUAUUUCAUAAGCAGGGGAGUACCCACUAGUUCCCCAUUCUAUUCAAAACCUAUGUGAUUAAGACCCUGGAAUGUAGAUUAGCAAAAAAAGAAAGCAAGGAAGAAUUCAUUAUAUGAAUCGAAAACCUCUCGUACUCGUUAUCAACCUCCAAUUUCAGAUACGUUAGUAAACAAACCACUGGCCAAGCGUAUACUUGUAGCGGGGAAUUAAUACCUUAACUACUGAAUCUGCAUUAGUUGACAGAAGAAUCAAGGGAAGUGUAGUGACUUGGCUGACGAAACCCGUGAAACAACACUGCCGCUACACUUACGUAGUUACUUGGCAGGGCAAGUCUGUUUGUCAUUAGCUCUAUUCUUUUGCAUUAGCUCUAUUCUUUUGAUUGGUGUUUACUCUUCAUAGUAGUAGCCCAAUUCCUUAUUCCAGCUUAAAAGAUUACUCGCGUAGGGCAGAGUUUUAGGAGUUGCUGGACUCUUUCUUUAACUAACAGGUCAGGAUGCCAGAAACGCUACAUAGAAUGGAAGACCGGAAAGGAAGCUUAAGUGCCCCAACGGGGAAGAUCUGUUUGCCAGUAGAUCGAUUCUUAUGAGUAUGGGUUUGAUUCCAAUAGCGGAGAGGAGGGGUCAGUUUCUAGUUCCUUUCUUUUAGGGUAGUUACUCAUUUUUAGACUACUUAGUUGAUUUCCCACUUUGGAAGUUGAGUCUAGAUUCCUUUAUUAGUAUCCGGAGAAGUAUGUAUUAGUAUCCUGAUCGACCUAGUGCUCCAUCCAUCAACUCCGACUUUAUAAUGCAAUUCGGAGAAAGCCCACGAGCAAGUCCCUUAUCUGUUAGCUUAUAUCAAGAAAGCUGUUUCCCACGAACAACGUAUAGACCUUCUCAUCUCAUAUAUAACAUAGAGCCAGAUUCUGGAUAAAUGUUAUAUAAAUAAGUCCUCUAUUAGCAAGUCCUCUAUUAGCGCUCAUUUGGUAUUGGGUUUUCUUCGAUUCCGUUUUGCAAAUGGUAACACUAGGAAAAAGAUUCACUCCAUAACCCUGGAUUGUCUUCAUUGACAACCUGUUGAUCAUUAUAACUUCGAUUAGGGCUUACUUAAUAUACAAUGGCUUUCUUUUCUUCUAUAUACAAUGGCUUUCUUUUCUUCUGUUUUUCUUUUUCGAGUUAGUGUUUCAAAAGAGUUUCGUUUUCUCUUACUUCUGUUACAUUUGUCCCGAAAACCGCCUAUUCCAUCUCUAUCCCUGCCAGCUAUAAUGAAAAGCAGAAAACCAUAUAAUUACUUUCAUGGCAUUUAAUGGCAUCGGUCUUAUCCGUGCGUCUAUGAAUCCAAACCUCCCAAACACCGUUCUUUCGUGGAUUGACUAUUGGAUUCUUCCCCCCCUUCCUAAAGUGCCAAAGCAGAUUUCAUAGCAGCUCCUUCUCGGCAUCAAGUCAAGACAAGACCGACCCUGGAAAAGAAAGGUUUGCAUCCACCUCAGGCAUUCAACCACAGGAAACAGCCAUGCGAUUACCUUAUUACUGGCUUAUCUGCGAGGGACCAAGCCUAUAGAUCAUACCUAUUACACUGUAUGAACUCAAGCAGCUUUACCAUUUGACUUCCAUCCUGACAUAUCUUAUCUGAUUGCCCAGCUUUACCAUUUUCCAUUUCAAACACGCUUGGCUUGCUCGGAGAGGAAAGAAAGCGGAAGGAAGCUAAAGCUCGAAUGACAAGAGAGGAAAGCGGAAGGAAGCUAAAGCUCGAAUGAUAAGAGAGGAAAGCGGAAGGAAGCUAAAGCUCGAAUGACAAGAGAGGAAAACGAGGAAAACAACACCAACUUGCUAACUCGCGUACUUGCUAACAAAGAUACUUGCCCUUUUUGAGCCUAUCCAAUACCCAAGAUUCCAAAAGGGCAGGCAGAGGGAAAGGAAAUGGCGAGGAGCUGAAAUGGGACAAAGACUUCCUGAGGCCUUAGCUUACCAAUCCAAAAGAAAGACAGAAGGCGAAAUUCUCUUACUACUGGCAUGGAAUUCGGUUUCUCACAGGAAGCAGGAAAGAGGACCCGGUGGAAUCUGCUCUUGGUGCCAUUUCACUUCUUGUAUCUCCCGCUUGCUUUCAUUCAAAGUCACUGGCCAGGAGAGAAAGCUCAAGCAUAUGCCUAUACUUAUCCCUGUAAUUGUAUUAAAGAGAACGACAUGCCUAUAUUUUCCUUCAAGCUUUACUUAAGAGAACGACAUGCCUAUAUUUUCCUUCAAGCUUUACUUGGGAAAGAAUCCUAUUUUCGAACUUCCUUGCUCUAGCCCGCCGCUCUAUGAUAUUCUAGCUAUAGACCCAAUCGGAGAAUCUCUUAUCCUUUGCCUAGCCCUUGUUCGUGUUGCCCGCUCUAACCCUAUCUCGUUAGCCUUCUUCUUACUUACUCUCUGACUCGUCGCCUCUUCGUUGCAAGCGGAUGUGCGAUAUACAGCGGAUCAGCAAAAACCUAUAUGCUAAGCAGCUUCUUAUGGGACUGCGGAUAUACUCCUGGCUUUAGCUUACAGAGCAGUGGCUUGUCAGAAAAUCCCAGCACUCUCACUAAUUCCGCAGCUUGCCAUUUUCAGAGUGCUUCCUGCAAGCUAUCAUUUGCUUUUGCACGAGAAUCCGCUAUCCCUGAGGAACUGCUUUAUAACAAGUCGAAAACUAGAAAACGAGUAUCAAACUAAAACACCUAAACGGCUUAUGGUUGGUCUUACACUGACUUUCUCACCACCACUAGAUGCCCUUAUUAUUUGGAUUAAGGCUAGUGAGAAGACUGAGAUGAAACAUAAAUAUAGCCUGCUAGAAUAAAGACGGAAGGCUGUAGAAGUAACGGAUGUUUAUGGGAGCAUUGACGCAAAGGAGUUUAGCUUAGUUCCCGAUCUCGUGUUACCCCCGAAGUAUAAAGUCCCCGAGUUUCAAAAGUCUAAUUGGGCUGGAUGCCCCUCAACUCACUUAGCGCUGUACUGUCGCAAAAUGACGGGGUAUACUUAUGAUGAAAAACCACUAAUCCACUGCUUCCAGGACAGCUUAUCGGGAUCAGCAUGGAAAUGGUAUGUUAAGUUAGAUCGUUCGCUCAUCUACUACUGGGCAAGAUUUGGCUCGUUCCUUUAUGGUACAAUACAAGCAUGUGGUCGACAUGGCUCCAGCAUGUCUUGGAUUGAGCUUUCACUCCAGAACAUAGAGAAGAAGUCGACCGAAGAAUUCUAAGAGUAUGCCCAACGAUGGCGAGAUCUAGCUGCUCAAGUUCCGCCGCCUUUGACGGAAAAGGAGAUAACAGUAAUGUUUGUGAAUACCCUUCACCGGUAAAGCUCUUGGGAAGUGCUACCAAAAGCUUAGAGUAUAUGGUAAUAUCGGGAGAAAUUCUAGAGACAGCUAUCCAAAGUGGAAGAAUGGAAGAAUUCUAGAGACAGCUAUCCAAAGUGGAAGAAUGGAAGUAUAAACCACAAGCACCAAACGUGUCGGACCUCCUAAAAGAAAAGAAGGGGAAGCCCGCAAUAUCAGUCUGCAACUAAUCAAUUCCGUUCCUCGAACAUACGCAGAAACUCAUAACCUCUAUCGGCCAUCUCAGUCAGGUUCGUCACCAAGCAAUCCACGACCACCAAAGCCAUAGCUGCUAAGGCGAAAAUGAAACCCCAUCCCGAUGUCAUACACAGAACUCUACCCUCCCGUUGCUGAAAAACCAUUUUGUAGCCCCUGUCUAUGUAGAGCCGUUUCACCCUCCAUACCCAGCAGCAUGGUAUGAUGAGAAUGCCCGAUGCAGCUAUCAUUACAAUGUUGUUGGACACAGCCUCGAUAACUCCACGGCGCUAAAAUCGAAAGUAAAGAAUCCAUCUUCUUAAUGCUGAAAGUAGAAAAUCCAUCUUUCUUAUUAAUGCGGGGCUUCUCUCCUUUGGGGAUGAACAAAAACCGAGCGAGCGUGAAUGCAAAUCCUUUAACGAAUCACUGCGGAGGAUCUUUUCAUGCUGUUGAGGGUAAAUGAGAAGGUAAAGAUCAAGACAAAGGUAGAGGAAGCUCCAUUCGAAAAAGGUAUAUUACUUGUAUAAUAAAGUAAGGAAUACUGGUCUGGUCUCUACCUAGUUCCAAAAGACAGAGGAUGUAAUAACGCCACAAUGAAGAAAGGAUAGUUUCCGUUGAGUCGACAACUUAAGAUGCUAUUUCCAGAGUGUCAUCCGUGUCCUCUACCUCGGGGGUCUAUUGCUAAGGAAUCAGUCAGUAUAUUAAUGGGGCUUUCCUUGUUAAGUAAGUAUAUUAAUGGGGCUUUCCUUGUAGGUUUCGUAAGGUUGAAAGUCAUUUGUAUUGUCGAGAGGAAGAUGACUCCUAUCGCCAUGAAUAAAGGACUUGGGCCCAAGAAACAAGUCGUCCAGUGCUAAGGCGAGAGUUGUGGAAUGAUUUGUUGCUUUUUAUGCGAGUUAUCAGAUAUCUUCAUAGCAAGAAAGAUCCGUAUUUCUUUACUCUGCGCUCGCCUCUAAAGAUUCAAUGGAAUUCAUAAGUUCAAGUAAAGGGGUAUUAUAUAGAACAAGUCAUUCUUGGGGAAGAGGUGGAAGUUGCCAUUAAGUCUGAAGUAACGGUGAAGUAGGCUUUAGCUCCUCAGCUAUGAAGUCAUUGUCCCGACUCCUUGUCGUUGCGUAGAGAGGUUAUUGGCUGUUGCAGUAAGAUCAGAAGACUAGUUAAGAAUUUCGUAAAUAAGAUGGAUCUUCAGCAAACAGUUCUGCAAGUCGAGUUCUUGUCGGGGAAUCAGAAAGGGAAAGGGAAGCUAUGUAUUGACUUUGUUUCUAUACAACCUUCUAGAUAUCUUCAUCCUCAUCUUAUCUUUCUCACGGUGGAAUAAUCUGCGCAAAGGGGAGUUCUAGUAUUGUCUGCAGCAGAAUUGCCAGUAACAGUUCUGGAUCAUAUGCUAUUACUGGCUUUGAAGCGAGGUGUCAAUCAGUUGCAUCCGUUUGUCUUAGAGAAUCGUGUAUCUAGAACGAAGAGGUUAAGCGGUAAGUGAACGAGUGCCAAAGUCAGCCGAAAACAGGUGCAUUAAUUAAGGGCACAGGACUAGCUCAAGAGAAGAUAAAGGAUCCGGAGUAGAGCAACUGAGUAGGGGAGAAAUAGGUAGUAGGGGAACCUAUGCUUUAAGUAAGAAAACGGGGAUUCUAACCAGAGUUACUGCCCCCAGAUUGAAUCUUUCCUGUCGAUAGGUGAGCCUGUCUCCACAGCACGUUAGCCUGUCUCCACAGCACAGCUCUUUUUAGGUAGGAUGGAUUCUUCUCGAUGUCACAUACUAAGAGAACUCGAGUCUUCCUCAGUCGAUCGAACAGAACAGCACUCCGGCCUUGAUCUCACUUCAGGCAUAAAGAAAGACCGACCCUUUCUCUACAAUAUACUCGGGUGUUUUUGAUAUCAUGAAUUGAGCUAGCUGGAAUUCUCUGUCCUUAACGACUUUCAUUCUCUGUCCUUAACGACUUUAUUUGAUUACUCGCUAGUUCGUUUAGUAUGUUUGCUAAUCUAGCCCCGGAUUUAUUCUCCUACUUAGCCGAGUUCUGUGUAUUUCACUCACUUAUUGGUCUGUGUAUACUAAUGAUUGAUUGUAUUGCUUGUUUCAAACCAAACCUAGCCCAGCUGUACCUUAGCCUGCACCCUCGUCCAAGGUCUCUGUUCUAAUGAAACUGUAGCCAUCGCUGCCAGCAGCUGACGCUGACCUUGCUUAUGGCCCUAUUAGCCUGUCUUGACUUUUGAUCGAAUCCUUUCUUACUGGCCUUCCCAGCUUACCUAUUACUUUCAAGUUUCAUUAUUACUUGCCCUAUCCCUUUUCUUAUACCUUAUACUUAUUAUUAUACCUAUACCUAUAGGCGCUAGAUCACAUACCCUUUCUUACUAGUUUUGUUCUCGGCUCCACUGCCCUUGAUCCCUAGGUUCUAUUUUCAUUCUGGAACUUUGAUUGGCCCAAUUGUUAUAUGCCUUUGUUUCGUUUGUUAGCAUCGUAAUAGUAGUUCACUCCGGCACUGAUCUAAAUCUGACAUUCCAGGUAUAGUAUAAGAGCAAUACAGCCCUACAUUUACCAUAGUGAUUAAGAAGAAGUUGCAGAACGAACUACUACCCGCACUAAUUAGAAUCAAAGAAAUAAGUAGGAAUCUAAACCUGGCAACAAGAUAAGAAAAAAGCCUGACUUAUGAAAUAAUUGACCUCGACAAGCAAAUACUAGGCCCUAUGCUCUUAUCAGAUACUAGGCCCUUGCUCUUCCUCACAGUUUACCACGAUAGACCAAUAAAUCUACAUAGCUUUAUUGAAAGGUGGAGCUUCGCGGUCAGCCAAGGCCUUAGGAGCGCUGCAGGUGAUUCUCUCCGCUUCUGUUAGUUCUUUCCCUUCCCUCCUCGGUGCCUCUUCCUGGCUACUCAACUCCAAGUCGGGAUGGUUGCAACAGCUUGUACUGGCUAAACAUCUCCUAUCUUUCUAUAGUCUAUCCCACUCUGACACUACUAUAUCAGAGGAAAAGUAUUGCCCGUCCUGUCCUCACUGAGUUGAUCUGGUGCCCACACUGUUGUUAGUCCUCUUUGCUUUAUUGGCUAAAGCACAUAUCCUGUCCCUUGACCGAUUCGAAAUGCACAAAAGCAUUGCAGAAAGAGAUGAUCGAGUAUCUUAAGCCAUCCUAGGCGGUUCUCCCGUAGCGUCUCUGCCGGAUACUUUCUAAGGUGUUGGUUUUUCUUCCUAUCCGAGGUUAUCAUCUUCUACAACUAGGGUUUUCUCUUUGGGACAGAUUGGAUCUCGUCAACUCCUUAGCUUUACCCUCGGGGAACUCCCUUUUCGCCUUCGACAUAUGAGAGAGAUUUCUACCAAAUACAAAACUCUGGAGUAUACCAUAGAACUCCAUACUCUCGUUUUACAUCGACAAUUUGAACCUCACAGAACUUUGACAAAGUGCAGAUUUCUUUCAUUCAUUUAGUUAGUUAUGUGCUUCCCCAUCAGGGAAGGAACGCACCCUCUUGCAUUAUCUUCCGAUUCCCUUAUAUAGGUUUGGGAAGGAUACAUUGUUGCUUCCCUUAUAUAGGUUUGGGAAGGAUCCAUCAGUUACUUCAUGGCGAAAAAAGUGAACCUUGGGAGGAACGAAAGCCAGACAUAUCAAAUGGAGGUGCCCAGAUUAGAUAUGAGCGAGGAUGGGAGAAUCCAGUUAAGGAAACAAAGAGGGAGGCCUUUUCGCUAAGGUCAUCUUAAGGAUUACAGGGCCUAGCUUACUUGCGUGCUAGCGUUACUGCUUAUGUGCUUGCCCUCCCCUCCGUCUUUAACCAACUCCCAUUUCAUCUAGGCUAGUGCUUUAGUCCUUCUCCCAUUUCAUCUAGGCUAGUGCUUUAUUCCUUCUUUUCCCACCACAGCAACAGGAAACUCUCAAAUAAAUGGUCAAAACCCAAAUACCCCGAUCUCGCUCUUGACUUUCGAAUAGGAGAUAUUUCCUCCCAGGAUUUCCAAGAGGAAAAAUGCAUGGAAAGGAAAGCGAAGACUACCUGAAAAUAACCCAUCGUAACGGAGACUCCUACUUCGAAGGCUCCCACGUUAUAGACUGGAAAAGAAAUAGACUAUUCACAACUAGGGCCCCGGCCCGGGGACUGAGACAAUGGCUUACAGGGCUUCUGACUUCUGGAACCUAUUCGUCCUACACAAGGGUAAGAUUCCAGAUGUUAGUAGAAGCACACCAGCUUGAUAGGCAGAUGAAGAAAAGAAUAGUUCGAAAUAUGCUGAUAGUACCUAGUUAGGCUUUUUCCAAUCCUCUGCUAAAGAAAGAGCCACUUCACUUAUGCUAGCUUUAAAGAAGUAUUUCUAUUUUAUAGGUAUGGAUUCAGACUUCAUCUUAUAGGUACUUCUGGGCCUACUUGCCCUCAGUGGAUACUCUCAUCUCAAUACAGAAUAUACUUCAUAGUCUCAGACUGUGCUAAAGUGCACUUUCUCCUCAGGCAAUUGUGAAGAACCAAAUCCUUAUAGUUCUAUUGAUAGCUUCCUUGCUUUGCCUUGUAGGGAACUCUUAGGAUAAUCUCUUAUAUCAAUCAAGCAAGCUUCUGUCUUCUUGUGUGAGCUUUGCCUUGUAGGGAACUCUUAGGAUAAUCUCUUAUAUCAAUCAAGCAAGCUUCUGUCUUCUUGUGUGAGACAAGAAAUACCUCGAUACUUACAAAGAUGGGUCCGUAACCUUACUUUUGUCUUUUUCUUUUUUAGCGAGAUAGAGUCAAACAAAGUCAAGCCAAAUACUCUUAGAAAGCCUAGCUCUUUGAUUUUAUUACCGCUCCCCUUGGGAUUCCAUCCAUCCUUUCUUAUGAUCUUUCUAUACCACCAGAUCAGGGCUUUCAUAAGGUUCCACUUUUCCUAUUGCCCACUACUAUCUUUGACCACUACUCACUGAUUCACUGGGAAUCUUUUUGCUUCUGUCUAGUUAGCUCUCUAGGCAGUUACUGAUGCAAUUCUUUCGUAGGGCGGGCGAGACGUAGAGUCUCUAUAAUCUAGGUCUCAGUAUACGGCUGGUAAAGCUUGAUAGGUCUCAGUAUACGGCUGGUAAAGCGUGAAUUCAAAUACCCUCUGAUAAUGCUCUCCCACUUGCAGGAAGUAGAACUUUCACAGUUGGAGGGGCUCCCUUUACUUCGCUUGCUGCCCUAUUGAUCCCAAAAGGUAAAUCAACCUCAAAGCAAGCCCUAUUCCGAUAUAUCCACCGGGGGACAUGGUUUGUGAUCUUACGUGAGAGAAGAGGUUGGAUGGUAUAGAGUCGGUGAUGCUUCAAAAUGCAUGCUUCAGCCAUCACCAAGGCCUUAUCUUGCAGAGGGGGAGCUUUGUCCUUUAGUCCAAGUCGAAAGCGCUAGCCUUAUUAGUGGAUGGUUCUUACCGACCCAAAAAGCCUGAUUCACUCCUAACCGACGAAUAAGGAACGAUCUUUGAUCACAAACGGUACUAGAAAUAGAAAGAAAGCGAGAUUGCACGAUAGUCAAAGUAAAGCAAGGCCAAGCAACUAGGCAAGUAGACAAGUCGUUGCGCAGGGAUGCUCUUACCGUAGUGCCCCCUUCUUCCAGCUUUGUCGGCUUUCUUUCGUAUCGGCCUCGAAGCCAACUCACAAGCUUUCGUAUCGGCCUCGAAGCCAACUCACAAGCUACAGCUAAUCUCCUAAUUUCCACUUCGGUAUUUCGCCAAGUGCGAUUAUAUGAAGAAGUAGAGUCAGGAACUACCUUUCAUUCUAUAGGGCCGUUCUUCUCCUCCAACCAGAAAGGGGGUUACAUUCAAUCCAGUGCCAUCACACCCACAGUUCAUUUUCUUUCCUAGGAUAAACCCAAUCUUUCUUUUCUCGAUGCCCUUUUUCGAUUGGUUAUGGUUAGAAAGAAUGGAGGAAAACUAUCCCAUACUUAUAAGUCUAACAUGCUUGCAUCACAAAGUCAGUCUAACAUGCUUGCAUCACAAAGGGAGAAUUCCACUAAGACAUACAAGAGGUACAAAGAAAAGAGAACAAGCUAAAUAGUCCAACAUCAUUUUCCAAAGUUCUAUUCAAAAACUAAGGGUGGAAGAAGAGUGCAAAUGUUUACUUCAACAAGCCAUAUAUAGAAAACAAGCCAUAUAUAGACUUUCUUAUUAUUUCCCAUGUUGCACCUUGCCGGCCACUUCGUUCACUUGGCUUUCUCCAAAGGCAUAAGAAAGCAUAUAAGAUAGGCAGAACCCAUUCACCAGAGGCUUCUAGAAUGUCUUAUUUGGUAAAGCCAAUCAACGGAGAUAAGGUAAGGUACUCUUAACUCUCGACAAAGAAGAAAACGAAAAAGCAAGAAGUACCCUCAGAAUUUGGAAUUGACCUCUCCUCCAUCCUGCCACCCUAGUGCUCUGUGCUCUGAACUAGGAAUUGAAGAAUGGAACUGUAACCAAAAAAGCAAGAAGUCACCUAGAAAUGAAGACUGCAACAUAAGGUAAGAGAUAGCGCAUUGGACGAAAAGGUAGAGCAAAAGCAGAGGAAUCAGAAUGUAAAGUAGUCUACUGCAACAUAAGGUAAGAGAUAGCGCAUUAGAUAAGAAGGAACAGAACGGAAUCCGUCCCCCACUAGGUAUGUUCUUGUUACCCGACUAGAGGUAUAUUAUAGAAGCGGUAGCGAGCGCCAAGUAACGCAAAGACAACUAUCAUAAUCAACUUAUACCACAUAUAUACGAUUUAUGAGUGGUUAUUACAACACCUGUGCCCUUCCGUCAAGGCGACAAGCUACUACUAGACGAGUCACUACAACCUUCGUUUUUUCUCUACCACUUGCUUUGACUUCGACUGAAGAUAAGUAUUCUGAUCCAGCAGAUGCUGAUUCCACUGGCUUAAACUCAUUCUGAAAGAGGAGCUUAUGUCACUAUACUAGCAUGGCUUCACACAAGCAUCCGAACCUACAUCCACGUCUUGUUGGGACUGGCAAUACUUAAGCCUCAGUAAAUUCCAAAAUAAUCAUAUAUCUAAGCUUAAGGAAUAAUCAUCUGUUUGUCUACGAGUUCCAUAAGCCGAAUCUUCUCUUUAUUUUGAUUAAAUGAAAUGAAUAAAUACCCACACCCCGCAUUGCAAGGAUGGUGAGUUUGUCCGGAAGGGCUGCACAGUGUCUUUCUUUACUUGGUUCUAUAUCAAGUGCUUCAAGAAAGGAGAGUUUCAUCCGUUUCUAUGCCCCAUGUGCUCAAUAGAUUCAAAUAAGAGGUAGAGCUCCAUAAGCUAAGAGGUGGAGUUCCAUAAGCUCCUAUUGUGGAAUUAGUUAGGGUAAGGCCUAGACUCUGUUUCCAUAGAAUAGGUAGUUUAAGGAAAAGAAGCAAUAGUUAGAUCAGGUGAAGGUACGCGCAGGAAGUAAAGGAAAUGGAAGUGAUAGUGAAAUCCUAGUCGACUCGAAUGGACUGUCAUGCAGGGUUAAGGUAAUAAUCUAGUACCUUCUUUUCCGCUAAUUCCGUUUCUGUUCUCAAGUAUGGUUCGGAUGUGUGUUUGUGUUGUUGGUGAAGAAAAAGGAGUGCGUAUACGAGUGAAGUCAAGGUAGAAAGCAUAAGGGGCUUAAGGGUGUAGAUCCCCGUUAAUAAGAAUGUGUUCUUCUAUGCGAUGCUCGAGAGUCAAGAGAUGGCAAAUUCCACAAGGCGCUCAAUGGAUUCCGCUAAUACUCCAGUGCCGUUUCCGCGCUUUCCUUUCCGUAUAGUUCCUUCGAGUGAAGUCGACAAGUUGUUGCAAGCUAUGUGGGAAGUUCAGUUGAGUUCGGAACGGAAAGUAUUGUUUGGUGCGACGAGCUUGUGAGAAAGCUUAAGUUAAGUAGGCUGUAGCUCCGCGUUCCUGUUCUAGUUCCAGAAGCAACAGAAGGAGAAAGAUCUGCUGAAGAAGGAUAAGAAGCCUGAAAAGCAACAGUUUCAAGUAAGUCAACAACUGGCUUGGCUCACUAACGCGUCAUAGUGACUUGUUCCAUUAUGCUUCUUUCUCUCCACUCUAGUAAAGUAUAGAACGGAGUAAAGUUUGUAGAACAGAAUUGCCAGAUUGACAGCUCUUUCCCUUUGUGUUAGUGCUUCCUUCAGUAAUUGGCUUUCCCUUUGUGUUAGUGCUUCCUUCAGUAAUUGGCUUUUCCUUUGUUCGUCUGUCUACAUUUCCGUUUGAUUUCGUGUUCUGGUCUGGCCCCUUAGACCUCUGAGAUUGUACCUUGAGAGUAGUUGCUCAUUUGCUCUUGCUCAUUUGCACUAUUGCUUGUAGGAGUUCCUGUGUUCCUAAUCCUGCUCUCAUAUAAUAAAGUCAUCUUACCUGCUUGUUAAAACCUAUUCCCCAGGACAACCAACCCUCUUCUCGACCUUAAUCACUCUGUUAGCGCGCUUAUUAUUCUAAGCUUGUAAAGUACUAGAUUAUUGCUUGCCUUGCAUCUUGGUCUGCUGACUCACUACGGACUCCUCGCUUGAUUGAAGCUUUUAUCACUCUGUUAUGCCUAACGAAACUCUAAGACGGAUAGUACUAUCGAAGCGCCCUACCCAAUAGAAUGAAAUGGAAAAUCAUCUCUUUCGCAUAAAUAAGUAAACUCACUGUAUUGCUUUCCCUAACCAUUGAAUAUCGGCAAAACUCACUCACUACAGCGCAACCCACAGUUUGAUGCUUGUUGGCUUAUGGAAGAUGGUGCACAACUGAUAGAAGAUAGGAACGAACCUAAUCUCAACCUUAGAAUCACAGAGCAGAGGACCGUAAGCGAUUUAAAGGACCUGUUUUCUAAUCAAACACCGUAAUGCGACACUCAAAAGCUCUAUUACUGCUCUGGUCUGGCUAUAAAGAAUAUGCACGCACAUACACUAAUAGAGUAGAGGAACGUAACCUAACGACUGACUAAACCAUUACUACUGAGGCAGGGGCAUCCGAACCUUUAACUAGACUUGAUAAGGACAAAGGCAGAGGAGAGGGUGAAGAAAGACAAGGAGGGUUCAGAAAGAAAGAGGCCCGCCGCACAGAUGGAAUUGAACUACUGAUUCUCUCGUCGACUUUCGGUGAAUAAAGACAGAGGUUCAGGAUGAAGCGAAAGAAGGGAGAUGUAGUAACAAGUACCCAUUUCUUUGAGUAUAGCGAGAGUUUAGGGCGAACUCACGUAAACACAACACUUCUGAUUCGUUGCUUGUUCCAUUGCGCCUCUGUUGCUUUUGCCUUUGACCUUGCGCUUGUGGCUUCUGGAAUUUCAUAUAUUCAUCUAAAUGCACACAUGCUAUAAAUCCAGUAAUUUGACAUAACUCCUAUCUAUGAGAAAGACUCACACUAACACACAACCUCUGGCGCCCUUGCCAAUACUCAAUUGAAUAUCUAGCUACCACUAAAUUGAUUAUGGUAGAAAAAUGGAUUAUGGUAGAGCAACACUGCCCGGACUCUGAAGUAUUAAGGAAGAAGUCACUUCACUGCGAAACAACAAAUAGCGUUAGGGCCAUCGCUAUUGUAAUUGAAUCUGAUACAAGCACCCCGCCUUGAACGAAAUGAUUAUUCCGCUUCUUCUGUGAGUUUACAGUGAUGUUACUGUAUUCUAUUGAGUUGUGUGCACUAGUAUUUCAGAUAUUUAUAGAACUAGCAAAGGGGGUGAGGAAGCAUCUCAUAUAUGGAACUCCUCAUUUGAUCUAGAAGGUUCCACUCUUCAUUUGGAUCGAUAAGGUUUUUCACCCAAAUUACGAUUAAUCCACUUAUAGUUAUGUGUAUUGCUAUUAAUAUACCUGAAAGUUGUUUGUAUUGUAUAUAUGAGUUGUAGGGUUGCUAUUCUAUACCUUUGUAUAGUAUAUGUCCAAGUCGUAACCGCUGUAGCUCCUUGUGUUUUCGUUCGGUUCUUGUGCGAAAGAACUCCUAACUACGUACUUAGUGUUGUGCCGUUGCGGAAGAACAAGCAACAUUGAUUGAGCUCCGUUAGCGAGCUACUUAAACGUUAGUGAGUUGUGCGUAAGUGACCCUUUUCUCUAUACUUAAUACUUUCAUUUGUGCACCGCUAGCCCUAUAUGAACUUAUAAGGUCUAUGAGCUUGCGUGUUGGAACGGGUUAGAACCUUACCAUACCUAUGAGAGCUUGCGUGUUGGAACGGGUUGGAACCUUACCGUAGUAUUCUAGGUUUGACCCUUACCUUGGACCCUUACCAUAGUAUUCCUGGGGUAAAGGAUAUGAAGCAUCAGAAGUGCCAGUGAUAGGGUGAUCCUAGUCUUAGAGCGGGUCUUCAAGGGUAGUUCGGUGCUAUAGGUGCUAUAGUUUCAUCCAAUGGUCAAGGUCGAGUUCAUUGCUACCUAUGCUAUGGAUACAGGCAAUAUAGUAGACUUGUCUGGUGGUUACUUGGCUGAUAGCAAAUCCGCCUGCCUUAGUUUUUCACCUAAUUCUUAUAUGCGUGAUAGGACCUGACUUUGGAGUUUCAUUACGAGUUUCCCUUCCGAUGUACCUUCCCUUCCGAUGUACCUUCCCUUCUUCGCCUCGGCAGCAACUCUUUCAUUUUGGCAAUGGAACAGCUCUACUAUUUCUCAAGAACUGUAUGACUAUUAUCUUUCCACUUGAUAGCUCUUGUACCGGUGUGAAGUCAACAUCAUGCUUAUUAUUUUCCUAGAAACAUAAUUCUUAUGAUGCCAGGUGCCCCUGCCUUCGUCCAAAGAGAGUAAAGCUGUGCCCAAUGACUUUAUGCCUGUGGUCGAUUAACUUAACAACAACUAUUGGGAUGAAACUAUUAAGUAGGAACCCAAACAAGGACAUCAAUAAUUUCACUAAGUAGUAGAGGAGAGUCUAAGUCUAAAUCAAGGAUGAAAUAGACAAUGUGGAAUUCCAAUCAAUAGUCAAAGAAUGACCUGCCCGCUAGGGGAUCCGAAGUCAGCUCAUUAUAGGCGUAGUAUCAUGGGGUGUUGGGUGGGCAGCCAGCGCUCUCUCUCAAGUAGUCAAAUUCUACUUAGCAUUGAAAGAAUGUGUCUCUGGAUGGACUAAUCAAACUCGCGAGUCGGGAUACCUGACAUAGCUCUAACGCAUUGAGACAAGGGGAAAGACUAUCGCUACUACCAUGAAGAAUUGCACUAGUGCUUCCAAGGCUCCACCGGAGAAUCAAACGACUAAAGGACUAUGACAAUAAGAAUGAAACGACAAAGGACAUUAACUAUAAGAAAGAAUCAACCACUACCCUGAAAGCCCAUUCGAAUUCCGCCUGCCAUUCCUGUCUCCUGGUCUUACACUCCUUUAUCUCAUCCUUGCUUCUGAGUUGUAGUCUUUUACUACUUAUAGCUUAGUCGCAUUCCUUAUUUCACUAUCAAAAGGCUUAAACUCCCCCGUCUUAAAGACUUGUUUGUUACCCACUCUGACCUUCAAGUCUGUAGUUCCAAUUAGGGUCUGACUUUCCUCUGGCUUUUGAGUUGCCCUUUGUGUUUGUUCGGGUGGGCAGUAAACCACUUUCCUCUUCUUAGUAUCGGUUUCAAACUCCAACUUGUUAGCAGCGUUCCCACAGCUUGCUUUCAAACUGACAUUACUCGCUUUCGAACUUACACCACUAGGAGCAAGAAUCAAACACUACCUAAUAGCCUCUAACUCGAUAUGCAGAAUCUUAAUAAGGAAGCAAAGACGGGAACUCUGGCAAAAUAAGGAAGCCAAUUACAAAUUCUUGGACGGAAGCCACUACUGUUUGGAUUGAACCCACUGCUUCUAGGACUGUCGCUCAUACCUUUCAUGCAGAGUCAAAUAAAAGAAUAGGGAAUUCCACUGUUACUAACAAGGCUGUAGCUCGAAACAAGUAAUUCAAUAGGGAAAUACAAGCACUAAUGGAAAGAACGGUAUUACUACUACCAAGAAUCGAAUUAGGGCAUACAAGGCCGAAACACUCUCAAAUAAGACACUUGGGCUGGGGACAGGGAUUUCACUAUUAUUAACUAAAGGAAUAGAGCUACCUUUAGUCUAGCACUACAGGACAUUCACCUUUCUCCUUCCCCUCCCUGUUGAUUCUCAUACCACUUUGUUCAGUUCUUAGACCGGGGUCAAACUUUCACUCCUUUCUUGAAUUAUGACUUUGGUUAGUCACUAGCCAAGUGCUCUUACUUGACGACUUCUGAGUCAAUUUCUUUAUUCUUAUAUCAAUGUCACAUACUAAUAUAAGUGGAAUUCUCCAUGCCUCCGGUCGGGCGUUCUUCUACAACUUAGUGGAAUGUAACUAACAAGUCAAAAAAAGCGAAACUACAACUCCGAACGAUAAAACAAACAAGCAAUACAGCAAGGCGGGAGUAUAAGAGUGAAGCUAAGCAGUAAGGCUCGGAAAGCUAACAAUAUGAUAAGACUAAAACAAGAGCAUAAGAAUUGCAAGCAAGGGUGUCCUAUUCGGUAGUUACAUAAUAAGAGUAAAGAGGAGCAGACUACCUGGCUGUAGUGACAUUCCGAGAAGCAGCAGCUACAAUGCGUGUUCUCCAGUAUAGAGAUUAUUAUGAGUAUAGGGAGGGUUCAUUCCGUUAGAGCAGGGAGUGGUUCCUCGUUUCUAGUUUCACCAUCUGCGGAGGGAUUGUGUUUUAUUCCCCCAUACUACUCAGUGCUCUUAGAAUUCCUGUACCCUAGUGGCUCCUAGCUAUGUGUUUCAUUAUUGCUUAUAUGGUUUCUUCCUGUUAUCAGUGGUCGGAUUCCCGCUUUAUGGCAUGGCUUAUUCCUUAUGCGUGUUUUCAUUGUUCUACAGCUUAGUUCCAUUCUGUUAUUUACUACUUCAAAGACAGAGUAAUAUAGGUGUGGAUUUCCUACUUUUAAAACGGGAGAGGUGGGCUAUCAAGCUUCAAAGCCAGAACUCCCCAAGUAACUGGACAAGUAAGCUCAGAUGCCACAUUAAGAAUUCGAAUGGAAGUUGUACACUAGUGUCGCGGCAGAGUCGUUGGUUACGCGGCAGUGGCCAAGUCACGACUAGACAAGUAACUACUAAUGACCAAGCAACUACUAAUGACCAAGCAACUAAGUAAGACGGGCAAGUCACUACUAACCAAGCAACUACUAGACAAGUAACUACUAAUGACCAAGCCACUACUAAUGUGGCGCGGUAGGAGCCUGAGUGAAACGUCAGCGAGCUAAAAGCGCGGCAGUGUUGUUUUUGCUACUAAUGUGUCGCGGUAGCGAGUGAAAAGCGGCAGCAACGAAUAACGACCACUAGGGAGUUAUGAGCAAGUCCUGUGCUCAAGUAAUAAACGAGUUAUUACUAUUUAUUCCGGAGUCCUGUCUUCAUGGCGGUAGCGAGCCUUUACCUACGGAGGGUUUCCAUUCUUCCUUUUAGUUAAGAGCACACAGUUCAGUUGGUUACCAGAUUCUCUAACAAGUGCUCAAUAAUCCAUUACAUGCUUUUCAGCGGGAAGGAGAGUUCUGCUAGCUCUAGCUCUAGGUCAAGUAUAAGGUUCCAGUGCUAGGAAAGUCACGAGGGUUGGUUGUCAGUUAGGAAGAAAUCUAGUCUAGAAACCUCCUUCCUACCUAGUCAAAACAAAGAAUUCCACAAGCCAGGCUUCAAACUAUUAACUGAAUUCGGAUCUCUUUUCUUCUUGCCUCAGCUCCUGUACUCAUUAACUCCCUGACUUUCCUCUUUCCCAAAACAAUUCAAUCCUCUUGCACUCCUCUACUAAUACACUCAUUCCUGUUUGCUACAGCGAGACUAGAAGCAUAAGUAGGGUUUUCAACUUAUAAUAAAGGCCAGUUCUUUUCUUGUUUCAAUAAGUAUUUCAAGGCGAGGAAGCUUUAUCAACUGAAUCCGGGUUUACAGUUCCUUAAAGUAGUGGUUCCGGGCGAGGUGCUUCUUCAGCUAAUGCAGUUCUUGUUUAAUACCGAGUUGCCCCUGUGCGAGUGAUAGUCUUCAUCCCUUUUGUUUCUUCUCUGUAAACUCAUACUUCUUUAUUGAUUGAUUUCCUUCCCUAGCACUCCUUCCUUUUAGAAGAGAGGCCGAGAGCAACUACUACGGAAGAAUAGAAUGGAUACUGCUUCAACAGGCACUGGGGAUCCAAAACUAUAGUACUUACACCAUCAACUAUGGCAGCAAGUGGGUAUCUCGGAAAGCACUCUCAUUCAGUUGUUUCUCAGCAUAUCCACUCUAUAAUAGUAGUUUACCCUUUUCUUCUACUAGAUGCGUUGGCCUAUGUAUUAUGUCCCCCCAUUCAUUCUUAUCUGUAAACUAGAAAUAUGGGUUUCUUAUCAUUGAAUGCGCUAGUAAGCCUUUAACUCCUAGUUCAUUCUUAUAGUAAGUAGAAGAGCCAAGCGUAGAGGCAGAGAAGUCCACUGCUUCCUUUACCUUCCUUUCGAACUGGUAGGCUGGCUGUUCUAUAUAACUAUUAUAAAGAUCAGAAUUGGAGACAAGCAACGGUACCAGUAUUUCAUUCAUCAAUUCCAUUCUUUUCUUUCGAGAACAAGUAUCUUCUCCAGCUUAGCAAUCCAAGUAUCUUCUCUAGCUUAGCAACCUUAGAAACUAGAGCAAAAAGGCAUAACUCAGUAUACUUAGUUACCUUAGAAAAAAGUCUAGGUAUUACUCCUAAGCAACUAGGCAAUCAGUUGAAACGAUACUUAGAUACAGGUACAACUACUUCUACUCCUAUUAAUACAAAGAAUAAGAGAGUAGUCUUCAUCAGUGGAUAGUAAGGUUAAGGCAAGGGCGGAAAGGGUGUUGAAUCUGCUGUGCUUGUUUCCAGAGAUGAAUUAGGAGAAUUGCCAGCCCUAUAUAUAGUUGUCAAAGGUAUUCCGUUGGGUCAGAUUCAUAAGAAAGGUAAGCUAUGUCUUUUCUCUGGAAAGGUAAGCUAUGUCUUUUCUCUUGACUAAAAUAAUCUAUAUCCCAGGCGCAAGAGAGUCAAAUUGAAAUUCAUUCCUUUACGAGAAAUUACCCAUCUUAUUGAAUACUAGAUGGUUGAUCAAGAGAAGAGCACUAGGGUGGCUAUAGAGCAACCAAGCAACGAACCAAGCAGGCGCAAAGUAACUACUAACCAAGAGGGCAGUUUCUCAUUCCAUUCCACUUACACUGAACAGAGAUUUAUUAACCGACGACACUGUAAACUGUAUACUCGAACCCGCUUGCUACAGGUGCUAAGAGGUCUUACCUACCACAUCCAAGAGGUCCUACCUACCAUAACUCGGUGUUGGGAAAGCUUUCAAAUAGGCUAUUCUUGUCGUUUAAGGCAGGGGAAACUCUAUUACGGGAAAUUGACCAUGAAGAUAACUAUCGGCUGUUAUAGUGAAUUUGAGCCUAACAUCUUGAUGGCGAACACCAGAGGAUAGGUAAGGAAACUAGAUUCUUUAAUUCAAUUGAAAAGUGGUAAGGGAGUGAAUUACUAGACUAGGGAGUUCAAGAGUCAAUCAAGUAGUAAAUAGUAAAGUAGUUGUCUGUUGAGUUGAGUUCAGAAACACUAAGCGGAAGGGAGCUAGUUGUCAUAGGUAUUGUAUUGUUGCCAGAAGUAGAGGAGCAAGAGGAAGUCUGCUGAGCUAUAAAGUACGAAGAAAACCGGGGAUAGGAUCCUGAAAGUAGUAGUCCAGUGGAAUCUAAAGUAGGAGUCGCGUAAGGGAAUAAGUUAUCUACAAAACAAUACUACUAGGAGCUACAGCACCUAUUUUUGAUGCAGAUAUAUAAGUGGCACAGGACAGAUUCUACUGCUUUGAGGCGAGGUCUAGGUCUACUUAAGAUGUUGGGUGCGAGUCUAGGUUCGGUUCGUUGUUGACGACUCGAUAGUUUCGGGUGCUCCUGUUGUCGAUUGUUCAAGUGUAGUUCAAUUGUCAUUGAGAUAGAAUAGCGACCCUAUUGCUCUGAUUUCAUUCCAAUACUAGGGAUCGGGCUAGUUUACUUACAUGUUGGGGUGUGGGUAGGCGUGUCUUGUUAGGGGGUAGGCUUGUGUCACUCCUUAACUAGGGUAUGUGAUUCACUUCAAUUGACUAGCGAACCUUCCCUCUUGCCCAGAGGCAUAGAGUGAUGAAGCUAUUAGUUUCUUUCUAAAGAAUAGAGUUGGAGAGUAGACUUAACACCUUAGGAAUCACAACACUCCCAAGAAAAGAAAUUAGGAUUUGUUUGGAUCUGAUCUAUACUAAUUUACUACUCAAUGAAUUCUAUUAUUAUUAAGGAGAAAGUUGAGAAAGAGAGAAGCAACAGGGUCGGGGUGAACACUUAUAAGAGUUAGGGUCGGGCAAGACUAAGUGAGGAAGAACAGUGGGAGUGGAGUCUACAGGCGAGGAAGCGAGGUAUCUUCACCAAAACCCGAGGUGGAGGAGCAAGAGCUGGAUAAGAAAGAAUAUAACUCAAUCGGAUAAGAAAGAAGGUAUAAAACUACUGAUCUAACUGGUAAAGAAGGAAGGAGCUGCGUCUUGUAUCAAAAUAGUCAUUCUUGAAUCAGAGGAAUAAGCUUUGAAGAAAGCAAUAAAGUCUUAGUGCGCGUUAGGAAGUUGUUCAAUGAAUUCUGGAACUCAUAGCUCUCCAUCUGGUGCUCAAGCCUUAACUUACCUUCUCAAACACGCUGAAUACAAACUAGUAGAUUUCUUUUCUUGUUAAGUAAACAAAAGCAGAAGAAUAAUCGUGAAAGCAAUUGAAAUGUGCAAUUACUGUUUGACUUGCGAGUUAGGGUGGGGGUGAACUCAUCGGUAAGAGCCAAGACACCACUAAAGGAAGAAAAAACAAUCAAUGAGAAAUCAAAAAGAAUCCAGAAAAGUCGACAAGGCUGCCGCGCUUUUAGCUCGUUUUAGCUAUUAGCUCGCUACCGCGUAACAUUAGUAGUGUAUUGGUGCAUCCACAUCCAGUAUUUUCACUAAGUAGUCAAAGUAGGGGUCGGCGAGCUAGUCCAGAGUAGAGGUCUGCAAGGUAAGAAAGAGAAUGCCCAGUGCGAGGUCCAGUGAGAAAGUAGAGUUCCUGCUCGAGUGGUUAGUUUCAAGAGCAAGAUCAGAGGUAAAGUACUUGCUUUGAAGCUAGGUGGGAGCUAGGGAAGUUAUUCUUAUUGGGCCAAGCAACUAAGUAAGACUAAGGGCGCUCUUAUUGUAAGUUCAUGAAAUAGUAAGUUCUACCAGUGAGAGCCAAGUCCUGUGUUCGGGUGCUGAAAGCCUUUUCGACGUAUACUUAAUGCUCUCCCAAUCAAGGAAGGGGUUUAUUGAACUUCUUAGUAGCUGGUUCAGCACUCAGAAUCCCGCCUCCAUCCUAUUUCUGAUCGCUCGCUGUCUACUAAAUCAACUACGCCUUCCUUUGAUCAAUAAGCCGCCCGCAUCUUUCUUUCUUUCUUCUUUAUUAAUCUUUCUUUCUUCUUUAUUAAGUAAAGUAGACUCAGAAGUGAGAAAUUCCCAAUCUCUUUGUUUGUUUGAAGCCAGGAAGCGAAGCUUCUACUUGCUUGUUUAAGCUUUGCUUCCCCAAAUUCCAAUCCAACUAGAUCUUUUCAAUUCCAAUACAACUAGAUCUUUUAUUUAUUAGAAACAAUGGGGCUUAUCUUUCUUUGAUAGCGGGGCAUAGGGAGGUUUCAGAAAGGAUCUGAUCUACGAUGAAUACUGAUGAAACCUGUGCGCGGGGGUAGGGGCGGAUGUAGCCAAGUGGAUCAAGGCAGUGGAUUGUGAAUCCACCAUGCGCGGGUUCAAUUCCCGUCGUUCGCCCAUAACUAUAUUGCAAUUCAGAAAAUGGAAUUGGAUAUUGGACUAUAUAUUGCGACGAAGAAGAACACUAAAAAACGAGAUCUUUCGCUUUUCCUACUUCCUCUUGCAAGUGCUGGAUAACCCCAAGGCUAAAGUGGUUGUGGGUUUUUUCCAUCAAUAGGGGCUCCCCCUUCACCGCCACCAUUUGUAUGGUAUACUGGGUGAAUAUAAUAACCACUCUUAUAACUACAGGACACUUACCUAGCCUAGCCAACACUUAGAUCCGGCUCUAACCACACCUUUUUGGCCCAUCAUUACCUACUCGUCCAACUGUUGCUAAGCUGCUUUUGGAUAUCAAACAGACCUCUCCCAAGAUAGUCAGAUUCAUGUGGCCGAUUGACCCUCCCCAUCCAGAUAGUCAGAUUUAUGUAGCCGAUUGACCCUCUCCAUCCAGAUAGUAAGAUUUAUGUAGCCGAUUGACCCUCUUAUUCGAACUUACUAAUGCCGUUACGCUCCAAAUUAUUGACUUGUGCCUUAGCGAGCGAAUCAACUCACUUGUUGAAAAGAGUGAAAGAAUAGAGGAUAGACCCGUUACUUUGAAAAGGAGUGAAAGAAUAGAAGACAAUAAAAUCAGAUAGGUCCGUAGCUUUGAAAGGAGUGAAAGAAUGGCCAAGCAACUCACUACCCUUUCUGACCUGACCUCUACCUUACUCUAAUAAGUGCCCGACCUAUCUACCACUACUAAGAAGAAUCAAACUGUGCACCAACCAGACUGAAACUAAUCAAUUACAGAAUGGGACUAAGCAGUAUCGGAACCUAACCACUGACAACCAGACUGAUACCGGGUAGACUCAGAACCAAAGCAGUGCUAGCAAGAAUGAGAGAAGGCCAAAGGCGCCUGACUGUAAGAAUGCAACACUGCCUUCCGAGCCUGAUAUUAGUGCAUCUCAGACCGACCCGAGUGACAGAACGAAACAAGCUAGUUACAGGCUGAAGCUAGUUAGUAUGGGACUGUGGACUAGGUACUCAGAAUCAAACCAGUGAUACUAACUUUCAGAAUGCAACCGGGGAAUCAGGGUAUGGGCCGCUAAGGGAUAGAACGGAGCCUCUCUUUAGGUAAUCAGAAUUGCACUCAUGAGCCGGGUGCUCGAAGGUAGGGUUACAGAAUGAAACUAAGCAGUAUCAGAGUGAAACUCGGUUGAGCUAGUAGGCAAGUAGGAAAGAGGUGAGGUUUUAAGCCCAUAUAGUAGUUACGCGGCAGUCCGGGCAAGAAACCCGAGUUAAGAGCAAGCAAGUCCUGUGUUUGUCCUAAAUAACUCAUAUAAUAGAGUUAGUUGCUGUUAGGCACAAGUCUUAAAGGUGAACUAAGAUCUUUUCUCUCGACUAAAGUAAGUAAGUAAGUAGUAGUUCUGGGUGGGUGCACCUCCGCCUCUUCUCCUGCCCGUAGUCCACUAAUUCCAUUCCAUUCUUAACGUUAGAUGAGGCUUAUCAAUGGUAGUUCUAAGGAAAACCAUCCUUCUUUAUCUCUUCUUCUGAGGAAGAUUUCAUGUUGUUUGCUGUGAAAGCUAGUGAGCCAUUUAAGUUCAUAGGCAAGGUGCUGUGUAACGAAGACGAAAGUCUGUCGAAUGUGUGAGUGCGAUAACUCCAGAUGCAUCUGCGAGUGCUGAUCCCAUUAUGAGUCACCUUUUGCUUAACCAUGAAAUGGGAAGACGAACUCAUCUUCUUCCGUCUUGGGGCAAGGCAAUCAAAUAGAAGAUUGGUACUUGUGCUUGCGGGACGAGCUUAGGGAGUACUAGUAUAAGGAAUUGGAUGUUUCUAAGCAUCCUCUUAUUGAGUCUCGGUUAACCAUAAAGCUGGUUCAAUCCCUCUUUAUGCCGUUGGUAUAUGGGAAAACAGUCAAUACUAUGAGUACUUAUAUAUAUAUGAAAGCUUAUGACUCAUUGCUAAGUAUAAAGGAGAGUGAUAACAUAGCUAAACGCAGCAAAACAUUUGGAUCGUAUAAAUAUCCUGAUAUAGCUAAGGGAAUGAAGCUUAUUAAUGAAGCUUAUUUAUUGACGGUUGGUUUUGUUCGGAUAAAGAAGUGAUUGAUAGUAUUCCUUGCUAUACCACAGUGCAGUAUUAUAUGCGGAAUGACAGAAAAUGGAUCUUGAUGAUAGAGUUCACAAGACGAAACAUAAGGUUAUUCUCCGAGUUCCUACAUGAAAGAAAAAGGGAUCUUGCAAGAGUGCUGUGUCUACCUGCGCUUUAUACACCAGAAAGAUGCUUUUAUUGCUAUGAAAGGUUAUUGAUUGGAAUAGCUUUUAAGGUUGGUCGGGACUCUACCCUUGCCUAUCACUGGGUAGGUGAUCCUAUCCUAUUCGAAGAGAACAUUUAGACACAAUUCUUUCGAAUCUGUCUACAUCGGAAUUGCUACCAAAAGAUAGAAAGUUAUGGGAUAAGAAGAAAUAGGAAUUUAUUGAGAGUGACCAAUGCUAUGUGGAUACAGUCAAUGGUAAAGGCUUUAAUACACCAACACCAUCGGAAGGUAGUCACCUUCAUGUCGAGAAGUGGAACACAUUUGAGGAAGAGCUCUCUUGGGAGCAUUCUAACUACAGCUUCCAGUAUAUAAAUGCAGAAAUAGAAAGAAACAUGGUAGGUGGUUUGACAACAAGAAUACCAGUAUAUAAAUGCAGAAAUAGAAGGGAUAGGUGGUUUGACAACAAGAAUACCUCCUCUUCUCAGAGUUCAGAAGAGUCAGUUCUAUAGAUAUUGGAAUCGUUCACUGAAGUAAGUCAAUCGAUUGGGAUAAAUGGUGGGAUCUAUAUAAAGGACAGAGAAUAGUAGCAGUUGGAUUCAAAAAAGAUUCCCUGCGCCAGAGGUUAAGACUAUUCUGUGAUAGCAUUGGUAGUAAUGCGACUGUUAAUGAUGUAGUUUACCCUACUGGGGUAUGGUAAGGCAGCCGUUUUUUAUACAAUGAAAACACCAGCAGGAUAUGAUGUUACCUAUGCAAUUGGUAAGGCUAUUUCUGUAAAUGAUUCUAGCGGUCAUGCUGUUCCUUACGCGGGUUUAUAUGAUAUGAUAGUCAAAUACGCAAUGCUACAAGCAGGGAAGUAUGAGGAAGCUUUGCUCGUAGGUUGACUUUGAAAGCUAUUCUUUAUGGUAUUAACGAGGAUGCCUCUUGUCUUGACUUUACCCCGAUUAGAUUCUAUUGGUAGGAAAGAUUGGGGAAUUAAGGUAUUCCGGCAUAGGUGGUUCACCAGCAGAAGCGAAAUCUAUGGUUAGGAGGCAUCGCAUCGUCCUUAUACCGAUCAUGUAACUGCACUCAAACAAACCAACGAGUCAGGAAAGAAAGGCUGCCUUUUAUUGUUUGUUGUCGAUAUAGAUACUUUUCUCGUAAAUGGAGUUAAUGUACCUUACUGUGCGGGUUUCUUAGUGGUUAAGCUUGGUAUCAAAGGAUGGCGGUACAAGAGCGGGUAACGGUGCACAUAAUUCAUAAUCAAAAGAAGUGAGUUUCUGGGCGGAAUCAGGAUCAUAAUAUGGAUAUGAAGCCGAAGCCAAAUCCACUCUUAAAGAAUACCCAUGUAUCGAAGAUCUGGAUCUACCUGUUGCGCAAGGGCGGUUACAGCACCUGAGAUGUCGGGUUCAAAUGCAUUUAUACAGCCGAUACGUAGCAACAUAGGGAAUUUCUCAUAAGAGUUCGCGGUCUUGCUUAGUUGCUUGGCCCCUCGCAGCAGCACUUAUAAGAAAUACUUCCUUCGCAUUCAUUCAUUCUUUCUUUCCCGCUCUACCCCUUACUUUUGAACCGACCCGCUUCUGAAUUCUCUCGUGGACAACAAGGGUAAAGCUCUUAGCCAUCUGACUUAUAAUACGGCUGGCUAAGCCCUCGGCAACUACCUUAAUUAAUCCCGGCUGCGCUAAACUUAACGACCGAACCUAUGUCUUUAAGUCUGAUCUCUGAAUUUGCCGGGCCUCUUAUCAAUUCAAAGAAGUGCUUAGUUAUUACUCAUAACCUGGAUUUGUCAACGUAAGCUAUAUUUCAAGGUCGAAGGGUUUCUAGGCAUUGAAAAGCAAUCUACCCUGGAAAGCUGUCGUAAAGCUAUAUGCUCAAUUCUAACUGCAGCGCUUACGCCCCUUAUGAUUAGACAAUUUCUAGAGUGGAGCCAAGCUAACAUACUAGGAUUCAUUCGUGAAAACAGAAAGAAGACGGGGACGACUCUAAUGAAUAGAAUCAGACUAGCCAAAAUCCAUACUCCUUUCCUAAUAAAGGUGAAUUUCUUCUGAAAUCGAUGAAUCUCGGCUACGGCUUGCCCCGCACCUGGACUGGCUAUCUCGAUAGAAAUGUAUUCAUCACCACCCAUCUAGAAAGAGUUUCAAGAGGUCGUACUUCCUCCCAGAGCGGAAAUAGCAUGGCGUACCUUCAACAUGGGCUCUUUCCUAUUUUGGAAUAAGGCAAGUUACCUGUCACAAGCACUUUCCGUAUAGGAAUGAAUUCUUCUCAAAAGAGGAUCUGGCUUCGCACCUUCGCCCGGAAUCUAACAUCUCGAUCUCUCUUUCCGCUACUAGAACGGAGAAGAUACCGCUUGCCUCCUUGCCUACUUGCUAUGUGCUCGGUUGCCAGCAGCUUGUUUCAAUUGGAUUUCCCAGAACUAGACUAUCUGAUUGCCCCCGAAAACAGGUGUCAUCCCAACAACCGGUUAUUCCCCACCCGAUCUGGCGUUGCUUGCCCCAACUCAGCGGUUAAAGCCUUAUUGUUUCCCGCGCCUACCUCGACACUCAGUUCAUCAUGUCAUUGCCUCUGAUCUUGUAUUGCAACACCCGAACUACUAGACUUUAGAACGUAAACAGCUCUGGAAUCCUAUAGUCUUGAUUGAUUGUAUCUCUCUAAGCCAACUACUCCGAUAACGAAUACCCAUGUUUUAUAGGCAAAUAUAGGCUUCAAGUUAACUCUAACACAACUUAUGUAGUUUUCUGGGAAAUACUUCAGUGAAUCCGACUAAGAGAGCAACGAAUGCAUUUAUUGUGUAUACCUUAACCUAUCCUUUACUGGUCCUAUACUCUGAAAAGAAGAAUACUAAUGAUACAACUCACACCAAUUGCACUAAAGGGAAGGACUACCCGGACAAAUACUAUCUAUAAUCAUAAGGAGCGGGGGAGCUACACUAACAGUACUACCAGUGCCUACUCAGAAUGUCCCUAAGCAGUAUCACGAUGAAACCGGUGCUAUAGACAAGGCGAUCAGAAUGCAACCACUGCCUUCCAGUCUUAGCAGUAAGUGAUAGGCCAGUUCCAUCCAUUCAAGACUUAUAAGCUAUUAAGUGGAAUUCAUACUAUCGAGAAGGAGCAACCAUGCCUAGUGCUAGUAAAGUUUCUCUCGACCCCGAGUUUUGUCUAUCUAUAGUUUUCGUAUGAAAGGAGAGGAAAUGCAAAAGGGGAAGAACUAACAGAAGCAGAAGAGAAGCACAGAGAAUAAACUGCCGUUAAGUCGUCAGCAGAAGAAUUGAUAGUUUCAGUUCGCUAAGUCAAUACAGAAUGACACUAGAAAGAGGGAUUCCCUCGCCGGUGGUGCAUACUAUGACUAAACUAAGAUCUGUACGAGUAGGUAUAGGAAUAAUAGGCGCUAUAUGCGCUUCAACAGAAUAAGUAAGCAUUGCAGAAUUUCAUCUGUAUUUGUUGACUACGGUAUAUGAGGCAGAGAGGCGCCAAUAAGUUCUCUCGAAUACUUUCCCAAUUACUUUAGGGCUGCUGACCUUCAACUUAAUGCUCUUUUCUUUUCCCGCAGGUGCCCGCACUGUUAUUGUAAGGAGUGAGGCCAAGCAACCUUUCUUUCUUUCCCUGAACUGCUAGCCAGUACUUUCUUCUUACCCGAGAACUACACUUGAAACAAGGAAUGAAACUAAAGCAGAGGGCCAAUCAACAACUACUUCAGAAUGGAAUUGACUUCUUUCAACAAGCCCUGCAGCUGGCUACUCAAACUAUUCACUCAAUUCUUUACCGCGCCUUAGCAACAAGUAAUCUCAAUAGGCUUUCCUCGCACCGUUUGUUUCCUGUUUUUGUAACCUAAUUAAUAGCUAAAGUGAAGCUUUCCACUACGCCGCUCAACUCCCCAAUAUUUAAGUAGAGGCCGAACAAGACUCUGUCCUUCCCGCUUCUGAGAAAACCUCUAUUCCCCCGCUUCUUAAGCACUAACUUCGAAUUCAACAAGUCAGUAUAAUCAUUCCACUAAUAACUAUAAGAAAGAAACUCAUAAGUCAGAAUGAAACUCCGCAUUACUCUAGCUCCCGAACACAGGACUUGCUACCGAAACUAGAACUGUAAACUCUCCCUUACUCUUUAGCAGAUACGAAAACAAACAGGAACUGCUCCUUUAGCCUUAGCGGAUACGAAAACAGUAAUGGAACUUGCAGCUUACAAUCGAACCCUCUCUCGCGGAUUCUUGAUUGGCUUUGAUCUUAGUUGUCCACGAGAAUGUUCUUAUAAAGCAGAAGUCAGAGAAUCAUAAGGAACAGGUAAAGGUAAAGGCUUGAACUGAAUCUUUCUUUUAUCGCGCCCAUACCAGAAUAAAGGAAUUGAACGGAGCACCCUUUCUGAACGUGCAACUCAGGAAUUGCCAUUUGACUCUCUUGCAUCGCGCAGACAGAUAAGAUUUUCUCUCUUAUAACUCAACUCAACAAGCGCAACUCAUUACUCAACAAGCUUAGGCGCAACUCAUUAAUUGGAAUGGAUUCUUUCUUCUCGAGCACCUGGUGCAAUAAAGUUCUCAUUUCCUCGACUUGAAGUUCCUUCCCCAUAUCUUGCUGGUUCAGAAGAGAUGAGAUUCUUGCCCUAACUCUACUUGAAGGGAACUUUCCGAUUGCAGAUGACGAACUUGAUACUGGGAUCUGGAGUGGACUUUGACUUUGGCCAACCACCUCUAUCCACUUUAGUACACCCACCGCUUGCUGCUGACACAGAUGAAAGUCGAACUGAAACAUCAUUAACUGGCACAGCUUCAUAUCUUGAAACAGCUUUAUGCCAGGGUGAAGUGCAACAUUAAAGGAAGGCUCAAAGCCAGGCUUUAGGAAAGAAGAACUACGUAUCACUAUGAAUAUUCAUACGAACCUGCUGCGGAGCUGUUAAGUGAGUGUCUGGCAAAGAGCUUUCUUCGCGUAUAACAAGAGGUGAUGCUGCUAGGAAGUGAACGAGUUAACAUCUUUCCGAACAAGGGACACGUGAAUGCUUACAACCCUUAUAGGUAAGGGAGCAGCUCUUAGAUCAGUAUCGGAGAUGGCCUCCCAGCACCCAACGGGCAAAAGAAAGAGGUGAUGAGCUAAGUCUAGUGAAGGGAGAAUCUUCUCUCAGGUCUUCAUCUCAUGGAUGAGGGGGAGAAGCCAUAUCGAAAAUAACAUCUCUGAAUAUUCUCUUUUUAUAGUAGGGCGAGUAGCAAGACUAGAUUUCUCUCUGAAUAUUCUCUUUUUAUAGUAGUAGGGCGAGUAGCAAGACUGGAUUUCUCUCUUUACUCGUGGAUGAACCCUUCCGUCAAGCGGCUUCACAGCUGGCCGAUUGGAAAUGCUUUUUCCUACUAAUUGCUUCAAUGAUGGUUUCUUCAUAAAAUCAAAGAGAGGUGGGUGGCAGGUUCCUCAGUGGAGAGCUCACAAAUUCGAUGCUGCUUCCAAUCUAAUAUAUAAGUAAUUGGAAAACCACAGACUUGGAGAAAGAAGCUCCGGGAAUCACGACUAGAAUGCUUUCUCUUUCUUCGAGCUGAGACAGAUCAUUCAAUAAAUGAAGUUCUUUUUCCAGGCUAGUAACUGAGAUGAUGAAUAAGGGGAACUGCUUUUCUAUUGGUUACUUAUCUUUGACCUUUUUUUCAUAGCCCCGGAUCUGAUACCUAUGAUGGUCAAGUCUUGGAGUGUUCUUCGCCCUUACUUGUUAGCUUUUCCUCUUUCAAAUAGAAAGGUAAAGGAAAACAAUGCGAACUGCUCACCCGGGAAACUAUCACUUCUGUAACAGAGGAUAAGAUCAAAGGUGAGAACUAAUCAUCAAUGCUUUUAUCAAUCCCGUUCCAUCAUUCUAUACUCCCUUCCCUCCCUUCCCUACCUGUUUGGAAAUGCAUUUAUGUUGCUAUAAACUGUUGUCAUAGAAUCUGGUUCAAUAAGGAAGUACCGGUGGGGAGCUGUCGAAAUCUUUUCUUCUGUUUUGUUUGUUGCUGGGAAAGUGUUUCUCGGAACAGAAUAAUAUAUAUAUAAUAAGACCAAUUAGAUCGAUCAAGCCUGUAAGUAAUAAAUAGAAAGAAAAGGUCUACAUCCCCAAGAGCAGGAACGAGAAGAGGAAUGAAUCGAGUAAGGUCUGGAACUCUCUUACUGACUUUAGCAGCUCAUCUCUAAUCUGGGAUGCAUAGUAGUCUGCCCACAGGCUCUUUAAGGUUCUGUCUGCUUUUCGUCUUUCCGGGUUUCCGCCUUGUAUUUCUUAUAUAUAGUAUAGGAAAGAAAGAGGAGCGGGCAUAGGGAUGAGAGGUCAGAGAAUAGGAUUCUGUCUCGAAGAGGGAAGGGAUCUUAAUAAAGCUAUUCUACCGUUCGCAGACAUGGGUAAAACAGACUGGCUUGUUAGGGCGGAUAUCUCUUUUUUAUGAUGAUGGUUGGGUCUACGAUAUAGGCGCAACGUAGAGUCCUAAUUGCCGUAUGGAAUAAGUCUCCUCUCACGAGAAGCUUGAGUAAACCUAAGAAUGCUUACUACUAGACAAAGAUAAAGACCGGGGAUGGGAUCUAGACCAAGCUUUCGCAAACAUCUACAUUGGAACUUGGCGCUUUCGCAAACAUCUACAUUGGAACUUGGCUGGAAGGCUUUCUAUUGAGAUAUAUAUUCGAUGCUGUCAUUUCGAAAUGCCCGCUUAUACCGCCCAAAUAGCUAAGUUGGCUUUACGAGCGUGGAGCAAUAAAACAAAAAAGCUCUCUCUUUUCCUUAUACUUAAGGGACAAAGAGAAGCGCUUUGGCUACUGAGAAAACGAACAGUCAGCGCGAAGGUGAAAGACUUAGCCGAGCACGUUAGCGAAGCGCUGUAGUAGCUUUUAAGCCCUAUGCUAUGUGCUAUAAGGUUUGCUUCACUCAUUCUGAUUAGUCUUGCUCAGUUGACUAAGGAAUCUUUGUUUUGGUUUCCUUAGCCGAUGUUGAACCCUGGACUGAUUGGUUCCUGUUAGAGGUAAGUUCAGGAAUACCGUAUAGGCCCAUAUUUCCUAAGACUCGCUGUCUUGGUACCGUGGGCAAGUCUACAACUCAAAAACACUCCACGUAUACUUAUUUCUAUAUACUUAUUUCUAUAAAGUCUCAAGUAAUAAGUAGUGACCGUCCUUCCGAUCUGAUUGAAUAAGACCAAACUCAUAUCUUACCGAACUACACUACCUUCAUCCUCAUAACUUUCCGUCUUGAUGGCAGAGAGUUUACUUACUCUUUUCUUUGAGCCAACUUUACUGAAUGGGAUAUUCUAACUCUGCAUGGGAAAUGAUCCCUGCUAGCAAUUUCUUAUAGAUAUAGAGUAUGCUUCUCUCUCUAGAUUCCAUGUCUAUUCAUCCGGCAUUCUAUUUUCAAAAGAAGGGAAAGAUUGGAUUUAUUGGGAUGAAAAUAACCUUACCAAUCCAAGAAUAUAACCUUUCGACUGAUGAACAUCUUAUUCGGAUUUGGAAGUAUAUUUCGAUUCCAUAUGAGGCUCAAAUCGUAUGAUGAAGACGAGGAUGAAGUGGAUGAUGAUGUGACGAGAGGUGGUAUCCUACUUUUUGUCUAGGACCAUAGCUGCGUCCGGUGGUUGGCGCCUUAGUCAUCGAGGAAAUCGUAUCGGCCUUUGACGCCCUAAGAAAUUCCGGAUUUGAUUAUCGCUACUAGCUUAAGGCAUAUCCGUAUGUGGUCUCGAUACUUGCUUAAGUAAUAUCAGUAUGUGGUCUUCCUUCUUUCUGUCAGAUCGGUCAAAGACUGCACAUCCGAUGUGAGUUAACUUACAUAUGGGCUUUCCUAACAGCAGAGGAGAUUAACCCUCUCUAAAGCUCUCUCUUUCAACGGGUUUCUAUCCGCUCACCAAGGAAAGGACUACAAGGCGUCCGACGCUUAGAAAAUCAAGUGAAGGAUUGGAAUCGCCCUUAGAUUAUAGUCUAGCUCAUCAAUUAUAGUCUAGCUCAUCAAUUGGAAAGCUUAGAGCCCCUUAUCCUUUCCAGUCCAGCCCUUCGAGUACGUGAUUUGUGGGAAUCUAAACCAACCCGGCCCGGUUCCUUGAUUUGGUGUAUAUCUUGCCAUUCUCAGAAAUUCCAUCUCUCCACGAAAGGGCAAAUAAAUGUAGUCAGUCAAAGAAAGAAGCAAGCCGUAUAGAUGUUCUCCAUAGCCUGGAAUUGCAAACGACCUCCAAUCCGUAUAGAAGGGACUUUCUAAGAUAAGCGAUCUUUGCUGACCCAUGAGCGGCUGAUCCCGAGGUCUGGAUCCUUUUACAGUGCGAGGGGGAUCUCUUCUUUUCUCUGUCUCGCAAUAAAGCUCCUUUCCUUCUUCUUGCAUUUCUCUUGAUUUGCUUGAACUUUCUGGUGCUGUGCAAGCCCUCCUUCAGGUGAAGCGGCUAAAGCCUUAGUCUCCCCAGGAGUUUGUAUUAGAACUAACCUUAUAAGUAAGGGUGCCUAGAUAGGAUUCCCUGUCUAAUGGCCCAAAGACGUAAUAUGAAUACCGCCACAAAAGUAGAAGAAUACACUGACUGCUAACAAAGCGCUGUAACUACCCGGGCGACUAGUACAAUCAAAUAAAUACAAAUAAGAGAAUUGAGCAGCUGACCUAGAAGCUUGCCCUUCAUCCCCAUACUGCUGCUUUGAAUCCUUUAAAUAUAGAUUUGGAUCCUUACUUGUUAGUUAAAGAACCAACCUACUCUAUACCAGACCAUAUCUCCUGUUUUCAUUCCAUAUUGUUUGUAUUACUCUUCCCUUCCUGGCUAUUAGUCAAUAAUAGGAAGCAUCGAACUCGGGAAUCCAACUUGAACUACUGCCGAUAAGACUUGAUCUCGAGAUAGAUAAGUUGGCUGUGGAGGCACCGUAUCGAACUAAUCAGUAGAAUUAUGGGUAUGAUCUAGUGUAUCCAGGUAUAAUCACAUAAUAUAGAAUUCUAAGGUAGUAAAUCUGACUCAAUAACUUCUAAGGUAGUAAAUCUGACUCAUCGGGGAGGUAGUCCACAAUUACUUCACUAGUCACCCGGCCCUACUCAUUAGUUAAUUGAACUCAGCAGCCGCUGCCUUAGCGAUCUCAUUAAAGACCGAGCCUGACUCGCAAGUAGCCGAGCCUUAUUAUCCACCUAAAAUGCCAAGCCAUACUUCAUAGCUUCCAAACCAUACUUGUCCGCUCCACUCUUGUAGUUGCCCCUUACAUUCCUUAUUACCACCUUCAUUCCUUAUCUACUAGCUGCUAUUCCUUAGUUCGAGAGUUAGUCCCCCUUCCUUGCUUCUUAGAUUGAGUCUACCUAACUCCCUUGUGAUACUAGCCUGACCUGCCUAUCUUUCCAUUCUCUCACUACUGAGUAGGAUCUUGACUUACUUCAAUUGAGUAGGAUCUUUACUUACUUCAAUACUAGCUAUUAUUAGGAUCUUUACUUACUUCAAUACUAGCUAUUAUAAGAAAUAAAUAAUUGGAUUCAUGGGUAUGGUCCUAUAGCACAUGGGGGGCUAAUAGCACCAACCGAUUGCUAACAAGGCUGUGAAAUCGCUAUUGAUAAGAGUAAAAGACAUGAUAAAGAAUUCCUACAAAGAGUACUAGAAUCGAAACUGAGAAAGCAAAUCCAACUGUUGGUAACAAGGCUAUAGGCUCUAAACUGGGAACCGACCUCGAAACCAGGGGCAAGCAACUGGGCAAGGCCGCCAAGGCACUGGGCAAGUAACUACUCAUUUAAUCUAAUCCGCUCUCAAAGGUCAAGCAGUUACAAGUGUCUCGUCUAAAGUUCCAGUAUAAAGUAAGGUAGAAAGUACAGUUUUUGAUCCUGUCUUUGUCGGCGUUUGUGAGUUGACACAUUGGGCUAAGCAUUCUGUCUGAUAUUUGUAUACGAUGAAACUAGGCACCUUAGCCACGACAUUCUGUUCAGUACAAUGAUAUAAGAAUGGAAGGCACCCAAGACACUAGAAAUCGGAUGAAUCACACCGCUAGCACCAACAUAUACCAGCUUAGAGACUUACCACUUGCGCAGACGGCAUAUUAUUGACUAGAGUGCGACCAGGGAAGGCCCAGAAGUAUUGGCCCACACCAGGAAGUCCUCUCUCUGCGCGCUUUCUUUGAUCAACUUCAGAAUUACUACCUUAUAGUCUUUCUUGUAGCUUUCUUUGAUUAACUUAAUAUACCGACUCUUCCAUUUAGAAAGAGAAUUCUAAAAGAUGGAAACAGGGCGCGUGAGUGGAAGUGGUUCAAGCAGUCCAUGUGCUGUAAAGAUCCCCAAUUGCAUGAGUGUCGGUGGUUUAUGGGCCUACUGAUAGGAGAGACUUUCCCGAGUCGGUCAAUAGAAAAGGCUAGGGUGUGUUUGUGUGUGAUUAACUCCGUCUUCUUACUCUUGUUCUUACCUAAGAAAUUGAUAGCUAGGAGUAAGGGAAGCAAGGAGAGUUCGGGUCGGGUAGGUACGAAAUACUUCUUAGGAUGGUUUACUUACUUGCUUGGGUAGGCUUCUGUUUCUCACCCGGGUCGGGUAGGCUUCAGUGCUUUUGUUUACUGACUUGCUUGUUAGUCAGGUUUACUUACUAGCUUGUUAGGGUCGGGGUUAACACUUAUACGAGGCCCUUAUUGUAAGUUGAGGGGUUAGUUUUGCCUAGUUAAGGGAUAGGCUGACUUACUCGGGUAGUGUCGUUUACUUACUUUCUGGUUCCUGCACUGAUCUGGUUCUUAAGUCUGGUGAGGAUAGAGAGUCAAGGGAAGCUAAGCUAUUAAGUACUGAAGUCCUGAAUUGCUACCAAAAAAGACGGGAAAACGUGAAAAUAGAAUUCCAUCUUGGUUCGUUAGGAGGGGCCAAGGAACUGCUAAUGUUCCGCGGCAGGAGCUCUCACCUUCGCUAUGAAAAAUCCCGGGAAAACGGAAAAAUCUUAUUUCUAUGGAACCCUUUAGGAGGGAAAAGGACUUCGCUACCUUUUUUCUCGGUAAAACGUGAAAAGAUCAGAGAAAUCUGGUCAUCUAUUAGCGAAAAGAAGGUCGCUAUCAAAAAACCCGGGAAAACGUUACUUUGACUCUGCCACUACACAUUAGUAGUUACUUGCCUGAUAGCAACCCUUACUUAUUGACUUUGGACUGUACUUGCACUUAAAGGAAUACUAGUUCCAUAAGCAGGACCUGAAGCCUCAUCCCUUUCAACAAGCCCAGCUGCAGGCGUAAGAGCACAUAGUAAGUCAUAAGCCAAGCCCCAGUCAGAUUCAAAAGAAAGGGACGAAGCGGGCUUCUACUCGUAUAUUACUCUAUUCCUUUUCAAUACCCGAGUUAGAUGAGAUGGAGGCAAGAACAUUACUUAUGGAUGCAGACAGCUUUCCUGGCACUGCUUUGGCUUCCCUUAAGAACUCAGUCGGAUAAGAUAAGCUUCCGCAACGGAGCAAGAACAAGAUGAUGACCUUAACCACUUGGUUGCUCUUUCUACAAAUAAGGAAUUUUGAAUGGAAUGAUCAACUACAGGCUCUACUUUGACUUUCCUCUCUGCUAACUUCUUCCCCUUACUUAUUAAGGCUUAAGGCUGCUCCUGCCUAUUCUACUGCUUUUGAUAAAGAACUUGAUCCAGCUCGAAUGACUGAUUGACCUGAUUCUUCGUCCUGGCCAAAAGGCUCUGGGCGCUAAAGUCAACAGUGAGUUUCGGAGUUAGGUUACUUCAUUCUAUCAUGGGGGAGCAGAGCAUAGCACUCAAUUCCAUUCUUUUCUUUUAUCGAAGUAGAUAGGUCGGGUGUUUAGAGAGCCUGUAAAGCACUAGUUCCACUCUUUCCAAUAGCUGUAAAUGCACCGAUGCACCGAUGUUAUUAAAGAUUCAAUCCUAUCUACCCUAACAAACAAGCAAGCAAGUCCACCUCUCCUCUAGCUCUGGCAACAAAGACAGAUUCAGUUGAAGACCGUCCCCACUCUUUGAGUUCACCUCGACCCAACAAUAAACUACUCAGUCCUGUCUUCGGCAACUACUUCUCUAUUAACUCCCUGACUAACUCUUUCACUCCAGAGUAAAGGAAGAAAACAAGUCAUUCAAAAACUGACCCACGGAGCAAGCCCUACUCCCUAGCACUAGGACAGGAAGAGCCGGCUAAGGUAUAGAAUUCCACAGGUUGCUGUCAACUACCCCUAAUAGACCUAACUAGUCAGUAAACAAAGUCAGUAAACACUUCUUUCCACAAGCCCAGCAUGAGACCCCUAUCCUCUGUCAACUUGACUAGACUAGCACUAUUGAGUUGCCCUAGAUGCAGGCCUAGUAACUGACUUCGGGCGAUCGGUCCCUCUUUUAGACUACUAUAGUACCCGUUGGGGCUGGAAACCAACUAUUAGUGGUCCUCUUGAUUUCAGAUCAGAAUUAGACCUACCCCUUAACUACCCUAACAAGUAAGUCAACUCCUUUCUUAUUGUAUGCCGACCUCGACUCAGGUACUGAAGUACAGAAAAUCACUAGAACUGGGGCUAGGGCUUCGAACACCAAUUCAUUACUACCACUCACCAAAACCCAGGACUUGUCAAGCAUCUUAUUCUGUUGAGCCUUCUCUGGCUUCAGAUCAAUAUGUAUCUGCUUCCCUUGCCUGCCGCUAGUGUUCCUAGGCAAGUCGACUCUUGCUCAUCUACCGGAGUAAACAAAUACUUCUUGAAACAAUAAAUACGGAAUACAGCUGACUACUAGUAACUGCAUUCUUCUCCUCUUACCUAUGGCAACUGGCAACUCGAACUAUGGCUACAAAUAAAGAGUUAAUCGCCUCUGGCUACAACUACAGAUUCUACUACUCUACUACUAGUUUGGGCAAUCACUUAACUUGAUACUUUACCUCGCCCUGGAACAGGCAAUUCUCUUUAUAACCUUGAUUCAAAGCAAGUAAGAAGAAUACCAGGACAAUUAGUUCCAUAUCUAGCCCAGCCCAUAGGUGUGUUAUCGACCCGAACUCUCCUUUCUUCAUCGCCAGCACCUUUCCUUGAUACCUGCCCUCGUCCUGAACUUAACCCAGCUUUCCACUUCUUCUUUACCUUAUUAUCUAACUGCUUCCUUACCAUCCGAUUCAGCAUCCUCUAUUGAAACAGCAGAUUAUUGAGCCUCCUCCUUAACUGAUCUAGCUUCUGCUGGAACUCAACUUUAAGAACAAACAAUCAUAAACACGCGCACCCGAAACAAAACAAUAAGUGACUUUACUUCCAGCUUCAGAUCUUUGAUACUUUUCUUGCCUCCAACUGAGGAUUCUUAAGUAGACUUUUUUCCUUGCAAUCGAACUACACUUGCAGAAGCAAACGUUGCAGUGUACUUACUUUUAUAUCUAUAUCAUGUGCUACAAAGUCAUAAUGGAAUUGAUUAACAAGUCCUUUCUUUUUUCGUUGUAUCGGCGGUAGUUAGUUAUGGAGUAAGCAGUGAGUUUGUGUCAGCAAAGUAAGGAGUAAGCAGUAGAUGAGCUCCUAACGCUUGAAACUCCUAACGUUUCAAAGUAGCUCCGUUAGCGCCCAAAGAGACAGCUAUUGUUUUGAUUUUGAGUUUAGCUGUUUUGAAAGUGGGAAGUCACCCCCUCGGCUAAUAAUUAUGCUUGAGUGGAAGUCUUAUGCAACUUAUAUAUCUGCCACUCGAAACAGUACUUACUGUUAAGGCUCUGGACCACUACCUAGACUUUAGCCAACUCCUGGAAUUGUAUACUUGACCUCGACCAGAAGGAGAAGGAGACUAUUCUACCGCCGACCCGAUUGCUGCAACAGAACUAGAGCAAGUUGACUUUCCUGGCACCUACCGAUUAGUACACCUCCGCAUCAGAAGGAACUCUCUCUCCACGACAACUAAGGUCAAGGUUAAAGCCAAUCAUAUUGUCGGUCAAGGUUAAAGCCAAUCAUAUUGUCUGUUUUCUUACUAGGUUAUACUACAUGUUUUCUGACUUGCUAGAAUCCCUGUUUUAUUACUUAACGCAUAGGUUCCCCAACGAUUAACUUCAUGUAGAGGUAAGGUCGGCAAGAGAAGGAGUAGUUCCAGUGACAGUUGUAUCAUAUAUAUCAAUUCCAUUCUUAUUAGCGGUUGGCGCACUCUCCUAUUCCCCAGUUCGAUCGAUCCUUUCUAGUACCUUUGACUGAUGAGUUGGAUUACUUGUUAGCUGCUAGAGUCUUAUCAGUACUAGGUCCAGGAAAUCCAGAAUAGAAUCCGCGUAAGUAGAACAAAACACCACCUAUUGAACUCAAUCUAGUAGCCCCUUCCCACCUUGCAUUCUCUGUACUCAAUCCUGUAAUAAAUAAUAAGGAGGGCCUAUCUGAAGAAUGGGACUACUCCUAACAAGACUUAGUUCAAGGCCACUACAUCAAUACCUGGAAUCCCACCACUGCCACUUCUUAUACUUUUUGUUAGAAUAUGGAAUUGAACUAGUAAGUAAGCAAAAGGGAAGCCCUAAGUUAGUAGUAAGCCCCUAUCUAGUAAGUCUUCCCCUCAUCCAGUACUAGAGCGCAGUGACCCUCUUCUACAGGAGCUCUUCCCACUUCGCAUAUAGUAGUAGCUUGGCUCUUAUUAGUUGAUGUUGAAUUCUUACUUGCUGAAUUCGGCAACUAUACCACUCCUCUUGAAACAAGCCCUGCUGCUGGCAACUAUGAAAAGAAUGAGGCUAAUCUCACUCUUGCUACUAGGUAUUCCACUCUAACUAGACUUCCACUUAUAUGCUCUUUUGACUCUUGCUUGGCUCCAAUACUGUAAGUACCAAUUACUUGAGUUGACAGCCCCCACUAGUGCUCUUGACUUCCACUAAGAAUUCCACUAGUAAGUAUAAGCCUUAAAGCGCGGGGGCAGUGAUAAUUCCACUAGCUACUCGAGACUACUGGCAAAGAAUGUCCACUAGCUACUCGAGACUACUGGCAAAGAAUGUCCACUAGCUACUCGAGACUACUGGCAAAGAAUGUCCACUCGAAACAACAAAGCUACUACUACUAAUAGGGUCGCUGGCAACUAUCUCUUACCUCUUGCUCUUGCUCCCGAACACUUCUCUUGCUCCCGAACACAUAGUCAGUAGGCAAGCUACAGGACUAGAGCAAGAAAUCAGAAUGGAAUGGAAUUACCAACGGGACUACAACUUACCCGGGAUUAUACUCCAACCAUGAACAUAAGGGCAGCCUAUCAUCUAUAAUACCUGGCUGGCACUCGACCUCAACUAUGGCUCUGUACUCUUUACUGCUCUACUACUUAGGCCUAUUAGACCUAUUAAUACUAGACACUGACAACCAUCCCUAUUUGUACUAGACACUGGCAACAAAUACUUCUUGGAUCUCUCUAGCUUAUCUACUUCUCCUUAAAGAAGGGUAAACUCAUCUACUUCUGACCAAGGUAUACCGGUCUUCAACAAGCACUCUAACCUCCCUCUUGCCAACUACUGGCUCGGAUCCAGUUUCAUUCCAAGACUACCUUGUUUCUUCAUUGGACUAGCUCCAUUCUUUCACUCCUCGGUUUGAUUCCCUAACUACCUAGCAUCAACCUGUAACUUACCAGCUCCACUCUCUGUGGACCUACUUAAAGCCUGUCACUCCCUGGGCUGGGCGUGGAACAAGACUUCUUCCGUUUACUCCCCACUUCUUAUUGUCUACCUUGCCGACAUCGACUCUGUCAACUAAUACUGUUAUGGCUCCCGUCCCGAGCACAUAGCAAGUAUACAGAUAAAGCCCAAUUACUUAAGGUCAAAGGACUUGUAUACCAAACCUACCCCUAGUAUAGGAAGAAAACGAGUAAUUCCACAAGCCAAUCACCUACAGAUGAAACCCGGGUUUGAUAGCAAUUCAGGACUUCAGUACUUAUAGCUUAGCUUCCUGGCCUAUCCCUUACUUUAGAACCAGAACAGCACUUACCGGUCUUCAAGCAAACUACUCUAUCAAUCAGGUCUGAAACUCUGGUAUUCUACUUCUUAGAGUAUUUAUUGCUUAGCGAACUUACAAUAAGGGCCUAUACAUUCCUUCACGCGCGCAACUAUAAAGACAGAAAGUCACUUCACCAUCAAGAUAGGGGCGUCUCAUGAAAUCUUUCGCAUCGCCAACACUGACUGACAGAUGAAACUCAACCACAAGGAAAGGAGCGUAUCUAGCCUCUGAUUCUAUAACUGCUGUUCAUUCUCUUAUUGCAACACUCACACCCGCUCAAAGAAUCCGUUUUAGCGCUACUAAAGCACUUGCCUCACUCUGUCACUCCUGGUAAGUAGUAAGUCAAAGUAUAGUGGAUGGGGGUGAAACUGCUGAUAGGAAUGAUUCUCUUCAAGCAAGGGCGAGAUCCGUAUAGUAUCUUUAAUAACAGUUUGCUGGCUGACCUGGUCCUUAUGAGAAUCCUGCUCCCACCUACGGAAACUAUAUCUCCGGGUAAAGCUUCUUAUCUUGUCUCCUUCUACGGACUCUCUAUCUUCUCAAGUUCAUACUCUUUCUAUUUCUCCGGCUUAUGAUUCUACACCUGCUCCUUUAGCCUUAGCAGAUACGAAAGAAAACAGGAACGUAACCUUUCUAUCGAAAACCAGACUUGCGAGCACCACUAAUAUAGGAUUAAGGAAAGACACUCACUCUAUUCCCUUUGAUUUUGCCGAAUAAUACUUGAAGACGAAAACUGUCAUUUCAUCUCACUCGCCAUAGUAUAGUAAAGUUAGAAUUGAACUUCCCACUGAGGGAGUCGACUUAUCCUUCUGUUGCUUCAGGACUUGCGCCAACCUAACCUAAUAUAAGUGAGCAACCGGAACUAGCCAAUCAAUAACCUCUCUAUACGACAAACACAAGAACAGCGGAUUAGGAUUCUUCUCCAAACACAAGAACAGCGGAGCCAACAACAAGAUUGGAUACCCUCUUUAGCUCGAACACUAGCUAAGCACUCUGGUCUAGUGCCCUUUAUGAAUUGGCUUAAGUACUGGUUUCUCUCCGGGCCAGCUCUCUUAUUGAUGCCUAGGUUUAGGUUCUUUAAUGACUCUCUUCCACGCGCAUUCCCUUCUUUUGUUGUUGCUGAUAGUGAUCUACGUCCUGUCAUAACUCUAAUAACGGACAAGUGCUUCCUCGCAAUACACUUCCAGAAGAGAGAGGCUCACCUCACAAAGAAUAGGGUGCAAAAUUCACUAUAACAGCACUUUUUUCGUCUUAUGGGAAAUAUUACAUGGAAUACCCCCGUUGGAACCUAGAAAUGCAUUUAUUCCUAACAUCUUAGGGGUCGAACAAAGCACUUGUGGAGACUUUCCCAGGCCUAUCAAGAAAGACAGAAAUCAAGCUUUACCCUUAUUGACCGCAAGAGGCAGCGGAGGUGUUUACUUUCGAAUAGAAGAGGGGCCAAGCUACUUAUAAAGCAGAGGCAGGCGAGGCAGUAGAAAGUAGGGAAGCAGUUCAGUCAGAUUCCAAAGGGAGGAAUGCGCCGGUGGGUUCAGUUACCAAUGCUUUAGUGGGUGAAGUUACCAAUGCUUGAGUGGAAUUCUGUAUUUGUUAGUGACGAAGCGGUAAGUAAAGUCUAAAGUAUAGUCUAAAGGGAGUCUCAAGAUAAGGGGUGUAUUUUACAGACAAGUAGUAUUUACCAUUUUCUAUACUAGCGCAAGGACUGUGAAAUUCAGUGAAAUCCUAAUCUUACUUUGGUGGUAGAUCGUAUAUAACUUCUUAAUAUGCCCCCUGCCCUAUUCUAUACCUUAUAGCUGACUUUCCGCUUAACAGCUCUGCUUCGGAACUUAACUCAAAGAAGAGAAUUAUUCAUGCUCAUCCUAAACUGCAAGAAUAGAAGAUAGAGAAAAGCAUAGUUAUGCAAGAAUAGAAGAUAGAGAAAAGCAUAGUUAGUAAUCUGACCCUUACCUCGAUUCGAUUGUACUUGCUUUACUGAAUUUGAUUGUUCCAACAUUCUCUUAUAUUCUAUUAUAUGUGAUAUUCUAUUGUAUUUUCCCAUUAGUAUAGAAUCAUUAGUUCAAAAGUCCGUUUCAGAGUACCCAUUCCGGGCACCUCGCAUCAAAGAAAGAAUAGAAGGUAGUAGUUUAAGGCUAAUAGUAAGUAGGCGGGCACCUUAUUAUUAUUAUUAUAGUCGUUGUUAGCAGUGAUUCAAAUCGGCAUUUCGAGCUAAAGUCUGAUACACGGCCCUGCAUUAAUGGUUUGAUUAUGACUUUGGAGUUAAAGCCCUUUUAGCUGUGUAGUAAGUCUAGUUAGUAGUAGCUCCAUUCUUGUUAUCAAUAUUCCUGGUUAAGUGAGUAGUUAACCUUAUGUCGGAUUGUAGAAGACCACUAAGUAAGAUAUGGUUAGUCAAAUUCGAAUAGUCGGAUAGGAGUUCAAUUCGGAGUAAGUCCAUCAUUUAGUAAUUCCUUGUUUCAUUUCCCCUCCCCGGCUUCUUAUCAUUUCUCUUAGUCUCAUGCGCUAGUAGCCCGUACCAUCACCCUAUUCUUAUUCCUAUGUUCGAAAGUGAGGGAUGAUAUUAAGUAAGAAGGGUCAGGAGUUUCAAAGACAAAUACAUACGUGGGUAGAAGAACGAAGCCAACCAAGAGGGACAAGCUAGCUGGUGCAAUAAAGAAUCGAAGUCAUUAGUGAAAUAAGGAAAGAGGAAGGAUCAAAGGCAGUAAACCAAGGUCAGAAGCCAGGACAGAUUUGAAGCCAGGGGACAAAGUCUAAGCUAAGAUAUAUUCGUGGUUUCGCUCUCUAGUUAGUGGGGCAGUAGCCGAUUCUGAUAGUAGUUAGUUGAAUUCCCUCAGUUCCUAUUUCCAUUCUCCUUAGUAUUGAUUUCACUCUCUCUAUAGUAUAGGUAGUUCGGGAAGAAGUUUUCCCUAGUGCAACCCAUUAGGUAGUAUAUAAGCUCGAAACCAACAAAUAAGGGAAUAGAUAGUAAGACUAAAGGAGAGAAUAGUCAGCUUAGGGACAGUUGUGUCUGAGUUGUUUGAUUCUAACCCCAAUAAGUUAUGAUCCGAGGUCAGUGGAGCAAGAGCAAGGUUUGAGAUCCGCAGCUAUAGAAUUGUAGUAAUCAAGUUUGUCAGUAGUGUCGAUCCCAUAGUUGUUGGAAGGUGCUUGGUGGCUAAGAUACAGCAAAACAAGGUUCGAUGCCAGUCUACGAAUCCCUUUCUUAUAAGUCAACAUCAUUCUUCCUCGACCAAUUGCCCGGCCCCUGCUAUGAAUGAGGGAUGCUACUUUCUUUCUUGUCGACUUUAUAGCACUAGGUGAGCUAUCAGGAGCACGUACUACUAUACUCGAUAAGGAGCACAUACAUAUAUACUAUAGGUCGCUUCGAGUACCACUAUCCAUCAAACAAAAUAAGCACUGUUUGUUAUAGUGAAUUUCCAACUAAUGUAUUGGGUGUCUCAUCUCAAUGGUAUUGGUAUUGGGUGUCUCAUCUCGUAUGUAUGCCCCUACUAAUACAAACAUCAGUAAUUAGAAUAUAGUCAAUUAAUUAGAAUAUGGUAAUCAUGUGUUUUAUCAUUAGAAGAUUGGAUUCUCUUUUUCUUAUGGUUUACGGUCGAAAAGGGGUCUAAAAGGGUCUCUAGUUUGACUCAAUAUAUCUACAUAAGUAGGAAUGAAAGCAACAAUGCCCCAACCAAAACACUAGCCCCGAGCCCGAGCACAAACCCUAUACCUGAAAUUCCACAUUAAAAGCUUGAGCAAGACUCCAACUGACUAACUAUCAGACUGAAACUGCUACUCCCCUCCCUACUUUCAGUCUUUGUUCCCUGUUUCAUAAUUGUACUAAUAUUGGUGAAACCCUUGUCGGCAGUGGUUGUGCUACUGCUUCUCAAACGGAACUAGUGCCUAACAAGACGAAAACUCUUAGGCUCCUUUCUGGGAUUCCGUAUUGUCACCUUCAUUCCCUUGCGGACUUAUGGAAUUAUGAAACGACUCUCUACUGCAUGACAUUCCUAUGUGCACCUUUAAGUCUGACUUACUGCCCUGCCAUUCGUUGGUUUUAUUCUCUCCUACUUGAAAGAGAUAGUCUACGGUGGAUGUUACUACUGGACUUUCGCUUGACCCCGGUUGUCGUAUCGUAUAAGGAAGAAGAGAAGAAUGCUUAGCCGACGUAACUACACUCCUAACUCUGUAAGCGCAGACGACGAAGAUUUGCUUGGCCCACGUAACUACACUCCUAACUCUGUAAGCGCAGAUGACGAAGAUUUGCUUGGCCAAUUUCCAUAUUAAUCUCAUGUAUCUCAUAUAUAUCUUAGUGAAAUUGUAAACUCGGUUAAUGCGCUUGUGCGCCGGGCAAGGCAAUAAGUGAGGUUGGUGGUCGGGGUGCUCCUUUGCAGGUUCUUUUCCGGUUGACAGUUUGAACUUCUAUUACGGUUGGCGACGAACAAGCAACGUCUUCAAGUCUGUCCUGUUUUCGUCUUUGAUUUGUCAGAUGAUAUUCCAUUAUGACUUUCUUGCACAUAGUAUAUAAGCUUCUAACCAAACUGCUUCCUUCUAAACUCACUGUUUACUUGUUGAACUCAGCUAGUAACCCCGCAACUCCAAUAGUGGUAUAGUAACGACUAGUAAAGCAAGCUCAUAUGUCAUCUAGAAGACAGAAGACUAAAUGCCUGUUUGCUCGAACCCUACUAGCAAGGACACGUCGAGAAGAGGUUGGCGCUGAGAGAAGAGGUGUGGACUUUUGGUCAGGUGCUAAGGUAAGAUCAAGUGCUGUUAAUGAUGUUUCUUGCUCAACCUUUCCUUUAAUCCGCUCUUUGUAGUAACGUUCGAGCUCUGGUAUCUUUGUUUGGAAUCAAGAUCUUCCGCUAGGGAUCAAAUCCGUUUGUAAACGCUUCUCACAAGUGGAGUAUAAGUUUACGUUGAGGUAGGUGAUUGGCCUUCUAGUCCUGCUGUAGCUCAAAAUCCAAGUAGUUUCGUUCCGUUGCUAGUUUCGGAGUGAGAUGACUCUUUUGCCUUUUCUAUCCGUUUUGCACUCCAUUCUCUUAUGUAUGCCGAUAUGAUAUGAUAACACUUCAAGCUUAAAGCAAGCCGUCAGUUUACUACUUUCUCUAUAUUAGGAUAGGAGAGAGAUUCCAUGAUUUCUCUAUAUUAGGAAAGAGAUUCCAUGAGUGCAAUAAGCGUGAGCGCAAGACUCUUUUGUUGCUAUGAUAUAAGUAAUUGAAGUACAGAGUUAGCUGUAAGCUGUGAGGUGAUCUGUCACUUUAUUCUAUCUAUUUUGCAUCAAAUUCAUAAGAAAAAAGCUAGGGCCGAUACUAUAAGCUAGCUUUCAUACAUACCUGGCUCAAGGCCUUGUGCGUUAGUGAGUAGUCCCAAUAUUCUUUCUUUCUUAUACCUUUAGAAAGAUAGAUUCCAUUCAGUCAUACUUUACUGAACACUUGAACAGCCACAUUAGAUUACAGGCACACUUUACUGCUAUGAUCAUGAUUUUAUAAACAACAAGAAAAGUGUCUUUCUUGGCUUAUGUUUGUUUACGCUUUUCUAUUAUAUGCGUGCGAGAUAUCCUCUGGAAUUCAACAAACAAGAGUAAGCUGUUUGCUGUAGGGUUACUUCCGGAAGUGUAAGAGCAGUGUUUUGACUUCUAUAUGGUGUGGUGUGGAAAGCUAUAUUCUCCUCAACAAGCUAAGCAAGGGCGGGCGCAAGAGCUUAUAAGAGUUAUGUUGAGCCAGCAGUAAGCCUUUUUCACAAGCAAAGCAAGGGCGUAAGAGCUUAUUAUCAGUUUGUAAGGAAAGAAAGCAAGACGUUGGGCUGUAGUGAGUUUACCAGUGAAAGAAACAAGUGUGUUAGCGAGUUUAGGUUAGCUAGUUUAGGAAUGCAGUAGAGCGUGAGCUUUAGAGUUAGGUUACACUAUUAUAUCAUAUGUAAGUUAGAUUCCAUAUUGGCAAGGGCACUUCCUUCCUAGGCUUUUAGCCCACUGAGAAGACAGACGAAAGUAAACAGAACAAGCAAGCUUCCACUUAUUGUUUCGGGGAACAAGCCAAACAAGUAGUAACGGAACAAGCUGUCGUGCUAAUGCGAGCAGAACGGGGUGACGAUAUACGUGAUUCAAGUAAAACUCGAGCUUCAGGAACAACACUCGUAUACAAAGAAAAGCCCAAUAAGCAUAUAAACUCUUUGAUACACUGAACGACUUGGAGCUACUGCCGCACUGACUCACUACCGCGGCGCGCGCAUGUAUAUAUAUCUUAUUCGAAGUUGAACAGAUAAAGUCGUUCGGGACGCGUUAGCUUCAACGAGUACACCCCGCUUCAAAGCCAGCCGAUAUUCUACAGGUAAAGAAAGAACGUAAGCGAAUAGAGACUCCGGAAAGGCGUUCAAGCAGGGUUAAGGACAGAAAGAAGAUAGUACUUCUGAUGAACCUAAUGAGGUUAAGUAGACAGGAACAGAAUUCUCAAAGCUGAUAGGAGGUUUAGUCUUCAGGAACAGUAGCGCUUGUCAGGUCAGCAGCAAGACUAAGUUAUUCAAUAUGAGUUCGAGCAAGAAAGUAGUAUUCUGGCUUUUAAGAGAGUAUUGGCUUUGAAGCUGUAAGUACUGAAUGCGAGAAUAGAGUUCGGGGAAGAAGAUAGCCGAGGUCGGGGCAAAAGGGAAGCCAAGCCAAACCAAGUCAUUAAGUAAGCAGUAAGAUUCCAAAUCAAACUAAGCUGUGUCUUUCAAAGUAUCUAGAAGCCGCAUCUCAGUUCUCAUGCGGAGGAGCAGUUAAGGUAAGGCCAUCAUCUAGUACUGGCAAGGUAGCAAGGUGUCAAUCAGUGUAAUCAAUCGUAUUAAGAAGUCACAGUCGAAAGGAAUCUAAGCAGCCCGGCCCGCUCACUAACGCUGAAAACAGGGCUCGCUCCGUUAGCGCAGCAAACAAGGCUUGUUCCGUUGAGGUGACUCUGGAUUCUAUGAGUUUUUUAGGUGACUCUUUAUUCUAUGAGUUUUGAGUUCUAUUUUCUUUUAAAUAAAGUAUUGGCAUAAGCGGAAUAAGAAAUGUUGGAUUAUUACCUUCUCAGGCGCACUUCAUAUAAGUCUCCAUCAGUUCCGAGUUGAUUCAAUCUUAUGCGGAUACAGAAGCCUAAUCGAAUACCCACUCAUAGGGUAAGCUGCUAUCGAUUCUUCAAGUGAAGGAGAGGUUGGGCAAGUGGAUGCCAGCAUUCAAGUUCCGGCAGAUUCAAAACAAAAGGUGAGCAGUGUCUUUACAUUAUUCCCGCAGUGGUGCAAGAGAGAGAAAAUCAAUGAAACGGAAUUCUGCACUCGCAACAAGUCCAACAACGGUUAUUAUUUCCAACAACGGUUAUUAUUGCGCGAACUGUAGCUUCGGAAGUUAUCUACUCCACUCCUAUCUUUCUGACAUUCAACAUUCUACUUUACUUAAGUUUAGACUUGACUUGACAUCGAGCCUGUAGGCAGAGUAGGGCCAGUGAACAAGCAACGGAAUGAAAAUCCACAAUCAAUGUAAACAAGACAAUAUGUCUUUACUUGGCUUGGAUCUAUACCAACGCUUGGAUCUAUACCAACAGUUCUGAGGUUGGCGCUAAGAGAAUAGGUUGUAUAGCCAGCAGAGUACUUUUACUGUGCUUACCUGUGCUUACUUGACUUAGGGCUUGCUGCGGAUUCAGUUGGUAGGAAGUUGUCCAGUGGAUUCUUUCUUUGUAACGAGGUAGCCAGAGGGGAAGUAGAACUUUGUAGCGAGGUAGCCAGGGGGGAAGUAGAAGAGAGGAGCAAGCAGGGUUACUUUAUUCACUAGCUAAAGAAGAAGAGAGUACUGGCCGGGUAGACCAGAAGGGAGGAGAUAGAAGUACUGACCAGUAAGUAAAGAAUUGCUAUCAUCCCCAUACCAGAGUCGAGGUAGGCAAUAAAGUCAUACUGAGAGGUCGGGUCGGGUAGUUAUUAGAGGUCGGGUAGUUCCAGAGAGUACUCGCUUUGAGUCUAGUGGUAGUAGUCCUGCUCGAGUUGCAUCCCCAGUAGCAUCUGUCUUUGUAGCAAUAGGAGAAGUAGAUGAGAGUCAGUCCUGUUCUGGUGAUUGUUGAAAGAAGUUAAUAGGGGCCCUUAUAGUCUGUUUCGGGUGCUCAAACUCAAGAAGUAGGGCCCUUUUAGUAAGUUGUUAACUCAAAGAGAAGAGCCUGAGUUAGAGUAGAGGAUAAGAAUGAAGUUCAUUGUUGCCCUUAUAUGAAGUUGGUAGAUUAGCAAUAGGGUCAAGAUGUUAGGCAGAAAGGAGCUAUUUCCGCACUUUAGUUGUUUUAUGGGAAAUUCUCUAUGAAGUUCGCUUUCCAUUGCAUUAUAAUAGGGAAUACAACAGGACUCGUACAUCACUCAUUAGAACGUAUUUAUUACUUGCUUUGCUUUCGCCCUUGCUUUAAGAUCUGGGUAUGUAUUAUCAGAAUUGACCUAGCAACUAUCAGGCUUGGGGGCACUAGUUACAUUCUGAGUAGCGCUGGAUUAAGGCUUGGAUGCAGUGGUUGAGGUCUACCCAGCACCGGUUUGAGUCUGAUUGGAGUGAGGUUAAGUCUGCCCAACAGUGGUAUCAGCCUUGGAGUUACUGCUUUGGUUCUGUGAUGAGUUGGUUUCAGGCUUGGACUCCCUUGUUGAAGGCUGUUAGCGCGGGUUGAAGCCUUAGCAACAGUGGUUUCGUUCUGUCACUCACCGGUUUGAUUCUGGUUUCAUAUAUAAAGAGAGAUAGAAUGAACCUAUAUUUUCCUAUACUAAGUCAGUACUGAUUGGGUACUAUAGAAAGAGAUCGACUUUUCUGAUUGAUUUGUGAUUUCUUAUCCAAUUAUUUAUCCCAUGCGAUUCUUAUUGUCUGCCGACCUCGACUCUGGCUCUGUCAACGAAUACAACAAAUACAGAUUCCACUUGACCACUGCACUACUGGAAGGGGCAAUCACUUAACUUGAAACUUUACCUCGGCAAAACUAUCACUCGAACAGGAUCGGUACAAAAGCCAUAGGUUGGUAACGUCACUUAAAGCAAAGCAGGCUAAGAAGUGGAAAUAGCAUCAGCAAGAUAAGAAGCAAGGGAUAUCGUUCCAGUAGAGCUUCCUUGACUCUAUUAAUUAGUAUAAAGUAACUUAACCCUACAGAUAUGGGUGUAAUAUGAGCUCUAACAUAACUUCUUUCGUUUUAUGGUAAAUUCCCUAGGAAGAGAUCACACCUGCUUCAAAUGUAAUUCAAAGAGGGUUGAUUCGGAGCUGGCUGAGUCUUAUUGAACGGUGGAAGAAGAGGAGGCGGGGGGAGUUAAUAACAACUGCAUCCGCUUCGUCCGAUACUGAGUUUGCUUAUUUUGUUUCUUCUACUGAUCUCUACGACUUCACUCUUACUGUAACUGUAAACUCUCCUUUCUUAAGUGUUCUCCUAUAUAAGGAGAAGAUAGAAUUGAGUAUGGGACAAGUAACUGCGUCUGUUACGCGGCAGCAACGUCGACUUUUCUGCUUUAUUUCAUAUUUCUCAUUUCUUGUUUUUUCUGGUUUCUUGCCUGAUAGCUUUCAUUGCUUCCCUUGAGACCUCGACUCUGGCAACUUCCACUUUUCUGGUUUAUUUAUGAUUUGAUCAAAUUGAUUCAUCCCAUUGAAUUCUUAAGUCAACUCUCUUUCCAUUCUUAUUGUCUGCCGACCUAUCCUUGAAGUGCUGACCUAGACUCUGGCUCUGGCUUGGCUCAUAUAUCUCUUAUACCAUAUCGAAGGCUCCUACCUAUAUCUCUUAUACCAUAUCGAAGGCUCCCGAGCACAUAGCACAGCCUUUGGGAGUCCUUAUUUAGCCUAUACAAAUCUACCUCUCCUCUUGCCCGUUACUUGGCCCCUACUUUCCAUUUGAAGUUAAGCCAAGCAAAGCCCUACCAGAAGCAUUAGGUGAACUGCCAACAAGGUAUGUAACAAUUCUCCUCUUUUGCACUCAAUGCUGUUUGUUACCAAAUUCUAAAGGAAAGCUAUGCUAUGUUUUUACUCAUUUAUCUCAAAUGCUGUGCUGAUAGAUUCUUUUAGUUCGCCAAAGUAAGUGCUAAUGUGUUUGUCGGGAAAGUAUUGAAGACUCAUUCCUAACGCCAGGUUGCUUCUCUCUUCCUUAAUUCUCGUAACUGGGGCUCGGCUCACUAACGCGCAACUAGUUGUUUGUGCCAUAGUGCUAACGUGAGAAAGCCUAAGUGUCUUUACCUUAGAGAGAGAGUUUUAGAGUGAGUAAUAGAUGCUUUUUGUGUCCCUAUAGCAUAACAGAAUAUUGAACUUCUAUUCAACAAGCAGCUGGCUCUCGUAACUAACUGAAUGAGGCUCCUCUCUGGUAUUUCACUAACCAACAAGCUACUACGGAAGGGCAGCGGAACGAUGGCUCAAGAAUCCACCCUACUACUGGCAAGCCAGCUUCAAAGCCGAUACUCUCUUCUUCCUCGAGCAGUAUCUUUGAACUCUCCUCUGGCUCAUAUAACUCCAUUUGUUUUCUCAUCUAACUCAAUGGAUUUUCUACCUUAGGCUCCUAGGCAACUAUGAACUUCUUAUAAAGCUUACUCAGCAGCUCUUGAAACAACUUAUUUAUAAGAUAUGAAACAAGGGAUUCCACUCGAAAGAGAAGAGGACAGGUAUAGUAGAAGAAGAGAAGAGAGCCGAAUGGAACAAGCCCAGCAGCUGUCAACAAUACCUCUCCGUAGUCAAAGAAUUAAUCCGGGCUGGCUUACUAAGUAGGGACUAGUUUACUUACUUGCUUGGCCCCUUCCUGUAAUCUAAUCUUCCCCGAACUACACCUUUCCCGCUUCUACUUGCUUAUUCGAACGCUAGGCAAUAAAUAGUACAUGAAUCUUAUGGCCCUUUCUUUUGCUUUAUAAAGAUCGAAUAUAAGUCUUGACGCGCCUAAGCUUGUUCAGUCAAACAUCAUUCUGCAUUUCCAUUUCACAUACGUGCAUAUAUAAUCUAGAAAUGGCAAUACCCUUGCAGUUAGCGGGUUACACCUCGGGUUAGCGGGUUACACCUCGGACAGGAAUCUUUCCCUUUUGCCGAGUAAACAAAUAAUGAAAGAAAUCUCUUUUUGGUUGAAGCAACAAACUAUUUAUUCUAUCUUGCGCCUGCAUACAAAUAGAAUUAAGGAAUGCUGCUGACUCCUAUUAACUGAAUUAGGCUAGGCUCCGAUCAAUCCUCUUCUAUUCUGACCUCUAUCUCUUCUCUUGUAGAACUUCUAUGCUAUCUAUUACCUAUGGCUCAUAUCAUCUAACUCAGGCUGGCUCUUGAUACUCUCCUCUCCACUGACUUUCAAUUCAUAACUUUCCACUUUCAACCGUACUCCACUAAAUUUCGCUAGCCAAGCACAACUUCCUUGCCUUUCAACUGAAGGGUUUCAAUUCGCCGUGUAAACUAUAUCUAGUGCUUCUCAUUCUUUUACUGACUUCUUUCAUUCUCGUACUUAGCUACAGCACUCUUUCACUUUGACUUAGAAGCCUUACUUUUGUACAUUAGCUCGAGCCAGUCUCUCCCUCCUAUAAGGUUGUAACUGCUGAGUCGGAUCCCUCGACUGCCGCUUAUGAGACUUGUGAGCUACUGCUUCUCAUAAUGUAACUGCCGGCAAACAGACUUUCACUACCAACUCAAAGAUCGAAGCAAAGAAUUCCAUUUGAAGCUUCUUUUCUCUCUUAACUAGCACAUAGCAUCUUUUCUCUCUUAACUAGGGAUGAAACCUGCACUGGAACAGGAGAAGGAUCGGCUACUAUGCUUCUUGCCUUUGUUGACAGGUAUAAUAGAAGAGGGUAACAAGCCAUAGCCUCUUUCUCUCAAUUAAUAAUUUCAUAAUUUGGUUUGAGCGGUUAAGUUUGAAUUUCACUCCCAGGUAAGAAGAGGAGGAUUUAGCUAGGUCUAAUGGAAUCAGGUAACCAACCGGCGUGCUCUGGGCUCUUAAUUGAAAGUCGGAAUGAAACCAUCCGCCGCACAGUAAUAAUUUGACAACUAUGAAUUACAAAUUUCCCUCUUCUGCGCUAAGUCCAGAACCAGAAUCUUUGCCAUAGAGGUCUACUAUAUGUUGGUAACAAACCCGCCAAGCUCUUACUGCUUCAUUUCACUCAAUAGCCUGAGGAGAGUUAGAUGAGCCAGAGGAUAGUUCUAGUUUCCGAACACUCGCGGCCCUGGCUUCCAAUCAGGUUUCUGCUCUAACAGCUUCAUUUCCUUACUUUUCAUCUACAGUUGGCUCAUUACCUAUUACAGCAGGUUCUUUCGCCUUUGACUUUGCAUGCUUUGCUUAACUAACUCCAAUAACGGAAAUAUGUCUAAUACUAAUAAGCAAUGGGGAGAGCUCCUAACGUGAAGUCACCAGCACAGGACUCGUACUUGAUUCUGCAGAAGAUCUGGAUUCUGCUCCUUUCGACGAAAGAGAGAGAUCAGAAGCCGCUGGAAAUGAUGUAUCUGUUCUAAAAGAGAGCUCCGUAUUUGCAUUUGCAACAGGGUUUGGGUAAGAAUCCUUUACUACCAUCUGAUCUUAUGCUUGAGUUUGUUAGCUCGAUGAACUAAUUAAGACAGACCUCUUUUGUUGGUAACUUGACUUCUAACUUGUUCUUGCGAAAGCACUUGUGGAAUGUAGGUGCACCUGUUCUUUUAUAGCAGUAGUUUGUCACCCAAGGUAUAGGUCGCUUAAAUGGUAUAGGUCGCUUAAAUGGUAUAGGUCGCUUUCAAGGUAUAGGUCUUAAGAGUCAGUCCAGUCUUUUGUAUCAGUAAGAGAUGUUCUAGUCCAAGUCAAGUCGUCAAUUGAACGUGGUCCAAUGCAAGCAUCCAAAUUCAGUGAGGAUGCCUUUUCGGGUGAAGGGAAUAAGAAAGCACUCUGGCCUGGCUUGCCUGGGGUGAAGCAUCUAUUGACAGCUAGGUUAGGGAAGGGAGUUCUUCCUGUCUUCAUGGGCUAACGGGAAUUUGAAGCGCUAAGUACUGCCAGGCCCAGGAUAAGAAUAAGAAGCCGCAUCCGCAGUGCUAAAGUCAGCAGCCAAAUAACCAGUUUCCGUGGAAUCCCUAGUUGAAGUUGCAAGUCAAGGCUGGUUGAUAAGCCUGAUAAGUUGGGGUUUCUUUCUUUUGCUGGUUUAAUUCCCAUAGAGCAGAUGACUUCUUAGAACCAGUAGGUCAAUUCUGGUUGGCAUAGGAGUAAGAUUUGAAGGAUGCCGCACAAGUAAGUAAGAUUUAUCUGUCAGUAAAGCAGACUCAAAGCCCAGGGAUAAAGAGUAAUGGACAGGAAGGUGAGCCGAGCCUGAGAGGCCAUAGUGAUAGAAUCGGAGUUUUCAGUAGACGAAUCAAAGACUCAAUAGAGUUUGAAAGUAAGUAAGGACAUAGUGAAAUGCACGAGUAGGGCUUUGUUUGUGAAGUAAGUAUUCCAUAAGUAGUAGUGGGUUUCAUCCCUAGUUUAGUCUUAAGUGGACAAGUAGGGGUAUGGUUCAGUUGCAUCUGUAUUAGUUGACAUAGGUAUCGGAUAAGAGACAGAGGAGAGGCUAAAUGCAGACUAGUUGACAUAGUUAGAUGAGCAAGAUCAGAGGGAUAGGAUCAAGAAAGGUCUACUUUGGAAUGCAUUAUUUCUCAUAUUUAGAUGUUUUGAAUUGGAUUUCCCAUAAAACUACUUGAGUUCUGUUAUAGUUCCUUUUUUGCCUAUAAAACAAGGGUAUUCGUUAUCAGAGCAGAGUUGUUGGCGAGUUGAAUACCAAACUAGUAGUAGAGUAGUUAGCUCUUUGAACUUACGUAGCUCGCCUACUGACUAUGUGUUCGGGAGAAAGAGAAGAGUUAUUGUUGACAGAGCCAGGGCAGAGGCAAGAUCAGAGGCUAGAUCCGAGGCAAGAGAAGAGGAGAUAUUAUCCAUUUGCUAUCUAAAAUCCCGGGAAAACGGCCAAGCAACUACUAACGUUGCGCGGCAGCAACGAAUAACGGACGUUAGGGAGUUAUGAGCAAGUCCUGUGUCCGGGAAUGACUUUGGAUCGGUCUAGCAGGGAAAAUGACUUGGCUAUGAGGCAAGGCCAAGCAACGGCGCAAGCCGCUGCGCGGCAGCAACCAAUAGGUAGUUAUAAGAAAUUCUAAACAAGUCCACCAAGCAACUACUAAUGACCAAGCCGACUUAGGCGCGGUAGGAGUUGAGCUAAACGGUAGCGAGCUUAAAAACGCGUUACGCGGCAGUGUUGUUUCACGGGAAAACGCAAAAGUGGAGGAUCCAUCUGGUCACUCAGGAAGGAAAAGGACGUGGCUACCCGCCAAGUAACUACUAACGUUACGCGGCAGUGUUGUUUAACGGGGUUUCAUAAAAGAAUCAGUGCUUUUUCUCUGUCUAUUAGCGAAAAUCUUGUUGCUGCCUUUUUUGCCGUGUUUUGGUGAGUGGGUUGGUUUAAAGGAACUGUAGGCUUAGUCUCCUCUCCAGGAGUACAGGCUUUGCUUUGAUACGAGGGUAGUUGUGGAAUUCAGUGACUGCUGCUGGGCUUGUUGACUUACUAGCUAGACUAGUUAGGGUGGUGGACUCACUUAGUUUACUUACUUGGCGGGUAGGCUGUUGACUUACUUUGUGAGGCAGUGAGAGUUUCAUCCCGUCAAGCAACAGAGUUAGAUUAGCCUCAUUCUGUUAUAAGAGAUGAUAAAGUCAGUAAAGUCAGUUUCCCCACUAUUCCAAAGUCAGUAAAGUAGAUUUCUGUUCUUGUUUCAUCCCAGUAGCAAGUAGUAGUCCUGUGUGAGCCUUUACUAGAUACCUUCGGGCGAGGAAGCUAUAAGUAAAGAAGUAUAGUGAAAAACAUGACAACUGAAAUGAAUUCUGAUAUAAGAGAACAGCCCCGGAUCGGUUGAUUGUUCCUUAAAGAAGAUAAUCAGGGUUGACUGUUCCUUAAAGUAGUCGUGUUUCCUUAAAGUAGUGGUCAAGUGGAAUCUGUCUUUGUUGUCGGUUCAGCAAUGAUAUAGUUAUUGGCUUAGAGUAUCUUUCUGUUCUUGUUGAAGACCGAGUGGAAUCAGUUCUCCUACUGGUGGUAUUGCCCUUAAGUUAAUGGUGAGAUCAGCCCCUACAAAGCAAGCAUCUGAUCUGGUCGACUUCCCACUUGAGAACACGUACUGGGUUUGUUUAGUUACUUCUUUCUAUCAUACCCAAGCCAAGGUACUAGGUUAGUGACUUCUUUCUAUCAUACCCAAGCCCAGGUACUGGGUUAGUGACUUCUUUCUAUCAUACCCGAGCCCAGCUCAUGAUUCUGUUUCUUCCGGUAAAGUGUAAUUCUGAUUCGUAUCCCCUGCUUCGGCGCAAAGUUCCAUUCAUGCUUCUUCUCUUUCAACUAGAUACGCCUCCUUACCUAUCUCCUUUCCUUGGUUACAAAGAUCUAUCAGACCUAGCUCAUGAUUCUGUUUAUCCCCUGAAAAGGUGGAACUCUGACUUGAGAGUUGAGAGCACGGUGAGUGACCUAUUCUAUCUCAAUACCUCGCUAAUGAUUCUGUUCUGUUUCUGGACACCUCGCUACCUUAACGGGGGCCUUUGCCCUUAUUGCUAAGUACGAGACCUUUGCCCUUAUUGCUAAGUACCCGGCUUCCCCACCUGACACAGAUGCCCUUAUUGCUAAGUACCCGGCUUCCUUACAAGACACAGAUCCUUCUCUUUCCACCCUUGCUCCUCUCUUGCAACUAUUAACUGUUACUACUUAGUGAAAUGACUAGAUGUAGAUGCGGGGGCCAAGCUACGAGGCAAGUCGACAACUACGUUCAUUCUUUGACAACUUUGUUCAAUUCUGUAACUCCCACUUUCCUACUUCCACUCAAAGCAAAGAGCUAACUAAUCUACUACUUGCUCCAACAAAGAAGCUCUUAACUACUAACUAUAGGAUCGACUAACUGCCAAAAAGGCUAUAAUUACUAAUAAAGAGAAUCAACACAUUGGUAAGGAAUCGAAUUACUAACUAUCGGAUUGAAACUCCCUAACCUAAUUCUUCAGCUCCGGCGUCUCAGGCUGACUUUCCCUUAUCCCAUUCUCAUAUUGCUUUACACGUUCUGUAUUACCUACACCGGCUACUAGGCCUGUUCCUUACAUUCCGAAGUUCGCCCUUGUCUCUGCCAUUCCUCUACCUAAGCAAUUUCUCCCUUGUAUACGCAAAUACAUAGUAAAGGCUAUAGGUCCGGAACUACAAUACCCAUCUAGUUGGAAGAAAGAAUGAAAUCUAGUUGGAAGAAAGAAUGAAAUGAGAAAUAAGGAAAUGAACCAAUCAGAAAUGCGCUACUCCAGGGCAACUGCAAGAAGAAAAGCGCAUAAUUAGGUUUUGUCUUAGGUAUUACUGCUUCUGUCUUCGUAGAUCAAUCAGUGCACUAAAGAGUAUUGGACAAGCAACUGGGAAAUCCACUAUUAAUAGAAAGAAUGGAACCAAUGCCUAAAAUACUUUACUAGCGCUCAAGCAAACUACAACCUUUAUAAGGGAACUCCACUUAGUACCAAUCCGAUUAGGCUGAAAACACCCUAUGGGGAAUCAAGCUACUAACGAGAAGACUCAUCUUACAAACCGAGCCUUACCCUUGUUCUCGGUCUUAUAACCUGGGCAUCUAAAUCUUAUUCCUCUGCUAACAAGAAUAGAGCUAGCAACAAACGGGCUAUAAUCACUAACUUCCGGGGCUUACUACCUAUUCUGAACUACUGACCAAAAAUCGAAGACUUACUUAACUGUUAACAAGACUCGCGCUACCACGUAUAGGGUAACCAAGAAGCAAGGGAAUAAGUAAUGGAACUAAUGCUAACACGGCUAUAGCUCGGAACUAAGAAUCAAAGGAGUCAGAAUCAAUCCGGAAAUAAGGAAUAUAUAUGAAGUAUUUAGUAACGGAAUAGAACUCGGGAAUCGCCUACUACUUAAGAGAGCACCUAUUGCUUCUAACUGCUCUGUGGAAUCGAGAAUGUAAGUACACUGAGUUAAAGAACGAAAGCUCGGGAUGCUAGGCUUCUACCUUUUCGCCUCAGGCUUGUUCUACUGUUUUUCAUAAUUGAACUUGCAAUAAAGAAAUCUACUACUAUAGGGAAUUGAACAGAAGGAAUAGGCAAUCCAUCCAACUAAUGGAAAUAAGAAGAGAGCUGAUGAAAACAAGGGCAGCUUUAGCUGGCAGCGAUGGCUACUACAAAAAAGAAAUCAACUGGGAACUCCGCCUUUCCCCUUAGCAUCAGUAGUAGUGCAACCUAUUAGGUAGUAUAUAAGCUUGAGGGCUUAGAGAGGUAGACUGUAAAAGGGAAUAAAGACUUAUAGCCGGGAAGGGAAUACUCAGUCAGUAAAGAAAGGACCGGUGCCAGUGUUUAAAGAACCUAAAGUCAAGGUAGUCGGGGAAGACUAAGUAGAGAAGAAAGAGGUGAAGAGUAGAGAUCGUCUCCUUAAGAAUGAAUACCUAUACCGAAGUGCUUAAGUCUCAAGUAAGCUGGAAGCGGUGGUGCAAGUGGUAAGGAAAGGAGAGUCAGAGCCCCAGAGGGGAAAUAAGGAUUCGAACUCAUGAGCCUAAGCCCGAUAGUGGGCCAGUAUAGGAGCGGAUACAGGGGAUGUAACUAAGCAGUCAAAGGGUGAAAAGGGGAAUAAACAGUACGCGUAUAAGACAGCGCCCAUAGCAAUAGAAAAACAAACCACGCCCAGUCCUGUUUUUCGAGUUCUAAGGGCAUCUAAUCCUUAUUCUUUACCAAGAUUUAGUAGAUACUCAAUUUGCUACCUUUCUACUGUAUCUUUUAUCUUCGUAAACGAGUAUUCAACAAAGGAGGAUUACUACGCUGGUAAAGAAGGAUUACUACGCUGGUGAGUAAGGCUCGCUUAUGUGUCUGGAGUAGUAACGCUUAGGCAAAUAUGAGUGCAAUUCUUCCUUUAGAGUUAUCAUCUUAAGAGGUAGUAGUAAUAUGUUUUAUCGCUAGUUGGAUUCUAUUCCUGUAUACGCUAUAUCUCGAUAGACUCCCCAUUGGCUAAGGAUAAGAGAGUACUGGCUCGGGCUACUACAGUUACAUUACGAUUAUAUAGUAGUUCAUUCCCGGUCUAUAGUGAAAUUAUUUAGUGCACUGUUUAGGUAUUCUACUACCAAAGUCAAGAUACUGAUAUAAGGUAAGGUACGUUCGAGAAGAAGAGUGAUGUUUACUUAAGGGAAAAACAUAGAAAUACAAAAUAAGUAAAGACGGUUAGUUCAAAAGCAAGGGAUCAAUCCUGAGAGUAAAGAAUGCGAGGAACAAGUGGAAAAGUGCAGUGGACAAGUGGGGCUCGUAGCAAGGCGAAGUAGGGUCAGGUCAGUUCUCGAGUUAGGUAAUUAAGAUUAUGCCUCCGGGGGUGAAUACGAAAAGACAGGAGAGUUGGGCUAACAUAAUCGAAGGGGAAUACAGCCUAGCGAGUGCUAGUUUGAGAGCAAGUAGCGGAAGAGACAAACAACACAUAAGCCAUAAUGAAAGUCAGUAGUGCUAUAGGUUGGAGCUACAACAUUGGAAUGCCAGUUCAGCCCGGCAGUCGUCAGAAUCAAAGACAGGAAGAGCAGACUUAUUUACAGGUUCGUAAGAAUACAAGUAAGGCAAUGUAGACUAAAAGCAAGUAAAGUCAAUACAGAAUUACUUACAUGGUAGCAAAGCCUCACUUUUUCCCUUCAAACUUCCACUAAUGCCAGUUAGCCUCUUGCACUCUCACUACCUCUUUCACACUGACUUUGGGUGAUUACUUGCAUUCUUUAUCUACUUCAUUGGAUCUUUACUUGCUUGGAACAGGGCUCCUUACUUACUAUAACCGGUGCUACCAAGACAGGCCUACUAUAUAAUACUAUUAGAAUUGACUAGUGCCUAAAAGGGGUUGAACCCAUACCUCAAAGAAUCCACUAGGAAAAGAAGAGACAAAUAACUACUAGGCCGGACCUUUGCUUAUUUGUUUUAGAAUCCAACUGCUACUGGGGAGAGUGGAACAUAUAAGUAUCAAGCUGAAAGGAGAUAUCUGGAAUGCAAACACUCGCUAUCGGAUUGAACUUCUGCUAACAGGACUUUAGUGCGCCUCUUUCACUCGUCAACUACUAACUACGUAAGAUGAAAUAAAAGAAGAGAGAGUUGACACGACACAUGGGAACUAGGCUGGGUCUACCUUCCCCUUGUAUAAAACCGGUAUUGCACUAGAGGGAUGAGACUUGUGCCUCGCCUAAAAACGAAAGUGGAACUCUGGCACACUGGGCACCUAAUCUGGUUUGUGAGUUUUAGCCUCUUCCCCAUUAGGGAACUGCACUAAGCUAGGGUAGAAUCCCACUCUUAAGUAAGAGAAUGUCCCUGCGCCCCCCACAAGUGCAUAAUUGUACUAAGCAGUAAAAGAGUAAAGGUAGAAACACUUAAUUACCCUGGUUACUCCGGGAUACAAGAAGAACAGGAUAGGAAAGCAAGCCUGAAGCCAGGGUUCGGGGCAGAAUCCAGUAUUGCACUUCCGAAGUCAGAGAUAAGGCUAAGAGUAGGCCAAUAAGAUUAAUAGGAUACUAGUACUUUGCAGGGCUAAUACUUAUAGUAGCAGCGGUAGUAAUUAAAGCAUAUAAAUAAAGAAACCCAUCCUGUAAGAGAAGAAUCUCCUGUAAUAGAAGAAUCGCCAAGUAGGAAAGUAACUACUAGACUAACAACUACUCGGGAAGUGAAAGAAAGAAAAGAGUAAGUGCCCUAACAGUAAGUACACGAAUGAAAGUCAGGCAGGACAGACAUACUUUUCGUUCGUAGUGGCAGGCCAAUAGACAAGAAAUACUUGAUUGGAUCUUAGGUUUGUUGGGUCGUGAGAGGCUUAGAGGCGAAUUAAAGACUUUAGUGCGUUAGUGGAAGUGAAAGCAAGCAUAGUAGGAUCAAGGGGGCCAAGCUACUAAGUAAGACGGCCAAGUCACUCGAACUUCACCGUCUCAAUCUUGCAUCAUAUGGGCCUUAUCAAUGGUAACCGUUACGAACUUAUUGACUUACACCUACCUGUAAUCAUCUUGAAUCUAUUGACAAGAAAGUCACUUUCUAAGAGAAGGGAUUGAUCACAUCUUCCAAAUAUCCUUUGACCUUAUUGUUAUAGGCGCUCUGGCUACUUUCUUGUUCUAGAUGGUGAAAGUGGUUUAUGGCCUUCUGGCUUUCCUACUCUAGACCGUCCAAUUCCACUAACAUUGCUUCAGUAAACUCGGGUGGGGUUAAUCAGAUGGCUCUAUACGGUGUGGACCUGAGGGCCUUUAGUCCUAUAUAGAUCUAGUAAUAAGGGAUGUGAUCUUUUCAAUGACUUUUGAAUAAGCUAAUAACAUCGAUCGGACUUUGCCAGGGCUCCUUUAGCGUCACACGAAGACAUAGAAAGUCAGAGAACAAACAAAACACUUUAUGUCCUUUUAUUAUUACAGUUGUGUUCUAGGCCUUGCCCAGUAGCUUGGCCCUCGGGUUAGGUGAAAGGGCGCCUAUAUCAUACGCGAGCGACAGAGUGAAGUAAGGCCCAGCAAAAGAAAGUGCAGUUAUAAGUAAUAAAUAAAGCAGAUGGCGAAAAUGUUCCGAGUAAUAUAAUAAGGAAUUUCCACUCAUUCAUGUACAAGAGAAGAGAGUUUCUCCACAUUGGGCAUCCUAUCUAUUUCAUGAAAUCAUUCCUAUCACAAUAGGGACCCUUCUCGAAAAUUCUGUAUUAUUGCUCUGCCCCUGACUUCAUCUAAUUUAUAUAUUAUGUCUUCUACUCUCAACUAAACCUUAUUAUUUUAUUGAAACUAAACCUUAUUUUUGUAUUGUCCAUUACUUUAUAUCUCUUAUAUGCAUUGUAUUGUCCAUUACUUUAUAUCUCUUAUAUACAUUGUAUUGUCCAUUACUUUAUAUCUCUUAUAUGCUCUUUGAACUUCUCUUUCUCUAUCUCUUCUUCUCUUUCUCUAUCUCUUUAAGCUGUUUUCGGGCUCUGGCUCUGCUCUACCUAAGAAAGCAGCCAAUAGUGGUUUUCUUCUUGUUCUUGCGCCCUUGGCUUGUUUUAUUGAACAAAAAGUGUUAAUUUCGAAUGCAGACAGUUGAGCUCAUAUGGAAUCAUGUAAUAAGAGUCAGAGUAACACAAAGAAUGCUUGCUUGCCCUAUGGGUAUAGUUAGGUAAGAAAGGCUAUAUUACGGUAAGAAUAGCUAUAGGUUUCAGUAUCCAAGGAAAGACUCUAAGUUCUCGCCCUGUCCUCUCUCUCCUAUCCCCCGCCAGGCUCUCUUUCUUGAAAUGCAUAUUUUCCUAGCAAUAAGUAUAGUAAGUAGACUUGUUCCGUUUUCCUAGCAAUAAGUAGACUUGUUCCGCCAACUACACACUGAAUUCUGUAACUUUCCCGGACGCCGAGUGAAAGAUGAAUUGAUUCCCGGCCCGGAUGUUCUUUCUAUCAAGUAGGAAUGUCAGAAAGCUGCUGUAGGAAUGUAAUCAAGCUGCUCCUUAAUGCACCCGUAAGCUAACGUGAGCAACUUUCCCAGGACUUGAAGAAGCACCAAAAGACACUAUGUUUGAAGAGCCAAGUGGACAAGCUACAGUAGAGGUAUAGUUGACAGCUGCUUGUUUCAAUAAGUCUUUUUCGCCUGAGUGAGAUUAGAUGAGAGCCAGAGCUGUAGAUUCAAAGUAAGGGUAAACAAGAUCAGAAGCCUUAAGCCGAAGAAUGUCCUGUUCUUGUUUCAUCUGUUUGUAGACCUCUUGUUGGUAACUACACUUAUUGUCCCGCAGUAGCUCCUUGUAAUGACCGGAAUUGCCUGAUAGUCCCGCUGCUAUGUAACUCAACAAAUUGUCCUGCUUGAGCACCAAGCAACAGAGCAAGAACAGAGAAAUAAACAAGGGGUAGAGUUCCAUAAGCAACAAGCUACAACUUUCGAACAAGUGCAUUAGUUGACUUUCCGGGGUUAACUCAAUUCGUUCUUCAAGAGUCAAAAAGCAGUUAAUAAGUUUGUUUCUCGAGUGUUUGGUGACUUCAUAGUCUAGGGUUUGCAAAGAAAGCAAUGCAGUAUUAAGGCUUACAAUUUCUAGAUUAUGCAAGAGAGACUAGACUCUAUUAAGGUUGACUCUGAACACUGGCCCAACAACUACAGUUUGACUUGUGUGAAGAGCUACCAAUUCACUAACUUAGGUGAAGCCCUAGCUUCUUUCUUUCCUGCUUGUACCACUCCUCGGUUUGUUUUCCCUUACUUUAGCACCCGACCCGAACUGAACUCAACAUAACUUUAAGCUGCAGCGCGAACUGACUCUGAUCUUUCAACUUCAACUGAUUCUUCUAUUGAAACAGCUUCUUCUGAUGAUACCGCUUCAGAUUCUGGAUAAAGACAAUAAAUCAGGACAUUCUAUUCUCGUCGACUUACACUCUAACUAUAUUCUUACUUGAACCUUAAAACAGCCUACUAUCACAUGUAUUAUACCUUAGUUGAUCUAUUUACAUCUCCCGCCUUCUUUCUACGGUACAGUCAAGAAAGCAAUGCAGAGGUUGUGUACUCAAAUCCAUAUGUUACACACUCCAUUCUAUUCAAUCAAUAAGCUACGUUCCUAAAGAGGAAGAUAUAUUUGGCCUUGCUUCCCUAAGAAUAGAGGCCACCCCGUUCCGCAACAACAAGAAGUCUGCUUGCUCGAACUCACUAACGGCUAGGUUCUAUCUUUCUGUCCUAACUAACGGCUAGGUUCUAUCUUUCUGUCCUAACUAAGGUGCUGAAAGCCUCUGGUCUCUGUUCAAGGCAGCGCUUUCUGCUCAACAUUUGGAUGAUCACUUUAUCCUCAGGGUUGCAGCUGUUCGAGUGUUGUCGUAUCAAGAAGAAAGAAUACUUAGGCAAAAGUCCCCUACUUACUUAAUACGCAAAGGCAGUGUAAUCAUAUUACUUAAUCCACGCAGUGUAAUCAUAGAAAGAAGCUAAGCUAAAGUCAAAAGGAAUAGAAUGGAAUUUAGUGCUGCAGCAUUUAUGGAAUGAAAGUAAGGCGGGAUAGAAGCAGAGGUCUAGGGCUAAUACUUUGCUCUUUACUUCCCCUUUCCUUUGAUUAGAGCGGUGUCCGAGCAGCUUGUUCUUGUUCAGUUGUUGCAUUAGGAAUUCUUUAAGGAGCAAAUGCACCUAUUCUAGAAUUUCUUAAGAGCACUGCUUAUCGAUGAGUGCCAAAUCAAGUCUUACUGGUUGGUUUAAGAAGGAGGCUAUGAAAGUUGUUCAUGAACAAAGGCUUACAAAAAGAGGAGAAAUGCAAACGGAAAAAGAAACUCGAUUUCUUACCUCCGGCCACGUCCACGGCCUCUUUGGCUAGACCCCAUCAACCUCUGGAUUUUGGGAUUCAUGAUCGGUCUUAUUUCUUCCACCUAUUCCUCUUUGUCCACGACCGACCUCUUCUUCCUCUUUGAGACUUCGAUUCAUCUUUGUUCUCAAGCGGUUGCUUGGUUUGUAUAAUGUGCUUGCUCCAUAGAUUGAUCUUCUCCAUGGUUUCUUAGGUUGAUGGAUCUUCUCGUAUGGCCAUUAUGCUUAUUCAUGUUAUUAUUUAUCCAUCCUACUUAUUCAUCAUGUUAUUCGGUGUACUGAUUCCGUUUCUUUUGCAUCGUAUAAAGAAGCAGUUCUCAAGGAAAGUGGAGUGAUUGUUUAAGUAGAAAGUUCCGUUGAGAUCGGGCGCUAGGCAAGAGAGAGAAAUGAUCCUUUUCGUCUUUAAGGAGAGGUCGGGCGCUUAGCAAGAAAGAGUCAGGGUCUUUUUGUUGACUGAUAUAGAUACAAAGCCAUCUUCCAUUGAUAUAGAGACAAAGCCAUCUUCUCUUUCAGCAGCAAGUUAUAAGUCAGCAACGGAACCAGCAAGCUCAGUUUGGCCGACGAAGAAAUCAAUUGCAGAAUGGAAUCUAACAUUCAUAGUUACUCACGCAUGGAAUAUUGUAACCUCAUUGCUUACUCACUUAUUGAAUAAAAGGAAGCGGGAAAAUAAGUUCACCUUUCUUAUGGCCCAAGUUGUAGAUAACCUGGAUCGGGAUCUUCCACAGUUCGAAUUGAAGUUACAAGAUCCGGAUCAGAAGCGAUAGAAUCCGCGGGAGAAGAAGCUUUAGAAGAUAAAGGAUCUGAAUAAGUGGGAUAAGAGGAAGGAGCUGAUGAAGCUGCAAGCGGUUCUGUUCAAUAUCUUAUCUUAUAUCAAUAUCUAGUAAAGAAAAAGAUAUCAACGGCCCACGUAGCUCCCGAAACCUAGACUUGCACAUCGUAUAGAAAGUGUAGCGGGUAAUCCUCAAUGACAUUAUGUUCUUGUGUUGAUGCUGUAGUAGCUCCUUGGGUCUACGUUGCUUGCCGUCUUGUCUACUUGCCGUCUUGUCUAGUAUACGCUUGGCUGAGCCGGAGUUAUAGUGUCAGUGCUCGUUAAGUCUAGGCCGAGCAACAACAGUGUUUACUAGCAGCAUUCCUUCCCUUCCUUCACUCAAUGUAUCAAAAGUGUUUACUAGCAGCAUUGCUUCUAUUACUUAACUCACCGACCAUGUUAGCACAAACAACUCAAUUCCCAUUGGAGCACAACGUCUUUCUGAACUCCCUCACGCCAACAGUAGUCUUGCUUGUUCAUUAUAUGUUGCUAGGUUGACUCUCAGAAUUUCAUUGAGUGUGAGACAUAUAGAAGAACAUAAACUAACUGCUGACUCCUCCAAAGCAAAUGUAAGCGGAAAAGAGGAGCAACCUGCGCCGAGCUCGCAAACGUAAGCGGAAAAGAGUAGAAACCAGCAUUAGCACCAUUAACUAAAGAAUUGAGUGCACAACCAACUUAUGUCAAAGAGUAACAAGUGUAAAAGAGUAACAAGGCACUGCACUUCCGUUAAGAAAAGUGAAAACGGCCCUUACUGCUAGCUUACUUAACGAAAUCCUUUCCUGGCUCACUGAACUCCAUCUUUCUAAGGCACCCCAAGAAGUCAGCUAAUGCGUGACGGCGUUAGCGAGCGGGCAACUCUGUUAGCACUUAUUAGUCUUGAAUAACUCCACUCCUAAUCCGGCUCCUGCUCUAUCUAACCUAACAGCGAAACUAGACUUGACUCCUAAACUCAACCGGGUAGAUCGACUUGGUUCUGACUGCUGACUCCUCCAAAGCGAACUUAGCACAAACAAUCAAAUGCCCCGCCGAAGAGAAAGAAUAGAAGGGAGCGUUUAUAUGAUAUAAGUAUAGAUGAAACAACCAGCUUCCUUCCCUUUGGCUUCCUAACUCUAAAGCAGCACUCAAUAACCUAACUUGCUUUCGCCCUUGCUUUGCUUGUUGCUUCAUGAAAAGGCUUACUUGGUUACUUUUCGCUUGUUCCUAUUCUUUUUCUUUCGCCCUACUUUAUGAAUUUAGUGCUCAACUUAUAUAAACAGAAUAGAAUAGAAGAUAGCUAGCAUAUUAUGUAGUAGCGGAACUGAAAAGAACUGACUUAUUGCUUUCGGCAACCAUUGAAUAGAGGCCCGUGUUAGAGAAGUUGAUACAGGGAAUAGAGUCGCACCCCGACCCCGAGUUGCUUCUUUUUCUUUCGCCGUAGUGACUUGUAUGUCCGCUUGUUGGCUUGGCUCUUUUCCUUUGCCGACCUAUCCUAAACUUGAAGUGUUGAACCGGCAACCUAGUUCAUAGUAGCAACUUGCCUUGGCACUGAGUCUUCGACGUUACUUGUUCCCGUUCGCGCACCACGUCUUGAUCCGAGGGAAAAUAGUUAUCAACUGCCCUUACGUGCAACUCAAACAUGAAUUUCUUACUAUGGUCGACAACACCAUAUCUUGCAGCUGACUUAUUACUUGUAGAAGCAGAAUUCAAUUGAUCUAUUAAUGGCACGGAAGCUAGAAUUCUCUUAGGAAUGCACCAACACCGAGAGAUUUGACUCAAACAACGGAUUCUGUUGCUUCAGAUCUGGCCUCUAAUCAAGCAUCUUAUCGAGUCGGGAAAGCCAACUCCUAUCUCGUAGCCAAACACUUUAACUGCAUCUUUUUAUGCUGCAUCUGGGUAUUCUUCUCCUGCUCCUGCUGACUCACUACUGGUACUGGAUUCCUUUACUCCAAUAACGGCUUCUUCACCCGGAGACAAAGAUUCCAUUAAUUCCUUCUGAAAAAGAAAGUAGAGAGUCAAGGCAAGGGCGACACCUAACUUGUUGUUCCGAAGUACUUAGCGGGCCAAAGCCAAAGAAAGAGUUUAUGAAACUGGAUCCCUAGACUAGACCCCUAGAGGAAUUCCCUUCUUAGUAGCAGAAUUGGUCACAGGAAAUUCCAUCUAUCAAAAACGGCGGAAGUCCUCAUCAUCUUCUUUGCCGAUCUUGCCUAGCUCGGUUUCGGCAUCAACUAGUUCGUCUUCCCCUUUGCGGGUGGUUCCUAACCUGCCCCAACCUAUUAUGCUUCGGAGGAAGAUUCAGUUGGCUCUAAAGGUUCAUCAGCAGCUCCCUCAAACAGAGGACUUGCUCCGGACGGGACCGGUUUCCAGUGUUGUCGUAGAGAGAAGCUCUGCGUCGGUCAAAUAUGAAGUUAGUGGGAAAUCAUCCAGAAAGAAACAAGUGGAUUUAGUAUAUAAUUGGUCAUCCUUUCAAUAACACAUUCUUUCACUGAAGUAUAGUCUCUUUGCAUGCUUGGUUUAACCUUGAAGAGAGUCAUCUCGGCUUCGCUUCUUAAUACGAUCAAGCAUAAGAUUAGCAUUCAUGAGAUUAGCAUUCGGCUUCUUCAUAGGAUGAAACAAGAACAGGAAACUCGUAUUCUUUACUUAGUGCUCUUAAGAGUAAGAUAGUCUGCCCUGAACUCGAAAGCGCCUGCAUCCUCACUUGACUUAAUAUAUCUUGCGCCUACGCUUGUGGAAUGGAAAUGGGACUCUCCCUAUGGAAUUUCAUGGCUACACCUCUGAUUCUUAAGACGAUGAAAGGCAGGAAUCAGUGUUUAUUAAGAAGUAAAGCACCAUAUAGUGUCAAGCUCGGUAAAUGCUUAUUGUCUGUUCAAACUCAAUAAGAAGCUGUAAACCCAACAAGCAACAGAGGAAGUAAUAAUUUCAUCAGCGCGAGUAGGGGCUCGGGUAUGAUUAGCAAGUUGGUGAGUUAAUAGCUUUCCAAGAAGUGUGAAAUAGCUUUACAAGUCGAUGAUCAGUAGCAGGUCAGGUCCGAGACGAUAGGAUGAUCAGAAGGUACUGAGACAGGGCCCAUGCUGUUAGGGAGGGAAUUAGAAGCAAUGGUCGAAAGCCUGACAUAGCAUUGCCGUGGGUAGGUCUAAGGUCGGUCGUGUGAACCUCUUUUUGAUCGUAGAAGAAGAAGUGAUCUGAGGAAUAAGCAUAACUCAGUGCCAGCAGCCGCGGUAAGACAGAGGCGUUAUCUGUAUUGAUUGGGCGCGUCUGUAGGUGGCUUUUUCAAGUCCGACGUCAAGUCCAAUCCUAGGGCGAAACCCAGGACAGGCGGUCUAAACUACCAAGCUGGAGCAUUUAAGGUUGACUUCUUCUGCCCGUAUUGAGAUAAAGAGUACUAUACAAAACGAAUUACAGGAACUAUAUCUGCACUUUCUGUCUUUCCUUCCCACGCCUUAACCCUACUUGAGAACUGGAGACUUUUUCCAUAAAUUCAUUCUUGUGCGACUACUUAGUGGAGAAGAGAUGGAUUCCAUAAGUGAGUGGAAAGUGGUUGUUUCCUAUCAUCUAUUUAGACUGGACCACUCUACUACUUGUUUAAGGGUAAACCAGAAGUCAACCCGCAAUUGAAUCUCUCCGUUACCAGAAGUCCAGGGGUAUAUAUACUGGUCUGAUUGACUCCUUUAUAUACUAGCUAAGGCAAGCAAGAACAAGAGCAGAGGUAGACUUAACGGAUGAUUAUCGAACUGAAGAUUCAUUCUCAUAUACUGUGCGCCCCCUUAUGGAACUCCACGAAACUAACUACUCGGUGUUGAAACCCUUCUUCGCUGCCCGCCUGAACGAACACGAUGAGCCUUCUUUCCCUGAUUUGACACCAAUACACCUUUCCUUCCUCUAUUGGGGUACAAGAACUGCUGAUAUCCCCUCCUUUUUGAUUCUGGAACUAUUGAAUGACUUGCUUCUUGACUUUUGUGAACUGGAGCUUCUUACUAACAGCGACUUGACCAUAGUAACUAAGUCUAUUUACUCCCGCGAGCUUUCUGGAGAUAAUUCCUAGUGCUAUUAUUACUGCUUGCCAGACUCAGAAAUGUGCCCCCCUUGAUACUGCUGCCAUACCACAUUAAGUCCAAUUGUCCUAAGGCUUCUUUAGAGAAUCUUCCCACAGCAAACAGCUAAGCUAAUUCUACUGCCGAGCUAAAGACUCUAGCGAGAACUGCUUCUCACUCGGGUGUGAUUGAACUGGGUCACUGAACUCUCUAUCUGCCAUUCGCCCCUUUCCUUUAAGUUUGGACACCUGCUUCCUUAGCCUGAAAGCCAGCUCGCCUACCUCUAUAGUAUGGAGUUUCCCCCCUCGGUCUUGAACUAAUGACUCUAUCAAUUCCGUACCUCUAUAUAAGUGCAUUUCUUAUUCAAUCAAUCAAUCAUUCCGAUUCCACAUUAUCUGGGAUAAGAUCACGCCGAACUUCUGCCCAGUAGUAGCUCUAGACUCUUCGUACAGCUAAGGAUAAGGUGCGGAAAGGCGGAAAGGAAGUCAGAAGGGAGGUCCCCCUGGUGCCAAAAAGGCAAAGAGAAGAUCUCUAACAGCAAAAGCUCUAACAGGAAAAGAAAAGCAGCGGAGUCGUUCAAAGAAAAAGAGAACAUCCUCCACCAUGAAAGGAAAACUAGAAGAAUCGUAAGUACCAAAAGGUCAGUGAGAGUUUGAUAGAAAGAGACCAUGAAAGGAAAACUAGAAGAAUCGUAAGUACCAAAAGGUAGGGAAUAUCUGUCGAUCAGAUGCUAAGAAGGCUUACACUGGUUCUAUGUAACGCCAUGCCCAUUCAAGGUUUGAAUAGUUACGGCCGACCCUAUGUGAUCGAUUGAAGUUGAUACGAGGUCGCGAGUAGAGCAGAUCGCUUUUCUCCCAUAAGGCGAUGGAGAACAAAUCCCACCCGACUGUACAGAUCAGUAGAAACUCAUCCCUUUUGUAGGGCAGGACUGCGCGCGCACCUUUGCUUUCUAAAGCCUUUGCUUGUGACAUUGAAUCUAGUGCACAUCAACUUUUCAAAUAGACAUAAGGUAUAAGGUAAACUAACAGAAUAAAGUCAACUCACUCGAAACUCGAAACUAGAAUCACUCAUCAUAGCAUAGGAAGUCAAUAAAGCCUUUAACAAGCUCGUAGUACCCCCGCAGCCUAAUAAAGACAGUUAGUAAUCUACUCGACCAGGUUAGGCCUACAUCUUAACGGGUAAGGCUAAUCGUAUAAAGCAAGGAUGGAUAGAUACGCUAUUCUAUUAACCUUAAGUGCACAUGGUAUACAGUCAAACUUGAUGGUGGUACUCGUAUACGGCUCUCCCAUAUAAUUGGUAUGGUGUCGUAUUGUAUUAUAAGGAGAGUUCCAGAAGGUAGCUCCUUUAAGGAGAGUUCCAGAAGGUAGCUCCGUUCCAUGGUACUGUGAAGGUAUGCUUGUGUUCACACUCGCUGGCGGGCGGGGAGUUGCAAUGACUAACGCUAUACAUUCGACAAAGCAGCUUGUUCUCUUUAUUAACAUUCGACAAAGCAGCUUGAUUAACAUUCGACAAAGCAGCUUGUUCUCUUUAUUAGAAAGAAACCCCAUUGACCUAUCUCACUACGCUGGGGUUGAAUCGAAUCCAGGCCAGCCGAAUGAACGUGAUCCUGAGCCAGCAUCAAAUCUUCACUACAAGGCGUUACACGCUGGCAGUUCUUCUUUGAUGGGAGCUAGCUUAUCUUUAAGCUUCUUCCUUUGAUGCUGUAGUUUGGUGGGCGCACUACCGCUUUUAUGCCUCAGCCUCCGUUUGUUUGCUAGCAGGGUAUGCUCUUUCUUUUUCGUUUGUUUCGGAUAGAUAGUGUGCAGUGAGGGAUCGGGUAGCCAGUAAUGACUUUAAUCGGCGCAAGCUCUCUACUCCCAUGCCUUUCUUGGUCGGACCAACCCAACCAGUGAUUUCCUACAAGUCUUUAUGAAUUUAGAGAGCCAGAAGCGGAACAAAAAGAAAUGAUAUAUCUGAUUUUAUAGAAUUAUGGAUAACCAAUUCAUUUUGCAAUAUUGUUGGUAUAUCCUCCCCAAGAAAUGGGUAAAUCAAAUUCAAAGAUCAUCACAUGGGAAUAGAUCUUUAACCAAUACUGAUUCUCUAUUUCCAUUGUUGUGCUUUCUGAAAUGGCAUACCUAUACUAGGGUUCAAGUUUCGAUCGAUAUUUGUGGAGUUGAUCAUCCCUCUCGAAAACACAGAUUUGAAGUUGUCCAUAAUUUACUGAGUACUCGGUAUAACUCACGCAUUUGUGUACAAACAAGUGCAGACGAAGUCACACGAAUAUCUACGGUUGUCAGUCUAUUUCCAUCAGCCGGCUGGUGGGAGCGAGAAGUAUGGGAUAUGUCUGGUGUUUCUUCCAUCAAUCAUCCGGAUUUACGCCGUAUAUCAACAGAUCAUGGUUUCGAGGGGCAUCCUUUACGAAAAGACUUUCCUCUGAGUGGAUAUGUGGAAGUACGCUAUGAUGAUCCAGAGAAACGUGUGGUUUCUGAACCCAUUGAGAUGACCCAAGAAUAUCGCUAUUUCGAUUCCGCUAGUCCUUGGGAACAGUGUAGCGACAGAUAAUGAAGAAGAUACUUAGGUCUAGUCCUGGGGACAAAUCAAUAGGUCAUGAUAUUUGCUUCCUUCUCUCUUUCGUCAUCUUAGUCAAUGAUACGCUUAUGCUUUUUGGAUUGAGUUUCUUUAGAGUUAUAGCAGUGUUCAAUUUCUCUUUAGAGUUAUAGCAGUGUUCUAUUUCUCUUUAGAGUUCGCAGUGUUAUAUGAAUCUCUAUGACUUUGGAGUUUGCAGUGGUAUAUGAAUCUCUAUUAUCUCAUAUUUCCCCUAAAUUCUAUCAUCUGUACAUUCGAAUUCCAUCUUUACAUUCUCAUUAAGGUGUUGUUAGAAUAUCGGCCCUACUAUAGAUUAGUAAUAGAUUAUUGGAUUAGUAAUAGAAUAGAUUAUUUACCGGGGAUUAGUAAUAGAAUAUAUUAUUUACCGGGUGGGGACCCAAUAAGAAUGAGAUUGAUCGGCACCCAAUACAGCUAAUCUAAACCCAGAAACUUUUCUUAGAAUGCAUUGACGCCUAAGAACAUAGGCCUGGGAUGGGAGUAUUACUCAUAUUCUUUCCCACCUUACUUUGUUUCAUGACCAAUAGUUGUAGUUAUGGAAUAGAUUAUUGACCCGCACCCAAUACACUAGUUUCAAGAAGCAGAGUUGAUACUGUUUUAUGGAAACUCUACUUGCUACUUCACUUUCGCCUUAGCGCUCCGUGGGUCUAUUCAAAAGCAAAGACAUAGAUAGCGAACGAAAGCUUUAGGGCUACAAAGACAAACUAGAAGCGCUUUGAUAAGCAUCCGCAGAAAGAGAAGCAUCUCUAUCAGAUCAAAAAGCUAAUGGUUGGAUUAAGUUAUAGGAUAGGAUAGGUUUCUUCAUUUCUGAUAUCAUAUGUCACCUACUAUUCUUUUCUGAAACAUCAUAUGUCACCUACUAUUCUUUUCUUCCACUUUAGAGUUCGGUUACUUGACUUUACUUAUCUCAUAUGUUGCACUACUAUGCUAUUUCUACUAAAUGAGUUAUAUGGAGGAGAACUGGCUCUCACCGAUCGAAGGGCUGUCUUAAUUAGUUCACCGGGCUAGCAAACUCAAGCAGUAACUUAUGAGCAGCUUCUAUAUAAGGAGGCAUACAUCGUAACAAUUCACCGCACACUCGUGUCCGACCAAAAGAAUGGAAUCUGAAUCGAAGGCUUUCUCAAUGUCAAUCUUGAUUGGACCCUCCUCUUUAGAGUUGAAGAGGUUCAAUCCGAAUAUUCCAGACUCCCAUCCCCGGAAAAGCCCCUAUUGGUUUCAUCCCUAAACUCCUCGAGAAAAGAAAUCCAAUCAAUCAAGAAAGAUAGGCUCCGCUCAAAGCAAACGUAGGCUCGAAAGAUAGAGAGAGAAGCCAAGCCCAAAGAUAGGCUCCGCUCAAAGCAAACGUAGGCUCGAAAGAUAGAGAGAGAAGCCAAGCCCUUGAUCCUUAAGCUCAUUAGUCAGGUUACGGGAAAGGUAAUAAAGCUCUUGCCCUCCCCUUCAUGUGUGUGUGUGAUAUGAUAUUUCUCCAGUAGGAGGAGAAUCCAAGCAGGAAAGUCAUUGCGCUGGAGUAUUGAUCAAGGCAUGGGAUCCUUACAAGCUCAUUCAGACUAGUUAGUGACUUCGCUUUUCCCUGCUCAUCUUGCUAAUCAGUAGCCUUACUUACCUAAUUAGUAUAAGAAGGCCUAUAGGGGCACUAAACGAUUAAGCGAUUCGUCUUGCCGCCACUCUCUUUCUCUUGGUCCGCUCUAUUUAGCUUUCUUAUCUCUAAAGACCUUUCUCUUGGUCCGCUCUAUUUAGCUUUCUUAUCUCUAAAGACAAUGUCAAAGAAAAGGUUAACGCCUAUAGCUUACUCUGACUUUAUUAGCAAUGAUAUGUCUAUGGUAGGGCUAUUCUAUCUUCGUCUUUAUGAGUUCAAUGCUAGCUCCAUUGCAAAAGAGUUGCUUUCUCUUUGAUACCGAUACGCUUUCUGAGUAUGUAUUAGUAGCUCUGCUUCCUUUCUUUAAUGAAACUAACAACUUGCUUUUUCAACCCAGUUAUACACUUUUUCUAAUCAAGGUCAGUCCCAUCCUAUCUUCAUCGUGGUCAUCAAAUGUAGUCAAUCCAGUUCCAGCAAAUCCUUACUUCAUUCAGUAUGCAGCAUUAGUUUAAGUUAACCUCUUUGGUUUGAUUGGAUUUUCAUUGCUAUUGUUCUAAAGCAUUUAGUUUGUCGGCACCGAUAAGUCCUGAGAAAAGAAGUGGAUUUGCUUCACAGGCGGAGGAUGAAAUAGAACCCGACCGAAGCCUACAGUUAGUACUCCCUACAUUACCUUCUAGGAAUCUUGACUUUCCUUUUACCUUACGAAUGAUACUUUCUUAUGCUUAUUCGUAACUACGACAGAAUAUUGGUUUCUUUUUUCUCACCGACCGAAACCACUUUGACUGAGAUUGGAAGUGGAUCUGCCAUGGACAGGGACUCAACUAUUAGUCAGGAUCCGCUUUGUUGCCUUCUGAGCUAUACGAAAUCACUCUAGCUUUCGAAACAAACCCAUAGGCAUAAGCCGAAAAGGUGGACGAAAAAAGGAGCGAAGACCCGAUUGAAUCAACAGUCCCGUGCCAAGCAUAAGAGUCCACGAGUAGAACCUUAGAACCGGACCAACCCUAUUGGAAAAGAAUUCAAGGCCUCGGAGAGAGGAGAUAUGUAAUAAGAGGAGACUUGAGCGGAACUACUACAUUUGUGCACUUUUUCACGGAAUUUAUGGCUUGUUGAAGUUAGUGUUCAUUGUUCCUAGAAGAUAGAGAUUAGAACAGAGACUCACUAUGAAACGGAGACCUAGCUUACUAAUAGUAUAUUCCUCCAAUGGACCCCUAUCCAGCGCUUAUAGUGCCCACAGCCAUGAAAGCAUAAUAACAGGUUCGUUCGUUUUUCUGAGCCCGUCGCUGUCCUUUCACUUGCGGAUACUUCGCUCGCUUGGGGAGAAUACUUUUUCUUUCUGACUUUAAUCUCGAGUGUUGUGUUCUUUCGUUUCUAGUAGUUUACUUCCUCUUUUUCCGAGGCUGGGAAAUCAUUCCUUUGCAUUCGCUACGGAACUGGGCCUAUAAAACACACGACUUUUUAUGAGCAUUGGCUCAAUUACCUCUUUAUUAGAAGUUAUAACCCUUAUCCCACGCGGGAAAGACUUACCCAUCUAAAGCAAGCGAGGAGUUUGGAUCAUAUUGAAGCUUUGGUUGUCUCUUUAGAAAGUACCUUUUCUAGCUUUCACUUUCGCUUGAUUUUGGAUUCGAUCCCGAGUAAGCAAGCGGAUUCUUCCCACUAAACUCAGAAUAUGGAAUCCCGUCCUCGCAGAGGUUCUACUUUUACUUUCCAUGGCUUAGAAGAGAGAUUCUGAAUUGGAUUUCAUUGAUUUCUCGUACCAGUCCGCCAAUCUUCUUUCAUUAUUUCAUUGACCGAGAAACCGCCUAUCGAUCGUGAUCCAUUUCGUUGCCCUCUUCAGAUGAUGAUGAAAGCAGAGAAAAGGUAGGUAUAUACCAUAUGACAGCACGGAUCUAGAUCUAUAUACUGAUCGAUCCUUAUCUUCACUUAAGAACAGAAGUUUUAUGAUCCAAUAAGAAGCUAAAGGCACCUUAACCAAUUUCCACUCCAGACUAUAGAAGCUCCGCCGCUCCUAUCCCCGGGUAGCUCGCAACAGGUAUUACUAUAGCUCGGUCUCACUCAAUUGGAAUCUACCGCUUUUUUCCUCCUAUCGUAUGACUUGAGCUCUGGAAUCAAAGACUUAAUGAAAACAGGAAAUCAGUAACAAUAAAACGGAAAGGCAGAAUUCUUGUCUGAAACAUCUGGUACGUGAAAGAGGUGGAAUGUGUCCUAGCCGUUUGAGAUGACGAAUUAGACUAGGGUAACAGGAAUGGUCUGGGAUAUAGGAUCAAUCUACAGUAAUAGGGUAAAUGGAAUGGUCCGGGAUAUAGGAUCAAUCUACAGUAAUUUCUAUUAACGCCUAAACUCCUCACACAAACCGGGUUCUCCUAUAGUGCGUGCCUUUUAUCAAACCAGUUUUACAGCAGAGAUAGCCGGUCUAAAGGAAAGGGUAGAACUAGUAUACGAGUUAGACCAUUGCUAGCAUGUUCUAUUAAUAUGGAAUAAGGCUAACCGAACUAGCUGUUCUAUCAAGAAUAGGGCGGCUCACUGUCAGUACUAAUAAGCGUGUAAACUACUUGCUUAGUAAAGGCACCAAACUUACUUCGAUUCUGCAUCCUGAUUUCCUUGUAUGCUAGGUCUCCAAUAGGUCCUUUUGGAGUGGAAGUGUGGGAUGCCCCGCCAUCAAGUGUUAGGUCCCGUUCCAUUACAAUGGCACUAGAAAAAAGAAACCCCUGUUCAAGUGAAAAGGCACUCCAACUCUCAAUAUUAACCAAGGAGAGACGUUAGUCUCUCUCCGACUAGAUAUCUUUAGGACUCCGACCAUCGAAAUCAAGUCCAAUUGAAACAGGCAGGGCUCAGAGGCUACUGGUAGCGAAACUCAAGGGCGUAGUGAAGGGUCAAUUCGUUAGGAGAGAAUACCAUUAGUCCUGCUUAGCAACCAUUGAACUAGCUGCCACAAAAAGGGGGAUCCAGUAGAUCACAGAACAAAGAGAUCAGGAGAAAAGAAAACGGAUAAAAGAAAACACGGAGCAAUUUCGCUGAAAUCGAGCUACCAUUGAAAGAAAGAGUAGAGUGAAAGUAGGACGAGGUCUGCCUUUACCCUUCCUGUUAGCAAACUCUUCCAAGACAUGAGGGUCGCCAUCCUCCUUUCGCCUCUCAAGUCAUAAAUCGAGUUCAGUGGCUUUACAUUCUCUUCUAAUGAUGGGGUGGACUGGACCCGAGCUCUUUACUAUGAUCAAGCUUUGGCUGUCUCAUGCUUUAUUAUGCUGUUGAGAAACCAUCCUGUCCUAAGGAGUUAUCUGUUCCCAUUUACCUCACUAAGACUGGGCUACCUCGGAUCUCCCUAUCACCGCAAGGUUAUAGCACAGAGGACUGCCAGGUCAGACCAGCUUGUUAGGUGCUAUUUAUCUGCGUUUACUCUUUUGGUUAUUUAUUGCUAUUUACUACAGAAAGAAUUGGACUUUCGCUCACUUCUGACCUAUAUAGUAGCUAGGAGUGAGCUUUUCUCGUCCUUUCCACUAGUGGGGGCAACUAUUUCUUCUUAGUGUCAUUUCAGGCAGAAGACGAAUCCAAAAGGUAAUGAACGACCUAAGGGUAAUAGGCCAAAUCCAAUCCGAAAAAGGAAUCCGAAGUCACUUAUUACUUGCUUUUUGAUCCUCACAGUAGACUACGAUUCCGUAAUUCGAUCUAUGCCAACUGUCUCUUUUUUAGCAGUGUGUGUUGGGUUCUUUCUUUUAUUCCUUGACCGCAAUGAGUGGACCGGAGGGCAAAGAAAGGAGGCGACGACGAUGUUACUGAUUUGGAAUUCAAUACAAACAAAUAGACUUUUGGGGAAAAGAAAAGAAGUCUCAGUCAAGGUAGAAAGAGGGUAGAACCUCCUUUUAGGUGGCAUAUAGUUAAAGGGGCGAGCCUUGCCCUUAUUCUGAGAUUUGAUAGUAGGGUACGCAUAUAUCGCAUAUAGAGAAAUUCUGAUCCUGUUGCUGACCAACUCGUCUUGGUUUGGGACUUACCCGCUAAAGUGAACUUCUUAUUCUCUAAUGAUCAAAAUACUUCUAUACAGGGGCAACACCUCUUCUUAUCUAAUUACAGGGGCAACACCUCUUCUUAUCUAAUUACUUGAUUCUGACCCGGACCCUUACCCGACCUAGACCUAAACCCUGCUUGAAUUGCUGCUGACCUCUGAAUUGAGCCUGUUCCUUCUGUACUGCAUCGAUUCUCUCCCCGGGGUUUAGUCAACUGCUUGCCCGUUGCUUAUCGAGCACUUAUAGUUUUGGCCUCUCUUUUCCUUUCUUUGUAGUAGUAGCUUGUCGGCUUGUCAGUUAUUUCGCUACAGAUGGAGCAAGCAAAGCAGGUUCGAUUACGGUUGGUGCUACUUAAGAAUUGGUUGUCUACUUUAAUCCGUGUUGGCACCUCGAGACUAAGCCUAUCGUGUGCGGAACAAACAACGUAUAAUUAAGCGCUAACGAAACUCGCUCACUCACGCUAAUUACUAUAGGGUAUAAGGCUGUGGUGCCAGAUAUCAUAUUCUUUGACUUUACGGAAGGUAUAAGGCCUUGUUCAGUUGCUUCCGCCCUUGCUUUAAGAUUGUAAUCUACCUGUUGCUUGUUCUCUCUUGUAUUGCGCAUCACAGAAAAGAAUGGAAUAUCUAUAGAAUCGAGCACCAAUGAUAGAACUUUGUAAAGAAAUACACUCCUUCCUUCGAGUGCGGGUCUCUAAGCCAGCUAGAGUCAGAAGUCCUGCUUCUAUGAAAGAAACAAGUUCUCUGACCUCUCUCCUGCAUUUCGUGUGCUAAACCCUUUAAGGAGGUCUGAAUUAAGCCCAGCUGUCUUUCUCUAAACCAAUGUUGUUAAUAUAUUCCUUUUUCCUAUCACAUCUACGGAAAUCAAGCCUUUUAAAAGAAUUGGAAUGCCUUCCUAAGUUUGUGUUGCCCUUAAAUCAAUUCCUUCUCUCCUUACCCUGUGUGCUAAUCACCAUAUUUCUCAUUACCAGUGUGUGUGCUAAUCACCAUAUUGAAUAUGGAAGAUCCGAUAGUCUUGAUUGAUUGACCAGGACUCUUAGAUCACCGAUAGUCUUGACCAGGACUCUUAGAUCAGAUAAAGUGCUAUUCCGAUGUCAGUCCUGUGGAAGUUGCCAGUCAUAUAGUGGAAGUUGUUCUUCCUGCGAGAAAUUGUAAAAGAGAAGCUAAGCUUAUCCUAUUGAAGUGCGUCUGGCUUAUAUUAGCAUUCUAUUCGUUCUCUCCCUGACCGAGCUUCUUGGAGUGCUAUUGCUAAGAUAUAGUAUGAUGGAUGACUUUUCCCUUAUUUUCCUGGGAGCCUGUUCAACUAGUGCUAGUAUCAAUAGGCCUUUUCUUAGUUCAUUUCAUCCUUAUAGCUUAGGAUUCGCAUCUUGUCUCCUGUACGGAAAAGCCCAAUACACACUUUUUUGGCAUAACAGCCCUCACUAACUGGCUUGUUCUGUACGCUAUAACCGAGGAUAGAGGGAGCUCCUAACUAAACUAACUACCUUUACCUGGGGCCUACUACUCAAAGUUGCAUUCCCUUUAUUAUCCCGGAUAGUGUUUAAGUGGAAGUUAGGUUACUUUAAUCAAUUAUAGAAGAUGUAACUACUAUGUAGGAGUGUUUUUACUUAGAAGAUGUCACUACUAUGAUUUCAUUACUUAUAUGUCACUUAUUACUUCAGGAGUGUUUUUACUUAGAGGAUGUCACUACUAUGUAGGAGUAGUCGUGUUUUUACGGAAUUCUAUAUUAAUGUAGUAUAGCUCUUUUCUAUUCCUAUUGAGUAAUGUAGUAUAGCUCUUUUCUAUUCCUAUUGAGUAAUGCCCUCUACGAAGGAAGGAAGAAUUGGAUGAGCUUGCUUGCCUCUCGAGUGAGUCGCCUAUUAUCGAAUUUCUGACAUUUAUUCACUCUUGCUUAAGUACUGGUACAGGAGAAAGGUCAAGUCAAUAAUCUACCAGUAUAGAAAGGUCAAGUCCAUAAUCCACGUAUAGAUAACGGUGCCUAUGCCUAUGUCCCUUAGUUAAUGUAGAGGUAGAGGUUGAGGCUGCCGAUACUCUAACAAGAACUCACUAAUGCCGAAAACUAGAACUAACAUUAGCACCUCGAAAGCAGAAAGUCAAGCAAAGCGUAAUCAAUUCAAAUAGCCCGAAAGUCAGCGUUAGCGCACCGCAUCCCGACCCGAAUGCAUAAAUGAUUAUGAAUAUAGCAUCUCCUUCAAUCAGUCCUAUAUAUAUUUAGGAAGCGAAGCAACGCAGUGUUUUUACUCAUUUUGCUUCUAUAUGGUGGAUAGCUAUAUUCUUUUCCUGGGUUAUAGAGUCUUUCAUAUCAUCUUGAUUCCUUAUGAACUUUACAACAACUCGUCCUACUGCUCGGUUAAUGCUUUAUAAGUCUCUUGUCAGGUAUUUCAAUCAGUUGUUAAUGUUCAAGCUUCUUCGGCCUUUCCUUUCCCCCCUUAUGUGGUCCAAGCAUCAAAGUGAAGUGUCAGUGAGGGUUAUGGAAUUGGAUGGCCUGAUUGCCCUCACUUAGAUUAUGGCCUGACCGCUGUAGCUCAAAGUUCAGAGAAUAGAAGCAUCCCUUACCCUUGAGAAUGCUAAGGUUAAGUAUAAAGGAAAGGUAAGAGAAAGAAAAGGUAUGUAUAUUCGAUCUCUUACUACACUUCUAGACUUACCACUAUAGCUCAACAAAGCCGUGAUCGACUACUUCACCCAAUCCGUUAAGGUUAAGUUACAUUAUAGAUGUAUGAAAAUGGAAAGAAUCAAUAUAUAAUCAAUCAAUAUAUGUAUCCACGGCUAUUAGAUUCUAUUGUCAUCUUUACAACAGGUACGUACCUUAAUCCACUCCAUAUUAUGUCGGCACCCAAUACUACAGGAAGCCACAAAUAGUUGUUUCUCUUUCUUAUUGACUAGAGUGCGCCGAGCUAGCCAACUAAAGCAGUUCAUUCAUACUAUUUCAAUCACCUAACCUACAACUCAUAUAAGAUCGGGACCAAAGGACUCAACUGUGCGCUUGCAGACGGCUUAUAGACCGAGCUAGCAUAACUCCGGAAAGCCUUUACCUUCCAUCUCACUUUGCAGCAGCUAGUUUUCGUUUCGGGAACUUCGAACGCGAGAUGAUAUUCUUUCACGCUACUCUGACUCCAAAGAAAGCUAACCUGACUCCAUACUCUCUAGCUUAUGACCCUAUACAUAUGUUCUUCUUAUUCUCGCUCUUCACUUAACCGAACCUUUACCUGAACCCAAUCUACUCGCAUUAUGGAUACUAUCAAAAAUGAGAUAGAUAUAUGUUUCUUAUUUCGGCUCUUCACUUACCCGAACCCAAUACGUUACUAUCGGAAUAGGUCAAGCAAGGAAAGGCAUCCGUAUAGUUACCAACCAAACCAGAGUAAUAGCAAACUUGGCAUAGGAAAGAUAUGCUUCAAACAAGCACCGAUACUUAUUAAUCAAAAGCCAUAAUUACACCUCUUAAAAGCUAUAAUGACACCGCUACGCCUUUACUGCUCUACUCUUUCCUCAGCUUAUGACUAAUCACACACAUCUAACAUUAUAUUCCAUUGACCUUUCUAGCUCUUACUCGCUACCCGACGCCGAACCAGUACCUUCAUGUGGUAUUAUCUCUGUGCUUACCGCCUAUCUAAGUUCUUUUUCGUAAGUUAUUGGCAGUUAUGUGUUAUAUAGCAGUAUUGCAUUCUUUUCUUCCCGUUUCCACUGCUUGAACUCUAGCUCCUUAAUGACAUCGCCCCUCUCCCUUAAGUGUCGGUUACCACUCAGGGUAGUCAACAGUGCCUCUUCUCUUCUUCUCUCUUUCCUACCUAAAGAAACGGGUAGUCAACAGUUUCUCUUCUUCUCUCUUUCCUACCUAAAGAAAGUCAAGAGUUCUAUUGAUAGGGCAGUUUUUUCCAUCUUCGUUACACCAAUAUGAGUCUUUCUUUCAGAGACCAAACUAUAGAUGAUUGUAGUCGUGUCUAGUUCCUUCUCGCGGUCAUUUUCGAGAAGAAAUAAGAUAUACUGACGGGUUACCCAUCCAUAGGAAGGAAAAACGAACCUCUUCCAUUGCUUUGAGAUCCAAUUCGGUAUAGCCGAUAAUAUCCAUCUAUCAAGACAGGGAGAAAUCGAAAUCAGUCUUCGGGCACAAGGUCUAAGAUAUAGACAAAGGAAGAGGCAUCAAGCUUACCAUCAGGUAUAAGUUACGAUUGCAUUGCAAGCACGUACAGAUUCUAAACAAAAGAUGGAUGAUGGAUGCCGCGGAAUCCAUAUUCUAAUGAUAGAUGAUAGAUGUAGGAAUCCUAGACUUAGGGAUGAUAUUAAAGGUUAGUUGGUAAUGCUACAGUAAAAGAAAGGGCAAAGAAAUGACUCCACUGAGUAGUGCUUAGGAGCUCCUCAGUUGGGUAGGCAGGCUUCUGAUCCGAGAAGAUCGGUCUGGUCUCACUCCACAAGUUAGCUUCCUUCAGAAAGGAGUAAGGUGCACCUAAAGAAAGUCGAGGUUAUCCAUUCCAGUGACGUUACAGCAUAAGAUGGAGCCGGAGAAGAAGUACAAACACCGAAGAGUCAAGUGCCAGGAAAGGAUAAAGAAGAAAGGUGCUGAAAGCGUGCCAGGAAAGUAGACAUCGACUCUAGAAUCAAUAGGAGAGGGAUCUUUCAGUGGGGUAGUAGCUUGUCCAGUUCUUGUUCGAGUGGAAUCCCCCCCGAGUUAAGGUUCUCUUUGAAGCUAGUAGGAACAUUGUUUGAAUUCUUUCAGAAGAAUACAUCUUAUACAGAAGAAUACAUCUUCCUAAACUCUGGAUUGUAGUAUCGUGAACAAGACUGCGGUAACUCCACUCUAUUAAUUACUGUGUAAAGCUAGUAGUCACAGGUAGAGUAUGGCGCCUAUAGCCUAUAGAGAACCUUUCAAGGGUAGUCAAUAAUGAAACAUAUCCUAGUGAAAAACAUUCCUUUUGGCCUAACGUAGUUGCGCGUCAGGACAGGAGUUGUAUAUAAGUAGUGAUAUCGGACAGUAAAAGUAGACUGUAUAAGUCGCGGAGUCUCGUAUUAGUAUUCUAGUAUAAGUAGUCGUUGGGGCAAUCAGAUCCUCAGUGCAAGAAAGGUAAGGGCGGAGGUAAGCUUCAACUUAAAGUCAAGUCGAGUCGAGGUCGGCAAAAGGGAACCAGCAACUCGAGUCCGUAGAGUUAUGAGCAAGUCCUUGCUAGCGCAUCCAGAGGUAUGAUAGAAUAUGUGAGUGAAAGCGCUAAAGGGCCGUUUGUAGCAGUAGCUUGGCCCUCUAUUCUAACAGCCCUGUCUCUAAGCCUUACUGUCACUCCCUACCUUCCAUCCCUGGAAAAGAUCGACCAGUUACAUAUUUGAGCCUAGAAGCAGUGGCCUGGCCGGGGUUGAUGCAAUUUCACAAUGAAGAUUCUGGUUUUCCACACCACAUAGCAUUCAAAAAAAGGGUCAUAUUCCUUAGGCGGGUGAGAGAGAUUCAAUGAAAGGCUUUGAAGCAAGUGAUUAAGUCUAGUUUGGGGCAUAAGAGAGUAUUGUACUGGCUAUUAGUCAUCAGUGGAAGCAAGAGCAGGGGGAGCUCCAUUGGCGCAAGAAACUAGUGUGUUAGAGAGUUAAGGUGAUUGUUCCGCUUCCGUUCCUUGUCGAUAGAGGUGAUUCGCUGUUGGGUCAUAAUAAACAUAAUCAAGGUCAACUUCUUGUCCUGCCCUAGUUCUUUGUGUUCUUUGUCAUUCAUAUGAGUUUGUAGCUCGAGGUGCGUUAGCUUACUUCACUUUACCCUGGGUGGGUGGGUGCCUAUUGCCUAUAAAACUCAGAUCUUUCUUUUUGUUCGAAGAUAUCCUUAUUUAGUUGAAACGUAUAGAAAUACCGGUAAUUAGAAGCAUCAGCAGUUUCAAGAUAUGGAUCAUAGGAUGGAGUAGGAUCUGGCUGGAUAUGCGGAAUUGCCAGUGAGACUUGAAUACCGAGUGAACCUUUUGAAUGGAAUUGAAUCUAGCAUAGUGUAUAGCAUUUGGUCAUAUUCCUAGUAAUGAGUUUGAGUUUAGAGAGCUGGUUAGGAAUAUGGAGCAUAUAAAGCAGCAAUCGAUUAAUCAACAGUUACAAAAGAAUCCGCUGUGCCAUCAUCAUCUUACACAGAAGGCGAAAGAUGCAUGUAGAGUUCUAGAAGUCGAAGAGAAUGCCUACGUAGCGGUGUUGUCUCAAGGAAAGGACUCUCACUCCAUCUGGGGCAACUUCCACUAUUCGGUCUUUACUUGACUAUUAUUUGAUUGACUUCAUUUGUCUACUCUCUUGCUUCCUUGAAACUGAAGUGGAAAGAUGAUAGAGAUGGAGUCCAUCAAGAGAGGCCCUCCCCUACCUUUUCUGUACUAACCUUUGAGAAGCCUUGGCUUUUAUAUAGGUUUUAGGAAGGAAGAAUAAGAGCAGCAAGCAGAGCAAAAGAAGAUCGGUCGUAGGAAGAAUAAGAGCAGCAAGCAGAGCAAAAGAAGAUCGGUCGGAGAUAGCUGCUCAUGAACUGCCCUGCUCGAAGGGUCCCGAACAGACAGACCUAGCAUAAGAGGAUAAGUUUGACUUCGGAGAGCGGAUCUGGACUGAUCUUUGACCCGGCUAAAGGAGUAGUGGAUUUGACUUCUUUUUCAUGCCUUCACCGGAGAGUUCAGUUCCCCUAUUGGGAUGGAAGAAGGCCGCCUUAAGGCAACUUACUACUGUAGAAGUCAGAACAGUCAGACUCAAACUCACUCACUUCCCUAUUAACUAGGAUCAAAUCUAACAGUUCAGAAUUGCGCUACUGAUCAAAUAGUUCAGCAUGCCAGAAAUAUAAGCAGAACAGAAGCUUUGGAACAAUCACAUAAGGGCGAACGGGUCUUUCUUGCAUACCUUUUUGAAAGAAUCAAAGUAGAUGUAAAUAAGAAGAUCUUGUUUCAUAGCAUGGAAAGGCUUCUUCUUUUGAUCUUUCCUUUAUUAUAGAGUUACAGAGUCGUUCAUUUCGGUCUAACUUCGUUACUGUACCCCGACUCCGACAGCGUACUCUCCUGGACCUCUGUCUAUCCUUAGAAAUUCAAUGUUAGGUUAGAUAGCCGCCCGUAGGCUCCAUUCCUUCCCUCUAAUAUGAGAUUCUGCCAGACGAAUCGAUUUCAUUCUCCAUUGAAACCCAACCGUAUACUCUUUGAACCCAUAAUCUUACGACUCUUGAAUAUUCCUUUUUUCGUUAAUUCGACAUCAGUGAUCUAGAGGUUGCUACUUGUAAGGAUCAGAGAUAGAGCCCUUAGGGGAGAAAAUGUAAGGUUGUUAUUGCACUAGAACAAAUGGAAGGUUGUUAUUGCACUAACUUAUCUAACGCUAUAACUUCUGUACUAACGCCAUGAAGCCCCCGUAGCCCCAAAACCUUUGGUCCCUUCGCUACACUUGCCUUAAACCACCUUAGGGUUUUCAAAGGUAAAGAAUCAAAGUAGUGAAUUUGGUCUUAUCCAGUCUUUGGUUUCAGAGGUCAGUUGUCUUCUAGUCUAGCAUUGAUGUCGAAGCGUCAGACACUAAGUAAACCUUCCCCUGUGCCUUUGAUAGAAUAAGGUACAAGGAGUGGUAGCUCUUUCUUCUAGUUAGGAGGAAUGAUAGAAUCAGGUACAAGGAGUGUCUUAUGGGUCUUUGAAAGAAUCAGGUACAAGAAGGAAUGUAUUAUAGGUCUUUUAAAAGAAUAAGGUCAAGAGUUUCUUAUAGGUCUUUGAAGACAGGAAGAAAGGGUCCACAACAUGAUUGGAUUUCUUUUUGCUGUUCAUUUCAUCUUGAUUGGAUUUCUUUUUGCUGUUCAUUUCAUCCUGUAUUUUCUGAUUUUGGUUCUUUAUUUUGUUGUUUCUCUUUUAUCUUAUAAUAAUCACAGAAACUGGAGAAUUCCAAUCUGGAAAAGACAGCCUUAACUGCAACACCGCAAAUCACCCUUGCACGAGGCCAGCGCACUGGGUAGUUAUGUUGCUGUCAAACAGAUGAAUAAUCUCUAGACAAGAAGGUUGUGGUUCGGUCCAUUCAGAGGUGUCGUGCGGUCUAGGGUAGCCCACCGGAAUGGAUCAAGGUAGUGAGAAAACAAACUCAUUCACCUUACGCGACGUCGAAAGCCCCCUUAUUAAUAAUUCCAUACUGCAUAAAGGGUAUGUAUAAGGCUAAAGAGAUGUACUAAGAAAUAUGGUGGUUUACUACAGCGCGUAGGAGUGAACAGAGAAAAGGCAUGAAUUCCAUCUCUCUAUAGCAAGGUAGAAGCAAACAGAGACCAGGGAGUGAUUCUCUCUUCUUUAGCUUACCCCCAACCAAGCAAACAGAGACCAGGGAGUGAUUCUAUAUCUCUCUUAGCGGGUACAAGCAAACUUCUCAAAGGAAUGGCACGGGCGCUUCUCGGACUGUAGUUACUGGAACCAGCGGAUCCUUACUUGCUUGGUUGAGUUUCAUAGUUGUUCCUUUGAUUCCUUAUUCCGUUCUUUAGUCUUAGAAGCAACAGCUUCAGUCUCGUUAUCAAUGCAAUGGCUAUAUUCUAAUAACAGUAUUUAAAGUCAAGGAAGGUCAGAGUGCAAGAUCGAUGAACAUGACACAAGAGUGCCGCGGAGAGGUAAUAAUCCAACAAAUAAGUAUAGAAAUAAGAGUACAAAUAAGGGGUCUUAUCAGGGCAUUAUAGGACUUAGGUAUAGCUUAGGCUUCUACUGAACAGGGCCAAGACACUGGGCAAGUAACGAGACAAGCACAGGAGAGUCGGUCGAUCGGUGGGCGGAAGAAGAGGAGAAAAGGCAGUAGGAGAUCAUAAGUUGUCUUAUAUGAGAAUUCAAUAAGGAGUCAGCACUGCAAAUCUCGAGGGAAUCACAGAUACGGCGAUGUAGGGAUGGAAUGAACACUCACAGCUAGGGGUAGCUAGGAUUUUCUACAUACCACUAUAAUGCGGGCCGAUGGGGAAUCUUAGUUCCAGAAGUCUCUUAGUUCAAGAAGUAAUGAAUUCGAUUGACUGAGAAAGAAGUAAUGGAAGAUAUUUCUUUGAAACCUAAAAGGUGUAUCUACCGUCCCGCAAUCAAUUGAAUAAGAAAGGAGAAACUCUUCGAAUAGAACUCUUCGUUGUGAGGGCCGGUUUUCUGGUGCCUAGCAAUGAAUUUGUUUUUCAAACCUAAGCAUUUACUAUCAAUUAUUUACCCGAGCCAAAGGGACUAGAUUUUGGUGCUUUACUAAACAUCGUACUGCGCCGACUCUGACUUACGUCCAGGGGCUGGCCCACUCUGCGGGGAUACUUGCUUACUCUCUCUUCUUCCCUGAGGCAAGGCUGCGGGAGGAUUCAUCUUCUUUUCGAACGUGCACUACUGAGGGACAUCCCUUCCUUCUGGGGACGUAGGUUGGAGAAACGUAUGGAAUGGAGCCAACUUACCUGUGGUUUCAUUCUAUACAGGAUGGAUUUCUGGUUACGUCGACCGGAACUUCCCUAAGCAUAUGAAAAGGACCUCUUAUAGAGUCUCCUUACUCCAUUUCAUAAGAUCAUUUCGCUUCCCAAAACUCAAACUAAUGGAAUUUCCAAUUUCAUGCGUUAGGUCACGCCGCAUGCCUUUACAACACUCUUACACUCCGCGGAGUCAGCUCUCAGACCUUCCUUUCUUCGGCAUUCAUUCGUCUCAAAAGAAUCAUGGGCUACCUUGCAACGGGUGAGAGAAGCAAUCGUCCUUUUAGGUCGUCUAAGACACUAAGAUCUCUUUCCAACCACCAGGAAGCCUAGCCACUUUCUUUAUCGGUGACUAAAAAGAACACUUUAGCUAGCAAUUCUUUGGAACUCAUAGCCUUUCUUUUAUCUAGCCUGGAGCCAGCACUCCUAAAGCAGUUAACCAGAUUUGGGAUCUUUCUCAAUAUCCUCUACGCUCUGGACGAAUCAAAGACUUGGCCAACUUUCAAGCAGUACUGACCAGAGCUCUUACACAGCGCCUAAUAGGCUAGCAUCACUAUAUAGAAAUUCCAUUCUUUCUAAGUGGGAGAGAAUCCACUUAUUAUUAUAGCACUCAAAGAACUCUCUUUCCUUCGCCCUUUGAAUCCAUCUGAGAUAGAUCGCAAUCAGUGCCAGGAGAGAAGCUUAGCACGGAAGAGAACUCUAAAGUCGGAACUCUUUCGAGAAUGUCAGGAGUAAUGGCUUUCUUAGAAAGAAUACUAGAUUAUAGCCUAAUCUUAGAAAGAAUACUAGAUUAUAUAUAGCCUAAUGGAGAUAUGCCCAUUUUCAAAGAAGUAACUGCACAUGAAUGCAAAUGAAUAGGCUCUUCCUUACGUCUUAAAGGAGGAAGCGGGGAUGGCGCGUAUGAGUAGCUGUCACGAAUCUAAGUGGAAAGACACAGAAUAUAGCGGCGAAAUUCAGGUUAUGAGUUCAAGAGCCCGAACAGUGCAGGAACUAAGACAGCAUAUGAGUAGCUCGGAUCUAGCUAUACUCCUUGCCUCUCGAAAAGCAGAUAAAUAGGAGACCAGAAAAUCCAGAGUGCUUAGUGCUUGGUCCCUGAUAGCUGCUCCUGAUGAACUGCCCGGCACGAUCGCAAACGGAAUCAAAUGGGGCGCUUUAGGAAAGGAAGCCGCUUGCCUUAGUGAGCUCGAAAAACAGGAUAAGGGUAGGAGAACCAAGGUGGAGUCGUAGGGGUUUUCUUGAGGAAGGCCCACAUACCAUGGAGAAAGAAUGGAGUAGAUACACCCAAACUUAGUUAAGCGAGAAUGGUUAAUCCCUUCGGAGGAAAGAUAUACGCGCUUUUCCACCUGGCGAUAAAUAACUCUAGCCAUUAGUGAGGAGUGAGUACGAGCAUGGCGGUUGGAAUUUCUCAGCAAAGCAUCACAGUCUAAUUACUAAUAAUCCUUUGCAAGGCAUGGGCUAUCUAAUGGCAUCAGAAGAAGCUAACUUAUUUGCCUAUUCACGUAAAGUCUUGUCGUACUAUGUGAGUCCUCGCCGUAACAUUACCCUAGGAGACUACUGAUGAAUGAGUCAGUGAGAAGUGAAGUAAGGAUUGAGGAGCACGGUUAGUACUACCGAUCAGUAAGUGCAAGUGUAUCCGUUGAUCUCACACACAACUAAGGAAAAUGAGGAACAGUAGUUCGCUACAAGCCAAGCAAAUCCUCCAAUCUUCAAUUAUAGUGUCUACAAUCCUCCAAUCUCCAAUCGAAGUCUAAUUGCCUACAAUCCUCAUUCUUAUGCUGAGUUCUGGACCUGACCUUAGAGACCAGUUUCUUUCAUCUCUGAACAGUGGCGCGUGGUAGCAGCUUUAGAAUAUUAGGAGAGCGUCGAGUUGAUCAAUUCAUCCUCCCUUUGUAAUAAAGGAAAGGCUCUGUCCAUCUAGCUAACCUUAUGUACACUGAAUCAGGGCAGCAAUCUCUCUAUCUCAGUCUGCAUGAAUGAGAUCAGAGGUAGACCUAUCGCUGGGUAACCUCGCCUCCUUGAAGCCAAGACCAGAGCUCUUUUGGAUAACGAGUCUAGUACCUGAGCAGAUUAGAGAGCUCUUAUCUUUGUUGUCGACCAGUCCUGUGAAUGAAAAAAGAUGAUGCAGCACACCAGCAAUUCCUCUGGCAUUAUGCUGUGAACUAUCUGAUAAGAGUAAGACAUCAUCCGUGUAAGAGAGAUGGUGAAAUGAAAAGAUGAGCUUUCGGGCCACAUUCCAAUAGAAAGGCUUCUAAUUCAUUACUCAGACUAAGGUUAACAGGCGGUUAGACCUCGCUUACGCCUCUUUUACCUUUAAUAAGAUUCAAUAGAGAAAUACAUAUUGAUUGAUUAAUUAGGAUAGCGAAGUAGGUGGUCUGGUUGGUCUUUUUCCACUCUAUGCCCCAGAUUCCCAAAUAACUAAAGGCGAUACUUGUAAUCUAGUCAAUAUUAACUCGACCACUACCAGAGUGCUGCUUCCAAUUUCAAUCCGUUUGAAGAGCCAGGCAAUCCCAGUUUCGGAUAGGAGCAUAGAUAGCCUUUAGGCAAGAAAAGACUCCUGCCUGUCGCUCUAGGUAAGUCCACUUUUUCACGUAGUUUAGGAUGCCCCUUAUCUCUGUGGAAGUUGAGCACGAGCUUUCAUGAGCUAAGAAUACAUUUGACACCACACCAUACCUACCCUCUUUCUUUAUGAAUGCAGUUCGUUUUUGGCUGAACCAGUGAAUGAAUAAAGAACCUUGCCUUAUCUCAGUAGGCUAAUGGUCAUGACUUUUAUAAGAAUAUUGUAAAGGAAGAACAAUCAAUAAGGAAAUUGGCCUAUAGUCCUGCAAGUUUUUUCGCUUAUGACACUUGGGUAAAGAACUAAUUGAAGAUCUAUUCACCAACCAGCUUAAGGAGUGUUCCAGUAUUGAAGAAAUUCAAACCUAGUGUAGUGCCAUCAGGUCCUAAAAUAUGCCUGCAAUGAUGAAAUAAUUUCCCUCUAUUCCCGUCGUAAGCAUUGAAAGACUGAACGCAUCUUUCAUCUCCUCAGGAGUUAUAAAUAAGACUAUCAAGUAUGUUCAUCAAUCUUGGACCCAUGACUAUUCUGACCUUUGGAAAUAGUCCAUUGCAAUUGAAUCUCUGCCUUACCUUUGGAAAUAGUCCACUGCAAGCAAUUGAAUCUCUGCCUCCCCCAUUACUUCUAAGCCAUCACUGUCUUGAAUUGAAGCAAAUCACCUAUAAGCCUCCCGAAAGAAUUGUGGAUCAUUUUGGUUGUUUAACCUUCCCGUAGCCUAAUUGCUCUGUACUUUCUUUUGCCCGAGGAAUGACUCUUUCCAUAAUGUUGAAAGCCUUAAUCAAGUUCGCUUGAAGCACCUUUCUCUUUCUUCAAGGCCAACAUCAUAAAUCAGGCUAGAGUAGAGCAGACGGAACUCCGGAUAGAGCCUCUGCUUUCUUUCUUUGCAUUAAUAAGGUUCAAUGCGGUUUUUUCCCUCUGGGCCGGAACCCUAUAUAAAUGUUUCAGAAUGGGGGACUGUGAUAAGAAAGACGGGAGUUUCGAGCUACUGUACUAUAUAUAUCCUCCGCUACCGGGAGUUUCGAGCUACUGUACUAUAUAUAUCCUCUGCAACGUGGAGUUUCGAGCUACUGUACUAUAUAUAUCCUCUGCAACGGGCUCCGCUUCGGAUGGAAUAUUCUGGGAAUCCUAUCUUCAAUGACCGACAAGUUGCUCCGGCCCAGUACGAGCCUCAGACAGGGCCCUCACCUGCUUAGUGAGAAAGAGCACACAUACACCCAGACCUACAAAUCAUCAUCUCAUCUUAGCGAAGCAAAAAGAAUGGUACCCACCGUCCCCGCCUACCAUUGUGGAGGGCCUUUGAUCGGAGGUCAAGACUUAGUUCAAAAGUAAUACGUUCCGUAAUCUUUUGCCACUACGCGGAAAUAGCUUAAUAGUCUGAAGCCUUGCCAAGACUAAGCGCUUGAACGGCUUCUACCUCAAGCUUCCCCUACUGCCUUCGUCCUUCAGUGGUCACGACGUUCGGCAUCGGUUCCAAUCCUAAAAAGCAGAGGUUUCACUCAUUAUUUAGUCAUUCUCAUAAAUAAGGGAAUUUCUUAAAGACUCUAAAGAGUAAGUCGGGUAGGUACUAAAUAUUCUUUUCUUAAGUGUAUGGCCUUUCUUUGAUCUUUGUGAUUCAUCGAGAUUGUCUUAGUGCUCAGGCUAUCUAGAAAGGAAAGCAUCAUGUUCAAAGCGAGAGCAAGAAAGCGACUCACUUACUAUCUCGCUCGUCGGAGUCUAAGAUAAAGUAAGGGUGCUAAAUCUUAAUCGAUCAGGCUAUAUGCUCUGGGGGGUUUCAACGAGGUGUAGCGCAGUCUGGUCAGCGCAUCCGUUUGGGGUACAGAGGGCCAUAGGUUCGAAUCCUGUCACCUUGCCAGUGAAGAAAUUCCCUUUUGUAAAUCAAGUACUGUAAAGGGGCCCUGUAGGUAGAGCUUAAUUCCAUCCUUACUGCCACCUGACCUACGAACUUUAUUCCAAAUACAAUACCCUCGUUCGAGCUUAAUGACAUCGCCCAUAACCUAUCGGGUGAGUGGAAUUCCCUUCCUCCAAACCUAUCGCUUCUAAAGCUCUGCUCAUUCUCUUACUCCACAAUGUAAAUCCUUUAGUAAAGAAUACUUAGUGCUUUUUCUCUCCGGCGAUCGUGUUUUUUCUACCCUGGAAGCAAAUAAAUAAGAGAUAGAGUUAACAUGUUUAGAGUGCCCUAGGUUCGUUCAAUAAAUAGAGUGCUAUGCGAAAGAAAGCAUGGAUUAUUUGCUGGAGGACAUUCUUCUUUUGAUUCGACAUUCUUCUUUUGAUUAUAGGUUGAUAUGGUCUAAAUCACCAUGGAAGGAUGGGUGAGGUCAUAUUCCUUAAGUACGGAGUAGCCUAAAAGUAUUUCCAGAGUUGCCUCCAAUACACUAUCUUUUCCUGUUUUACUCCUAACUCUUGUUGCCUCCAAUACACUAUCUUUUCCUGUUUUACUCCUAACUCUUGUUUGACUCCUUUGCUUUGCCAAGAAGGGAUGAUGGAAAAGAAGAGGGCUUCCUUUGGUCUUAGGCUACGAAGACGGCUUACAGGGAUUUUUGAUUAUUCUCUUAGCUAUUCAUUCUUUUUGCUUUUGUUUAUAGUCAUCGUGCUUGGCAAUGCCCCAUUGAUAUGAACCCCUUUCUUUGGUAUCCAGAAAGAAAAGGAUAGGGACUCAACUAACUUGGAAGGAUAGAUAGAAGGGUAGUUCUAACUGCUUACUCAUCAUGCUUACUGGCAUAAUUCUCAAAUAAUUGCCUAUUUCCUUAUGACCUUCGGGAUUAGCUUCUGCGAAAGUGAAGAGCGAGAGCUGCUGUUUACAGAAAGAGCGCACCAACUCGCUUCGACCAGAUGGUUAGGGCUUUUUUGCCUUUCUUUAUUCGUUGCUCGAUCUUGUACUGAGAUAUACUGAAGACCAAGCAGAUCGAAUGGCAGAAUAAAGGGUUAGUCAUGCAGAUCGAAUGGCAGAAUAAAGGGGAGGAAGAAUUGAAGUGGAAAGAAAGUCAGAGCCAGAGCAGGGUGGCUUAUCAAAAGGAGAAAUGGGGCUUUCUCUAUUAGCUUCAUUCUGUAUUUCCAUAAGACGAGAGCUGAGAGAGGUUCUUCCCCUGAAAUAGGUGCCCGCCUUGCUUAUAAGAGAUCUCUAACACCCCUAAGUUCC
rnacentral:lncRNA from 1 species